CCCCCGCCGCCGCACACACAGCCGCGGAUGCUGCUGUCGCUGCUGCUGCUGGACGAUCUUCGUAAUCAUCCUCUUGAUCCUCCUCGUCGCCGCCGCGUCCGCCGUCGUGUACCUGAUCUACCGUCCUCAGCGUCCGAGCUUCACCGUCUCUUCCCUCAAAGUCUCCUCUCUCAACCUCACCUCCUCCACGCACCUCGCCACCGCCAUAUCCCUCUCCGUCGUGGCCAAGAACCCGAACAAAAACGUCGGGUUCAGCUACGACGCCGCCGACGUCACGGUCUACAGAGUCUCCCCCGGAGACGAUGACGUUGUAAUCGGUAAAGGCUCGAUCGCGUCGUUUGUGCACGGUAAGAAGAACACGACUCUGCUUAAGUCUACUGUCGGGAGUCCUCCGGGAGAUCUUGACGAGCUGUCUGCUGGUAAGCUAAAGGGAGAUUUGAAGGCGAAGAGAGGAGUGGCGGUUAAGAUUGUUCUGAACACGAAGGUGACGGUGAAGAUGGGAGCUGUGAAAACGCCUAAGUCAGGGAUCAGGGUUACUUGUGAAGGGAUUAGAGCGGUGGCUCCGACGGGGAAGAAGGCGACGGCGGCUGUUACCACCGCUGCUAAGUGUAAGGUUGAUCUCAGGUUCAAGGUCUUGAAAUUCACUUUUUAAAACAUUGGGGAAGGAAAAUGAAAAUCUUACAUUCCAUUUUUUUUUUGUUAUAUAAAUCCAUUGUUUCAUUUCUUUUUUAUUUGAUUUCAUAUACAGUUUUUUCGAUUCUGGUAAGACUUUAUUUUUUUGUUUAUGUAAAUGAAGAUAUAUACACAGUGUUCGGUCCGAAUAUUGUUGUUUGUGGUUAUUCGAGAAAAAAAUGUUUGAUCUGCUUAUACAAAAAAAAAAAUGUUAAAUCAUUUGAUUAAAUGUUAAAACAUUUGAUUAUAGUAACAAUUCUUCAUUUAACAGUGAUGAAAAAUCUGACAAUGAUAAUAAAACGCAUUUAAUAAUAUUGUGGAAGUAAUGGGUGUGACCGUGUGAGGUUGACCACUAGUAGUGCAAGUGCUUUGGUCAAUUAAUCUAUAACUAGACAAUUAAGCUAGCUACCCUUUUUUUCUUUGAUAGCUGUAUCAAUUAAUUAAGCUACCAUGUGGUACAUACCCUAAGAACCUAUGAAUUAUUAUGAAUGUUACUUACAUAUUAAUCUAAUGGUCUGCUGCCUGCUGGCAAAUGACAAAGUCUUCGGGUAUUGUAAUUUUUUUUUUAGUGGUAGUGUUUUUUUUUUUUUGCUAACCGAGUAUCCUGGCCCCACCCAGACUAGAGACCGAAGUGAGCAUGGACGCUGUCAGGGCGUCACCAUGUGGCUCACCGAGUAACGGUCUUCGGUCUCGGGUGCUGCAUUCUACAUGUAAAUUUUCGCAGUGGCUAAGGCUCGAACCCAAGGGCGGACACCCCAGCUGAAGCUCUUAUGCCACUAGACGAAAGCAACUUGGUUGGAUAUUGUAAUUUGUUAAAGAAAAAUUAUUAACAAAGUUUGGGUUCGAAUUUGCGUCGGCUUAAGGAGUAUAGAAGGUGUCGGUGAAAUGUUUAUAAUAUUUUCUUUUCUACAUUUCGAUUCAACUUAAACAAGAAAAAGCAAAGCCACAAAUGAUUCAAAAUCAGGUGUCAUGUAAUCAACGACAAAAAGAAGAUUAGGUGUUAUGGUGUGAAACGAUGACUAACAUGUGAUGGAAUUUGUUCCUUUUCAACAAAUUAAUAUAAAAAUGAAGCACUAGAAAAUCUUCUUAUUUGGUUGGUUGGUUUGUUUAUACAACAGAAAUAAUUCUUUAAAUCUAUAAGAAACUAAAAAAUCUCCCACACAGAAAUAGAGCAACAAAAAUAAAGUAUUGAAAUGGUUAGAUAGCAAGAUGCUGGAUAAGUGAUAAGUAAAAUCAAAUAGGUUUAUGUAAAUCCUUAUUUAACCAGAAACUAAAAAAUCUCGGUUAAAAUCUCCACACAGAAAUAGAGCAACAAAAAUAAAGUAUUGAAAUGGUUAGAUAGCAAGAUGAUGGAUAAGUGAUAAGUAAAAUCAAAUAGGUUUAUCUAAAUCCUUAUUUAUAGAAAAAAAUAUAGUGUUGAUGGGGUCAAUAGGUGUUUGGAAUCAAAAUGAUAGUUGCCACACAGCCACAGAACUUUCAGAACCAUGUGACCACCACCACAUGUUAUUAGAUGUCCAAGCUGACUUUUGAGUUAGUCAGUCACAAAGGCUUGGUGUUUCUGUACACGUAAAUUCGUUCCACACUAAGGUAUUGUAAAUAUAUGUAAUAGAUAUGAUAAAUAGAGCUUCAUUAUGAAGGGCUGGUUGAAUUAAACAUAUAUGCAACGUCAAGGGUGAACCAUCAAGUUACAUGGAAUAAACGUAUAUGCAACGUUAAGAGUUAAGACUAAUGUAGACGUCAAAAGCUCCAAAACCAAUAUACUCCCCAUUACCCGAAUACAUAAUGUUAUCUUCAUUUGCUUUCCCACCAUAACAAUCUUCCUGAUCAUACUUUCCACUAGCACCAUAGGAGCUAAAGCUAUUAUCUCCUCCGGUUUUCUUUGGUUCAGCCCUUUUUAUAUCGACCGAUUGAGUCACUGUAAGUGCUUGAGAUAUACUACGGUUCUGUAGCUUAAACUUGAAAACAUAAGUAAAAGAAAGGGUUACCUGUUUGUUACUGAACUCAUGAACUUUUCCAUCAGAGAAAAGUUUGUCCACAGAAUCUUCAGUCAGAUAGGUUACAAAACCAAACCCUCUUGACUUUCCAGUGUGGUGAUCAUACAUAAUCUGAUUUUCAAUUAUGUCACCAUUUACACAGAAAUAAUUCUUUAGCUCAUCUACAAAUAUGGAAAGACACAUUAUAAUCAACAGCAAUAACCACGUACAGAACAGAACCUUAGAGAAACUCCCGUUACUGAGAAAAAUGUAAACGUCUGAUUAGCAAACAACAAGGUCGUUGUAGUAUAGUGGUUAGUAUUCCCGCCUGUCACGCGGGUGACCCGGGUUCGAUCCCCGGCAACGGCGAUUAUUUUUGUUAAUAAGAAAUUUGAGUAUUUUCGUUUUGUUAAAGAAAAAUAGAAUAAUGGCUUCGUCCAGGUUCGAACUGGAGACCUUCAGUGUGUUAGACUGACGUGAUAACCAACUACACCACGAAACCCUUGUGUGAUUGAUUAGUAAAUGCAAGUAACUAGAUCGUUUGACGUCAGAGAGAGACCACCUCUUCUUUUUCCGGAGCUGCUUUAAUCUAACUUAGCUCUCGGUUUCCGACUCAAGAGCUCAAGGCUUUGCAUGUCUAUACAACAAUCUCAGAAUCUGCAGUAACAGUCUUGUAUAACGUUGCUCAGGAGUAUCAUCACGUAGGACUUGUGCUUCGUGCUACGAGAAGGUUAUAGCGGUUUUAUGAGAAAGAAUAUCCAAUGCCGAAACUUCCGAAUGAAGAUCCAAAUGUUGCAGAAGAGCGUAAACCUGUUAAUUGUGACCUACGUAAAGAGGCUGCUCACAAUAUGUAUUUGAUCUAUAAUAACAGUGGAGCGUUUGAUAUCGCGAGGCAGGUAUUGAAGGAUCACUGCACUUUUCUAACGUUUAUGCAUAAAACCAACAAUUAUUACUGACUUAAGAUUUUGAUUAGUUGUUUAAUUUUACCUUUAAUACUUCAUUAACUGAACCUAUUUCGAGCUUAUAAUUAUAAUUACCAAGAUUAUUACUUCUUAUCUUCUCACCAUUUAACCUCAAACUGAAGAAGUUCAAAUGAAAAAAGAGGUCUAAUAUUGAUUAUAAAAAUCGAUUUAAACACAAUAGAAUCGGUUUAAAUCGGUUCACUGUGUAUCUGACCAUAGAACCAAAACUGGGGAGUUUGAUAUGAGCAAAAUAUAUAGCAACAUUGUCUUCAUGCCAAUAAACCAUUUGAAUUAUAAAAAAAAGGCUUGGGAUGCUUGAACAUUCUCGACUCCUCAACAGAAAGCAAAGAUGCUCUUAUCAGAACUGAUCAUUCUUUUUGCGGAAGCAGUCCCAACGAUCCUUUCCAUCUGCAUAUAACAUCACAAUACUUCUAUUACAACUCACUCAUCACAUUGGUGCUACUGAGAGAGUUAACCUCUUAUUAGGGUUAAAAACAAUUAAUGUGUUUCAGCAUUUAUAUAUCUCAGAAACUGAAAGCAACCCAGUUAGAGUUUUACUUAAUAAAAUACAGAACCGGACUUCAUAAAAUUCCUCUGUGAUAGACCUCUAAGCAUUGUUAUGCAUAUAUAUAUACCACUUCCUAGUUCUAGUUGAGGAACUAGUACUAUUUGAAAUCGACGGAGUGAUAGAAAACGACUAGGUAUGACGACUCCAGUGUGUAAAAACCAUCGCAGGAUUGAAAAUUAGAAUUGGGCAAGUACCUUGAGCAGAUCAAAACGAGAAAAAAGUGCAGUGGACAUCAUGUCAUACGAUCCUUCAUCAAGCAUGUUCAUUAUCUGCAUUUAAAGCUACAAUGAUGAGCAUCCGACUGUCUUUCUCCUCUUAAAAAUUGUGUUGCAAUUAGAUCGAUUAAGAUGCUCUUACCUCAGGGUAAAACUCCUUUCGUUCCGGAAGAGAAUAGAAUAUCAAGUUCUUUAUGCCACGGAUCUGAAACACCAUAAGCCGACAUUGAUCAGAAUUGAAUUCGUAUCAUAGAACGUAAUCAGAGAUCAAAGAUAUAUAUUGAGGAGAAGAAAAAAAACCUUGUAUCUACGAUAGAAGUAUGCCCUCUCAGUGUAGAGCAUGAUCUUUCGGCUCCCUGCAAAAAACCAUUCUCGUGCACGGGAUAUAUCCGCAUUCUUUGUAUAGCUGAAAACAAGAGUCAGGAUUAGGCUACCAUCCGAUGAAAGAAAUCCAGAUAACAAUGAAACAGCAACUUCAGUACAGGGAAGGAAAUGGUCUCACUCUCCAAGAAGACAGAAAGAGGCAUUCUGCGACUUCAGAUAGUUUCUAACCCUGACGAAAUCGUAGUAAGAAGGAAUAAAGAUCAUGACUCCUCCCUACAAACAGGAUUAAAAUACGACAAUCAGGCUCCCAAAUUUAAGUGAUAAGAACAAGGUCUUUGUUCUGACCAACUGUAAUUUAAACUAGGUCAGCCUUUGAAUGAUGAGAGUACCUGAACAGAAUCUUUGAUCUUUGGGAAUAUCUGAACCAAACAGAACAUAAUCAGAAGAUAUUGUAUUUAGGAUUCAACACAAAAAUACAAGUAUAGUCUGUGUAGUGACCCUACUUUCAGUGGUAUAAAAACAAAAACUGAACAAAGAAAUGCGGCAAUGCACAAUAUCAUCCCUUUAAUAUAUCCAUGAAAAAUUAGUUAAUAAGCAAAUUAAAAGCUAGACCUUUUUGGUAAAAUAUUCAAGGCGGGCGUUGUCUGCUUGGGUCAUGGAGUCUGCAUCAAAUCUUUCAUAAAUCUGCAACACAGAAAUAAAGAGAUAAGAUGUCUAGAACCUUUAUAUUUAAGCAUGAUGAUAUUAUACCUGACGGACAGGGAGCAACACUUUCUCGAGAACACCUUUGUAUUCACACGCCAGCUUUAUCUGCAUUGAUUCAUCUAAAAAGUGUGAUGUGACAGUUUUAAUUCAAAGCUAAAACUGAAAGACAAGUUAAUUAAUAUCUACAAUCUUUGUUUGAAAAGACUUGAUAAUUCAAUUCAAAUCGUAGUAGUAGUCUUAGCCUAUAGCAAUUCAUCAAUCAUCUAAUACCCUCAUAACACUAGCAACGAAAAGAUACCGGAGAUGCAUGAAAACGAAUGCCUACCUUUCCUUUAUAGUUCAAGCAUUGGCGAUUGAAUAGACCAUUCAUCUCUGAGAUUAAAUAUUCUUUGGGUUAGUAAGAGUUUUGAAACUUCAAUAAUCACCACUGCCUUCUUUCACAGUGGGCAGAGCAAUACCUGGAGUUAAAUAGGAACUUAGAAUUAUCGACUGUCGAUAGAACCGUGCCUGUCCGUCCAAAUACCUGAACAUAGGACAAUAUUAUUUAAGAUUCUGCCAGAUUUGGGCUCUGCGACACACAAACCGUAUUAGAGAGAAAAAACUUGAAGUCGGAAGAACUACAUACAACGGCCGGAUCCGCAUGACAUUGGUACCAUGUUGCUUUGUUGGCAAUCUAUUUAUGUGGUCGACGACUGUAGCAAGGAACGACCAAUUCUGAAACAUUAUAAUAAAGCACAUAAGGAAUGAAGACAUGAUACUCCACCUUUGCAAAAUCUAUACAUUUACCACAAAACCUACCUGCAUAGAUAUUAUAUCUGCAUGAUCAAUAAUCAAAACCUAUCCACAUGGAAAUUAAAGAAAUAUUAGUAAGUUCAAUAAGGAGAUACAGAAUACGAUUUCAAAUAUUUGCAACAUCAUAGACCAGGUUUAAGAGAUAAAACAAUAGUAGACUAUGUAACUGAAAAAUAUUGGCAUCAAUCGUCUGCUAUCUAUAUAAUAUAUGUUCUCCACGCAAUGAUAAACGAAAUUACCUCAAUGGAGGACAGAUAAUCAACAUCCCUUUCCUUGUUUUCUUCUGCUUGGCCAAUUGCCUAGAAAGAGUAAAAAUGAUAAAGAGAUUGAAUCAAGAAGAUUUACACUAGUAAGUCAUCUUACAAUAUGAUAGGUAAGGGUACCUACCAUAUGUAACUUGAGAGGGGAAGCAAUAAUCAUGUCCGAGGAAUAGAAGUCACCAUACAGUCUAAUGCUCUUCCUGGAAUCAACAAGAAAAUUCAAGUCUCAGGCACCUACCAAAUUAUUUACAAACAGGAGAACGCACUGCAAUGUUAAGGAUGAUGUAAGGAUAUACCUUGUAUGCUUAAUGCCUAACAUAAACUCAUCAUCACUGUUCUUCUCACCAAAAAGGGCUUGCCAAUCAGAAGGUUUUGAAGACUUGUGGGUUGUCGACUUUCCAUUUUUGGAUGUCUUCUCAUCAUCGUCAUCAGAUUCGUCUUCACAUCCAAACUCAGCAUUAAACCGGUCAAGGUGGUCUACAUUAACCUGAAAUCAAUGAACGAUAUUUGAAGAGAACAUAGGCGACUCAAGACGUAAUCAGCAACCGAGAAAAUAUCAAUGCAGAGCAUUUACCCCGUACACAAACAACAUAACACAAUUCUUUUUACAUCAUAUGCUUAAAAUCAAGCUCGUACGCAUCCAUGAGAUGUCAAGUAUCAUAGAAUAACGCAACAUAGUCACAUAGCUGAUGUCAGUUAAAAACAAAGAACUAAAUUUCAUAAUUUAUGUACCCUUUGAGAUUCUGGAGUUAGUUGUAGGAGUCUCUUAACAACGCGAAAGGCAAUACUCCUCAUCGGUAGUAGAAUCAAUACCUGGAUAUACAAGAAACGAAAGGCCAACUGUCAAAUACGAGCAACAACAUAUUUACACACACAAAGCAUCUGCAGAAGGAAAAUAGAAGGGGUCACCUUUGGACGAGUAAAUCCUUGGUCAAGGAAUCCAUCAUCAGAAAGAAUUUCCUCUUCAGACGUCUCUCGAUGCUUUGCAAUUUUACUUUCAUUCUUCUUCACAAGAUCUCUCGUUUUAAAAAUGUGAUUCAGCUGCAUAAGACAAAUUAACUUCAAUAAAACUUGGAGAAAUGUUACGUGUAUUGAAAAGCAACAGAUCCCUCAUAAAAUGAUUUUUAGAAAAAGGAAUAGAAGUAUGCACGCACAGAAUGCAUAAGAUAAGCGUCCAUUGCACUUGAGUCUUCUUCACGGCCUUUAUUGUAAAAGGGUCUCUUGUUUGAAUGCAAAAUAUCCAGGUAGCUGUUGCCUAGAAAAUCAAAUACUAUAAUCAACGACAGAGCCAUAUAAGAAACAUGAAUAAGAUACAUUAUAAAUGAAAAAUGUAAUACGUACAGAUGGAGAAGAAUCUUCUUCUUUUAGAUGAGUCAAAAUCCUUCCCACCAGAUUUCUGGUAUAAUUGAAGCCAGUGCUUAAAUAACUUCGGCUUGAGGCCAUAAGGUGCAUCGUUCUGAAUAGCCUGCAAAAACAAGUUUUUAGAUGUACUGGUAACUCUAAGUUUGGAAGGCGAAUACUGCAACCAUAUCUUUCUGUGAACACAUACAUAGAAGAAAUUUUGUCUGGUUCCUUUCCACCUGCAAUUUGGCAUGUCAAUGGUCGGUGCUUCCCAUUUAAAUUUCCACUUGCCUUCGGGUAAGGUUUUCAAUUCUUCACUUGAUAAUAUGUGACUAAGGUGCUCGCUAAAUGCACUGAACAACAACAAAUGUAUGAAUUUUAAAAUUGCAUUGGAUUAAGCACGUACGCCAAACUGUAAGAAACUUUUAGACAAAGCACAAUCUAAAAUUAAAUUUACCUAGCAGAUGAAGAAGCAUCUACUAAUGGUUGACCAUUGGUAGUCAACUCAAGCUCCUCAUCCGUUUCAUAACCGUCAGAAUCUUCUUCCUCGCUAUGAUUAUCAUUGUUCUCCUUCUCUGUAUUCUCAGUAAUACCUGCGAGACUUUCCUGAUCGUCCCCUUUAUGUAACAAGACAAAGAGAAAUAUGAUUGAGAUGAAUUUGCCAGAGACGAGUAACUACAAGUGAGUUGAAACAAUAUUCAAGUUUACAGGACUAUUAAAAACCGAGUUGCAAGUGGGCAUAAAUGAGAGAAACAAACAACAAUUUUCAAGAAAAGUUAAGGAAAAAAUUACCUUGAAUCUCAUCGUCCUCUUCGUCUGUAGAGAUUUGAUCCUCAGACCCACUGUCAUCAUCAUCUUCCUCGUCCUCAUCAUCUCCUUCUGAUUCGCUUUUACCUUCCUCCUCUCUCUGCCUGUUAAAAGGAUUUGGAAACAUAUAAAAGAUAAAAACUUUAAGAGAGUAAAGGACAGAGGAACAAGAAUGUGGAAUAUAAAUGCUUCGAUCUUCAAACUACCAGUUCACAUAAACACUGAUACGAAUAGUACCAAAUCAACCCAACAGCUUAAGAGUUUGAUAUAAAGGUACCUUCUUUUAUUCAUAUCAGCAACAGCUUUGUUAGAUGAACCGAGAGACGCCAGCAAAUUAUCGUACGUUGUCGGUUUCCUGUAAACCACUGCUUCGGAUUCUUCCUCAAUAGGCUCCUCUUCUUCAGAUGAAUCUACAAAUACAACACACAGACUAGUUUGUUUGAGUUGUUGACAUAACACGAGAUAUGGAACUACUUGUAAGAGCUAAAACAUUACCUAGAUCCUCAUCCUCUGUUGGGUGAUUCGGAACAACUUCCUUCUCAGCAACUUUAGCCUUCUUCGUAUCCCGUUUCUUAUCGAAUUUCUCGUGUGGUCUGUGUCUCUUCGACACUAAUUUGGAGUUUUUCGGAGCCAUUUGAGAUUACAGGAGAAGCUGAGAGUUCUCUCGCUUUGCUUUGAAUCGUCAGAUUGAUGAUUGCCGCCGAUAUUAGGGUUUCGAGGAGAGGCGGUGAGAUAUCGAAGAGGACGACGGAGUUUUUCCUUGGGGGAAACAACUUUAACUAACGCCGUUUAAAAGCUCUUUUGGGUUUAGGGUUUAUCGAUUUUUAUACUAGGAGUAAAAAUGUUAAAACGCUUUUUACUGCUUACUGGUAACUUACUUAGGUGACCGGGACCACCCUGACCAGUCCAAAUAAAUUUAAGGUUUGGAACAACAAACCAAAUAUAUAUUUUGCUUGGUAUGUCACACUCACUCGAUUGUGUCUUUGGCCCAAAAAGAAUUUCACUCAAAAUAGUUAUGAAAAUCUCGUUGUUAAUUUCAACAUUCAUUCACUGUUUUCAUGAUAUUCUCUAAUCUCUAUCCAUUUAUCAAUAUAGUUUAAUCUUUUUUAAUAUUUUAAAUAAACUUAAUUAUUUAUUAUAUAUCUACCUUUUUUAUAAUAUUCCAUAACCAUCAUCUUUGAUUUUUUUUUUUUUUUCUUCUCGUAGGUUCAAGAUUUCUCCAUCCUUGGAACGUUUUUUGUUCUGUGAUUUGGUAUAAAAUGUAACUAACCCCACUAUAUAUUUUGGGCUUAGAGAAUGAUCAUCUCCACCAUAAAUAUAAAACUAAUAUUAAGAUUCCGAAGCAAGGCCUGUAAGGGCAUGAUUAACUCCGGUCUCUUAGCAGCGGUUCUUAACUCAUGAUUUGAUUUUUUUUUGUUUUUUUUUUUUUACAAUUUUCGGCUAAAAACCAUCUCUUAUCCGAAGUUAAGAACCUCAGUUAAGAGGCUGGGGUUAAUGAUGGUCUUAAGCUUGCAAAUAAAAUUACUUGCAUUACAUCACUUGAGAAUCAAAAAUAACACACUUACGUGCAUGAUUCACUAUAAUCAACUUUAGGUGUAUGUAUAUAUCUUAUACAUUUUUGAGAAAAAGACAAAAAUAGCACUAAAUCAAGUUUUUGUUCCCAAACUAGCAUUCAAGGUCAAAAGUCACAAAAAUAGCACUUAAUGUUUAGAGUUAAAGGGUGGGAUUUAGGAUUUAGGGUUUAGAGUUUAGGGUUUAGAGUUUAGGGUUUAGGGUUUAGAGUCGAGAAAUGAAGUUUUGGGGAUAAGAUUUCAAAUUUUGAAAAAUAAAAAAAUUAAAAUUUUCAAAUGAUAAACUUAGAAAGGUGCUAUUUUGGUCAUUUUAGUUUUUGAGUGUUAUUUUUGUGAUAUAAACUUAGAAAUGUGUUAUUUUGGAGAUUUGCCCUACAUUUUUUCCUCGAUUACAUUAAGAAUAUUAUUAUAUUUCAAAACAAAAAAAAAUCUUCGAUUCUUUUGUUCUCUUCAUCAGUCACUUGACGAGAUGUAGAGGAACCGGAAGAGAAAGAGGCAACAAAGGUUCGUGAACAAUCCCAACCGAUAUCUUGCAAUGAUCAGAGCUCACCAUCUUCUCCAUCUCCAUAAUCUCGUUGAUAAGUCCCAUUAAUAUCCUCUCCAUAGCUUCACCAUCGGUCCAAUCUCUAACCGUGGCCUUAACCAAUGCCGGAUUUUGACUAAUCAAAUCCCAAACCGGGAAAUUCUUCCUUGGCAUCAUGUAAUCUUCAGCUUUGAGUCUAAGACUAGGACAAUAAUCACCAGCACCAUCUCCUAGGUAGAUCAUCUUCAUAUUCUUUCCUUCUUGGGUAAAAGAAGCUUGAAUCCUCUCAAUAAUCAAACUCUAUUACAAUUAUAAAAUAAAAUUAUUAAUUAUAACAGUAGAAACACAAACCCGAAUCCCUAUAGAUUCAGCACAUGACAUGUGUUGAUAGUAUAUAACAAAAAAUUCAUGUAUACCUUGCACAUGUUAGGAGGGCAACGAGAGCAACCAUGGGAAGAUUUGGUGAAGUCAUUGUAAGGAGAGAUUCUUAACCUUCCUUGUUCAUCUACAAGUCCAGGGUUUGUGUUAAUCUCUGAGAAAUACUCACUAAUCCCGAGAUGUUCAACGAUGGUUUCGAUGAAGAACGUGUUGGCAUCACUCACUAUUCUCAGCUCGCACCUGAAAUAUUACCAGGAUUAUAAUGGAUUAUUCAUUACUAUAAAGUCUUAAUCUUUAAUCAAUAAAAAAUCUCUAAUCAAAUAAAUUAAUUUAAAAUUUUGAUUUACCCUAAAGCAUGAGCGGACUUGAUGGCAGGGAUGACACGAGGAUGAAUAGGGAUCCUUCUCAAUACUUGUUUGAUUUCUUCAAUGGUUUUACCAUGAUCAUGAAGCUCCUUCAUCAUCCGAUCCUGUUACGUAAAAAAAAAGACAAAUAUGUUUUAGCUUAAAUUUCGAGAAUCUUGACGAACACGGAAAAAAAGCCCUAACAGAGAAGAGAGAGAGAUGGAUGAUGAACAAACCAUGAGAGAGUUCCAAGGCAUUGUGGGGAGAAGCUGUUCGAACAACUCGGUGAAGCCAAGCUCAUCGACGACCCAGUUAUCACUGUCCACGUCGAUGAUCGUCUUGUCGAAAUCGAAUACGAUGACAAUGUUGUUCUUGUUAGCCAUUGUUCCGACAAAACAGAGAAAGACUUGCGGGAAACCUUAAAGUUUGUUAGGUAUCUGUGUGAUUAUUAUAAUGAAUGUGGAGGAGAUGAAUGUGGUUUAUAUACAAGUGGAGAAGAGAGAAACGAAUAUGGAUUUUUUCAGAAGAUGCCAUUGGAAUAUUACUUUGAGAGUAUGCUAAGAAAGAAUUGGUAUUUGGUUCUUAUUUUUUUUAAACCGUUGGAUCUAAUGAUGGUUUUGGUCAGAUGUUGACUAGGUGUGCUGAUCCGACGGUGUUUGACGCCUCUUGGUUUAUUUUCUGGGGUAUUAUUAUUAUUUAACUCAGUUUGGCUUGUUAAUAGUUUGUUUAAAGUGGGAUUUUAGGCAGCUGAGAAGACACGUGAAUGAGAUAAAAGAAUAUUCCACCUAUUAAUCCGUUCCAAUUAUUUAUUUAUUUAUUAGAAUAAAUUCUUACCAAAUAAAAAAAGAUUUUGUCUUAAAAAAAUACUAAACCAAAAAAAAGUAUAUGCAAUGUAUAUUGAUUUUUUUUUUCAAACAGUUAUUCUAUUACUCAAACGCAAUAUAUUUUGAUUUCUUUCUUCUUUUUGCAUGGGAUAUAUAUGGAUGAUAUUUUACUACCGAGUGACACAUUUGCUCUUGCUUAUGUAUAUUAGCUUAUGAUAUUUCUCAAUUAAAUUACAUUUUAUUUCGUGUUUUCGGCAUCACAUUCUUUUAUACGGAGAAUAAUUUUGUUCGAAUGAAACAAAAAUUAUGCAUGGUUAGUGGUUUUAUCUAAUAGGUUACACGCUUUGUCGACAAAGCUAAGGCCACAAACCUAUCACUCGGUUGGACUAAACCUUAAAACGUAGCAUUUAUCAAAAUUUAAAGUGUGAAACACAUGUGGGGAUUGCAUCAGAAGGCACUAGCGAGUUGAGGAGGAAAGUUGAAAGGAAUAUUCUUUGAGUUAAGGAUCAUCAUAUUUCUUUGGUGGCCACAUCUUUCAAUCAAUAUUCAUCCAUUUGAUUUCUUCAAUUAUUUUUUUUUCUAAAAUUGAAAGCAAUUUCAGCCGAUCACCAAGUCUUAGUAUGACAACACAACACUGUAUGUGUAUAUCUCUAUUUAUAAAAUAUUCAUAAUAUAUCUGGAAUUUAUCUGACUAUAUCAGAAAGAUCCCCAUCAAAACAUUGUUCUUUUAUUCCUCUUCCUCACGUCUUUAGACAACUAUUGUAAUAUUAGACAACUAUUGUAAUAUCAAAGGAAGUAUUUUUUUAGUUGUAAAUCUGUAGAGCCACGAAAAUCCAUCGAUUCGUCACUCUAGAACAACUAGUUGAAUCGUUUUUUUUUUUUUGGAAUAUAUGUUAAAUUUAUUCAAAAAAAUAAAUAACAUUCUUACAACUAGUGCAUCAGUUUUUUUUUAAAAAACUAUGGAACUUCUAUGUAAAUGAUAGAAAAUUGUGUGUCAUCUUGUGGCAGGCCACAGAUAUAUAUAGACCUGCUGUCAGUUUGAAGUUUCCCUGUUGGCGAAAAGCUAAGCAUCGAUCCCGAACUUGUCGAUCCACCAUUCUCGCAAGUGUUACUGCUGUAAUAGGUGUAGCCCCAUGUCUCAUGUCAUUCCUUUCUUUCCACAGUGAGUAUAUUGUGGCUUGGAUGGUGUACCUUGAGAGGUAAAACCACAGUUCUGUCUAACGUCGCAUGGCCAUAUUAUGUUAUGGAUAUAUAUAUUCUCCAUAUUAUCCUCUAUACUUAAAGCCAUUUUUAGUAUAAUUAGAGUUCUGUGUGCAUCAUCUACUAAGCUCAAUAAUCAGCAAUGACAAUGGCAGAGCGUGAUAAUAUGUAGUCAAAGAUGAUACUGUUCUCAACAUUGAAGAUAUGAGGACUUGAGGAUACAAGUAAUUUUUAUUGUGGGUAGCAGUAAAAAUUACAAAAGGGUGUCUGGAAAUACAAUUGAAAAGAGAGACAUGACAUAUAGGGAGCAUACGGAGUGUUCAAGAAGAAAAAGAUAUGACAAAAGAAUCAAUUAACAAAUUGCAACACAAACCCUUCCCAACGUCUCAUACUUGAAAAAAAAAAUCCCACACAACAUAAGCUGUUUCUUCUUAAAAGAGUAAUAGAAUCGAAGCUAAAAGAAAGAGGACAACCUAAGUAGGAAGGGUGGUUCAGAUAUUUCAGAAAAUUACCCUUAUGGUAAAAAAGAUUUCUCCUUUACUUCCCCAACCCAACAUUUUUUACCGUCUAACUCCUGAAAGAUUAUACUGUUUCUUCUUCCAUGGACAGCGUUGCAGUGACUGGUCAGGCUUUGGUCUUGGUCACAGCAUAACUCUGUUACUACUACACCUUUUUUCUGGUUACAUAAUCACUUUGGUAGAGCUAAAAAAGAGCGAGAGAGAGUCUGGAAAAAUGAGAAAAGGAAAGUUAAAUUGGAGCAAGCUGGUUCCAUGUUUUUUUUCUUCCAUCUCUCUCACCAGUUCAUGCAUAGUACAUGUACAAGCUGUUCGCUGCUGCACAAGCAAUUGAGUUCUCUGUUGGGUGCCAAGCCAUGUGCAGCAACUUAUUUGUGAAGUCAUAUCCGUUCCCAUUCGCCUCUGCUCCUGGACUCUCUGAUCCUGCGUCCAAACACAAUUUUUUUCACUCCACAAGAAAACAGUAAAAGCUUGAAUGAGUAUAGUGUUAGCUACUACCAACUAACCUCGUCUAACCAUACGCGUCAUGCUGCUAAUAGUUCUGGAAGGUCUUGCAGGUGUCUGGAUUUGCCUCCUAAUAUAAAGAAUUGAUGCAAAAAAUUGCAAUUGAUCAAUAUAAAUCUAUAACUUGGGGUUAAACUAUCAAUGUUCUCUGUUUUUUUUUUAUUUACCUCAUAGGGUUUUUGCUAGCUUCCAAAGUUGCAGCUUCAGUACUUCCUUGAGACGCUCCAAAUACUCGGAAUAGAUUGCUGGUUUUAAGCACAAUAAGUUUAGUCAUUUCUUCAUCCCUUAUAUAAGAUAGAAUAGUAUUGGAAUUGACCAAAACACAAGCAAGCAAGAACCUGUAAGAGCCUGUUGCUACCCUCAAUCCAUCACCACUUAGACAACACUCGAAUUUAUCAAAGAUGGAGUCAUUUUCAUAUAGAUCGCACAGCUGCAACCCCGGUAAAAACAUAAUGUGGUUAGUUUUCAAGACAUAAUCAUCAAAUGAGAGAUGCCUACAGAACGAAGCGCUUACUUUGGGUCUCAGAUGUUCAUGAACCUGGUACGAUGCAACCGGACCAGAAUCCAUGUUUAUGUCCCACAGCUGAAACGUCAGAAUGGGCAAAUAUCAGAAACUACUAAAGGUUACACUUAUGUUGGCCAAAAAUUAGAAAAUGUGAAUCAGAUGAUUUCCAAACCUUGAGGGUCAUGUAAUCGCGGCUAAGUAUGUAUCUCCCAUCUUUUGAAAAUUUAAUAUCUGAAAUGGAGGCAAUUAUCUCUGUGAAAAAUGAUCUGGAACCAGGCGCUUCCGGUUCUUCAAACCUGUGAUAUGAAGUAGCAAAGGUCAGUGGUCUGAAACUUUAGUCUAAUAAUCUUCACUUCCAAGUCAUUUCUGACAAGAUAAGAGACUUGUCUACUUGUUUAUAUCCCUUCUUACUUAGAAUUUUACCCUUUUCGAUGAAGGAUGAGGAUAACAGAACUUACAAUUUAGUAUGAGAAUCACACAGAGCUGAUUGCCUCAUAUCAAUCAAACGGAUGGAGCCUUUUGAGCUGCUAUAUGCGAGCAUAUUACAAUGGAUUGGAUGAAACUCGGCAGAUGUAAUAACCUCUGCAGACACCAUGUAGUAUUCAAAACAUGCUCGACGAGCAUAUAUCUUAUAUAGUAAACGCGAAAAUAAGAGAAUUUCAAAAUAUGGAGGUGAAAACAUAUGCGUCAUGUUAAGACAAUACAAAACAUAACUGAUAAAAAGGGAAGGAAGCAUACCAGUUAAGUCCUCCAUGUUUGUAGGCUUAACAUCAACAAUGUUGAAGCUCUGGUUGCUGAUUUCCAAAUUCCAGAGAUUUACGCGCAGAUCAUCGGCCGAAAUAAAGGUUUCUCCAUCGCUUCAAAGUUUAGAAAAACAGACAUCAGUGCAAUGGAGAAAACAAUGCACUGUAAGGCAUGUACGUACUAGUUGUGAAAUUUAAUAUUAACUAAAUUCGUUAAUGAGAAUGGUAGCACAACAAGACGUGAAAAGACAUGUAUAAUAAAAUUCUAAAAGUGUAUUUAAAUAUUUACUGAGAUGGAAAAUCAAGGAGAAAGACAGUAAAAAUGUGGUUAUAAACAUAUCACGAGGGAAACAUAUAAAAACUUAGGAAAAAGAAUACCUGCUGUUUGAGAUUGAAUUAAUAUGGUAAUCAUGUGCAUGAGCAUACACUCUUCGGCAUCUUGCCACAAGGCUUGUCUCCAGGCUAGUCACCUAGAUAUGCAGAACGACCCAUUAUUCCAAGCGAAGUAUCAAUUGACUAAUGCUUGUCACAAGCUUUAUUUACAGCAAAGGGAAGAUGGACAACUAGUAAACUCCCUACAUUUUACAACUAGAGUAGUAGGAAACAUGCACACCUUCCAGUCUCAAAGUACAAGGCAAUCAAAUAGAUCACUGGAUCAACUCUUUAUACUGGAAUCAAGCUAAAGGCAUGAGCAAAAAUAAUAUAGUAGACAUGCUGGAUAUCUAUAUGCAUAUAGUUUUCCAAAUCCUGAAACUAAAAACUUUCAAAAUAAUACUGCGUUUAAGUACAAUUACCACAGGCAAACGCAGAGAUGGGAGGCCUCCUGGAGGGAAGGAAAAUUUGCUCAGGUAGUCAUGCGCUGGAUCGGCAUGUACUCCAUUAGCAACUACUGGAGGAGGGCUGCUUGAACUCGGUUGACCUGGAGUUUUCGACGGAUCAAUAUUCAUCUCACUAAUUUUCUUGAUCUUCUUCUCUUGUACCUGCUCGAUCAAAAAGGAGUAAGGACGUCAAAAACUCUUUCAUCUUUUUGUUUUUUACGGAGCAUAACAAACCAGUUUCUAGACCACUUUCGCAUGAGACACCUAAAAUAUUUCGAAACAAGAUAAAAGGCCAUUCAAAUGUCGCACCUUCCAAUAUUUGAUGGUUUUAUCAUUUGUGGAAAGCAGAAACAAUGCACCGUUAGCAGGCUGACACCACCUGAUUUUGUUGAUUUUCUCUUCUAUUUCCAAACUCUUGAGAUAGUCAAACUGAAAGAGAUUGGAAACCGAGUUAAUUUUGCAUCACUAGCAACAUAAUUAUUCAUAAACUGAAAUCUGGUAAACAUGGUUGUAAAUUUACCUCAGGUUCAUGACUCUGAAACUCUGUUUUAUAUCGAAACUCAGGAUGCCUAACUGUGUAGUCCAUCUGCUCAGCAUCUCUCCUGGACACACCAUUCUGAAAAACAACACCGCACAAGAAUGCAUUUCUUUUUUAAAGACGAUUGAAGUAAAUCUUGCAGAAGAAAAAAAGGAACGCACAUCUUUAUUAUCAGUCCUCUCAAAAAGAACCACUCGGCCCCCACGGUCACCAGUUGCAAGAUGGUCUCCACUCUUAUCAAAUUCAAUGGCUGAAAUGAUGUCAACUGCGGAACAAAUUUGUAGAACAUAAAGAAUUCAUCACAAAACUGUAGGAGCUAAACACAGUAAAAACCAUAAACUGCAGCUCGAACAUUCUUCUCCGCUACAUAAUGAAAGUAAACAAGUGAAGAAAAGUUGGUACAACAACAUGAAAAACAUUGAGAGAAACUACCUCGCUACACUAGCAAUCUUAUCAGCCAGCAGAAAGCAAAACUUUAAACCAACUCAAUCUUACAAAUUCAAUUCAAUGCAUGAACAAUUGACAACACUUCAUCACUUCUCGCACGACAUACAAUUCAUCAUACGCUUCCUAAUCAGUGGAAACACAGUAGCCAUGGCUAUGUCAUUAAACAAACAGAAGCUUCUAGCUAGCUCAGAUUACACCUCCUAAGUCACACAACUAACAGUACAAAUCUAAAUACACUCAGAUCAAUGACACACUCUAAGCAGGCAGAUCAGAUCCAAACCACAAAUCAAAUCCUUAAGUCCUCAAAACACCCUCCGGAUCUAAAACAAAUCUCCUCACAAUCUCUAACGCUUAAGUAUUACCUUCCUGGACUUCUUCUCCAGCGGUUCGCUCGCCGAAGACCUGAGAGAAUCUCCACUCUAAAGGCGGAGGAGGACCACCACCACUAGAAGCAGCACCGUCACCACCACCACCACCACCGUUCAUGUUUCUUUCUUUUGCGUUGAUAAAAAUAAAAUAAAAUAAAAAUAUCCAAACCAAAUCUGAGCUUCCAAAUCUCGAUCACCGAGACGAAGAUCGCGUCAUCACCAUCACCAAAUCCAUCGAUUCACAUUCCAUUCCAUAGUUUCUGUUCCUCGAUUGAAUCACUUUGAUCGAUGAUUGAUUUCGUAGAAAAUGGAGGAAGGAACGAGAGAAGGAAGAAAACGCCUUCACCUUUCUCUCUCUCUCUCUAGAAGGAUAAAAUCGGAAUUACAAUCUUUUUUUUUCUUGCUUCGGGACCAACACGAAGGAUCGAAUCGUAUAAGCUAAUGUCUAAUACUAUAAUGUUCUUUGUCCUGAUUAUCAUGGUUAUCGUUCGAGUUACAGGCGGUGACGUGAUUUUAUUCGCUCAGUAAAUAUGAGUGAACGGUGACCUGCGAAGUCGCAUGUCAUUGGUCUGUUGUGGAGGUGCGCUUGCCAGUUGCCACUGUUAUAUGAUGGGUGAUGUGUAUCAAUAUCACUAAUACUGUUUAUAAUUAAUUAAUUAUGCCAAUUAUCUCAAAUAAGAUUCCAUUGCACAUUGUUUUGCUUUAUACAAAGAACAUUAUGAUUUAUGUGAUAAACAAAUUUGCAACAGGAGAUGCUAAGAACAUUUACUUAGAAUAUAACUUUUUCUUACAUAAUUUCAUUUAAUUAUUACAUAUGUAAUGUAAGGAGGAUUUAACAGGUUUAUAAAUUGGUAGGAAACAAUUAACAUGUAUAAAACCAAGUAUUAAUCAGACGAAUUUAGAAGUCUUAGUACUCAAAAACCAGUAUAUGAAUUAAUUUGAUUUUUGGAUAAACAAUUAAAAAAAAAUAAACUUGAAAGGAAAAUUAGUACUCAGCGACUACUAAACCGGAAACAGUAAAACCAGUUAGUCCAUGUUGAUUUAGGGAAUGUGUUCACAGCUUCCUCGUUUUAAACGUCCCCUUGCCUCAUAUGCAGAAGAAACUUGCUCGAGUGAUCUCUCCCAAAUUUGAAGGAGCCCUAUAUAAUACUCGGAAUUACAUAUCUUAACCGAUUCAUUUGCAAGAAAAUGGUAUAAAACAAACACGAGUAUUAGGGAUCUAACUCACACACACACACACACUGUUCUAUAUAGCCACCACACAAAUGAAAGCUUACUGGCAUCAGCAUCAAAGAGGGGACUAGCUCGCAGGAGAGAUUCAUCUAUUCUUCCUAUUCUUGCCAAAAUAUCUGAAAGUUGUUGCAAGCUAUAUGUUGGUUAUGUAUAAAAUAUAUAAAGGAAGAGAUGUUCAUUGUGUUGGGGGUUGAAAGAACUGAAAGGAUGCUUGCUCGACUUUUACGAAUUAAUUUGCGUUUGGAAUUUUCUGAUGGUGUUUUCGGUAUUUUAAGUGACUUUUACAUUUUGAACUUAGGUUCAUUAGUCCCAAGGGACUGAUGAUGUUGCGCACGGAAGGGUUGGAUCAACUUAAGAUCAUGGUAUAUCCUGAGUAUAUAGGCUAUUGAAUCAUUAGGAACAAUCAAUCGUUAGCCCAUAGUCCCUAAAACAUGAAACUAAGAAAGAGAAAUGUGCCUAAGGCGGCAUGCAAGCAAACUGUGCACACAAAGAGAAAAAGAGAGAUGUUCGCAAUUACUACCAUAAGAGUUCCAGGUCUAGGCAUUUUAACCUCAACACGAAAACCCGAACCGGAACCGACCCAAAAAUACCGAUCCGGAACUGAACCAAAAAUUUACAUGUACCUUUUGGAUCUAAAUUUCUAUUACCCGAAAUAACCGGAACCGAAAGAAACCGACCCGAAUAGAUCCGGACCCGAAAAGAACCGAUCCGAAUAGAUCCGACUCGAUAAUAACCGAUUUGUACCCGACUUAAAAACAUGUAUAUCUAAAACUAUGAUGUUUUUGUGUUCUAUUUUAUAUAUAUUAUUUUAUGAUUUAGUUGAAAUAUAUUUUGUUAACAAUAUUUGUUAUUAUUUUGUAACAUUUUUAAGUAAUAUGAAGUUUGAAAAUGUAAAAUUUAGAGUUUAAAAAUAUUUUAUUUCAGUUAUUAAUAGUUUCAUUUAAAUUAUUUUGUAAAAUUUUAGAUAUAUAUGACAAAUAUCAACUAAAUUUGAUGAAGUUGGGUAUGUCAUGUCCUUUUCACAUCCCAAAUACCCGAACCCGACCCGGAUCCGUUAUGGACCCGAAAAAUUACGGAUAUUUUAUGGGUAUUUUAAUUGUAAACCUGAACCGACCCGGACCCGAGAAGAACCGACCCGAACCCGAACCGAAAAUUUCUAAGUACCUAUUGGGUCUAAAUAUUUUGGACCCGAAAGACCCGGAUCCGAAAGGAACCGGCCCGAACCCGACCCGAAGACCCGAACGCCCUAUAUAUGUCUUUUUUGGACAAAACAAAAAACUUAUGUGUAAACCUUCAAAUUUGUAUAAAAAAGGAAAAAUUAUAUAACCUCUUACUAAAUUGUUUAUAUCCUUCAAAUUUUAGGACCGGCUAAUGCUUAAAGUAUGAUCAUCUCACUAAUUGGCGUGUCUCUAGAUCAGUCAAAGUUCUUAGAGCAACCCCAUCAAGGGUUUAUAACAGGUUCAUGGGCUCAGUAUCAUAGGGCCGGAUAAUAAAAAUAAAUCAUAUAUUGGGUUUAAUCUCGCGACCCGCCUCUUACGCUUGACCCCGUCCGAUACGGGUUCACGACAGGUGUCGCAUUUUCACUGGGGAAGGGGAGUCGACGUCACGCGGAGGAAAGCGGAGAGAGAAUCAUUUCUCUCAUUUUCGCGUGAAAAGCUAGGGUUUCCUCCUCAUGCGAUUUCCCGUGGGACGCCGAUCUCUCUCCACUUUUCUCUCCUUUUUUCGAUCGAUUCGACGCCGGAUUGUCUCCUCCAGGAGCAGAGGUGAGUAUCGACUCGAUUCACCGUUUAGAUAUAAGAGUUUUGUAGUCGGAAUCGCUAUUGGGAAUUCUUCUCAAUAAAUUUUCUGAUCUCGAGUUAGGGUUCGCAAUGGAGAUGGGUUUGGAUCUACGGUUGUUUAACCUCGUAUAGUGAUUCUAUUUAUCGAUUAAUGGUUAGACUUUUGCGGAUUGAAAAUCAAAUAGGGGUUAUCGAGUUAGGGUUAAAAAAAAAAUUGGGGGUUUCGAUAAGUGGUUUGAAAUCGUAAACUGGGUUGGAUAGACGGUUCGUUUGAUCGUGUUAUUUACAUAUUUUGUGCUAAUCAUUUCAAGUUUUGUGUUUCAGAUGGAUCCCUUAGAAGAGAUAAGAGAUAGUAAGAGGCAACUAGAGUACUUAAACCACCUGGGAAACGUGGCCGAUUCGGAAUAUGGAAUGCCCAGAAGAUGUGCUUGUGGUGGGAGAAUGAUUGACGAGCUUCGAGUCAAGGAUGAGUUCGACACUCAGCCUGGGAAGCGCUUCUUCAGCUGCGUAAACUACGAGGUUAGAUACAAACCCGUGCUACCCUUCAUUACUCAGCCUCUUCAUUAUUAGUUAAAAUUUUAAAAUAUGUUCUCUGAUGUGUUUAUGGUUUAACCAAGGCUGAUGGUUUGCAUUAUCGUCAGCCUUGGGUUAUAGGUGUGCAGGAGGAUAUGGUACGCCUGCGUAAGCGUGUUGAGGAGGCUGAUGAGGUGAUCAAGUGGGUGCCCAUUCUCAAUAAACAGAUUGAGAGUGUUGAGGUUUGUCACUUUGUCUAAGAGUUUCUAUUAGAAAGUUAUUUUUUCUAAAUAUUGGUUUUUAAAUAUUCAGUAACAAGGUUUCUUUUUUUCCUUGUGCAGGCACAAGUUAAAAGGCUGACUUUGUUGCUUGAUAAGCUCACUGGUGACGUGUAUAACCUCUCAGUGCAGGUGGCUGCUCUGGAGAAUGUGUGUUUCGACUGAAAUCGAAAAGGUAAACAUUCAAACUAAACUGAAGUAGAAGUUCUUUCCGCGUAGGUUGUUUGUUGUAGUUGAACUGAUACUUAACUUAACUAGGAACUCAACUAGUUUCAUUAAAUAUCUAGAGUAGGAGCUGUACUAGAUUUUAGGUUUCAUUAAAUAGUUGUUGGUUGGUUGCUGUGAUGAAUGGUCAUAAAAUGCUAUCUGUCCGAAACUUGUUUGAGUUUAAAAAAUUGAUUUGAUGUGUAAUGAAUGCAUUCUGUGAUAAACUUGUUGUCUAAUUAAGGGUAAUGAAUGUUUGGUAGUUAGAAACACCUUUUAUAGAUACUCAAAAUCACUCUAAAUCACCACGCACUUGUCAAAAAACCAAAAAAAAAUUAAAACACAACCCGAAACCAAAAUGGAUCCCUUUUCUCUUAAUUCUCCCGGGUUUGUGAACCUAUUAUCUUCCCAGUGCAGUCAAACCACUCAAACCAUAGAUGUAGGGUCCUCUGAUGUUCCUAAACCGGUGGAGAGGAGAAAGUGGACAACACAAGAAGACAUAGUCCUCAUCAGUGCCUGGUUGAACACCAGUAAGGAUCCCAUAGUUAGUAACCAGCAGAAGUUAGGGUCUUUUUGGAAAAGAAUAGAGGAUUACUUUAAUUCAAGCGCUCAGCUCAUUGGCUUUGCUCCCAGAGAGUGGAGUCAGUGUAAGCAGAGGUGGGGAAGGGUUAAUGAGCAGGUGUGUAAGUUUGUUGGAAGCUAUGAGGCGGCUUUGAAGGAGCAAGCUAGUGGCCAAAAUGAGAACGAUGUCAUGAAGUCUGCUCAUGACAUCUUCUUUAACGACUACCAGGCGAAGUUCACACUUGAACACGCGUGUGCGAUUUCCCGUGGGACGCCGAUCUCUCUCCACUUUUCUCUCCUUUUUUCGAUCGAUUCGACGCCGGAUUGUCUCCUCCAGGAGCAGAGGUGAGUAUCGACUCGAUUCACCGUUUAGAUAUAAGAGUUUUGUAGUCGGAAUCGCUAUUGGGAAUUCUCAAUAAAUUUUCUGAUCUCGAGUUAGGGUUCGUAAUGGAGAUGGGUUUGGAUCUACGGUUGUUUAACCUCGUAUAGUGAUUCUAUUUAUCGAUUAAUGGUUCGAUUUUUGCGGAUUGAAAAUCAAAUAGGGGUUAUCGAGUUAGGGUUAAAAAAAAAAUUGGGGGUUUCGAUAAGUGGUUUGAAAUCGUAAACUGGGUUGGAUAGACGGUUCGUUUGAUCGUGUUAUUUACAUAUUUUGUGCUAAUCAUUUCAAGUUUUGUGUUUCAGAUGGAUCCCUUAGAAGAGAUAAGAGAUAGUAAGAGGCAACUAGAGUACUUAAACCACCUGGGAAACGUGGCCGAUUCGGAAUAUGGAAUGCCCAGAAGAUGUGCUUGUGGUGGGAGAAUGAUUGACGAGCUUCGAGUCAAGGAUGAGUUCGACACUCAGCCUGGGAAGCGCUUCUUCAGCUGCGUAAACUACGAGGUUAGAUACAAACCCGUGCUACCCUUCAUUACUCAGCCUCUUCAUUAUUAGUUAAAUUUUAAAAAUAUGUUCUCUGAUGUGUUUAUGGUUUAACCAAGGCUGAUGGUUUGCAUUAUCGUCAGCCUUGGGUUAUAGGUGUGCAGGAGGAGAUGGUACGCCUGCGUAAGCGUGUUGAGGAGGCUGAUGAGGUGAUCAAGUGGGUGCCCAUUCUCAAUAAACAGAUUGAGAGUGUUGAGGUUUGUCACUUUGUCUAAGAGUUUCUAUUAGAAAGUUAUUUUUUCUAAAUAUUGGUUUUUAAAUAUUCAGUAACAAGGUUUCUUUUUUUCCUUGUGCAGGCACAAGUUAAAAGGCUGACUUUGCUGCUUGAUAAGCUCACUGGUGACGUGUAUAACCUCUCAGUGCAGGUAGCUGCUCAGGAGAAUGUAUGUUUCGACUGAAAUCGAACAGGUAAACAUUCAAACUAAACUGAAGUAGAAGUUCUUUCCGCGUAGGUUGUUUGUUGUAGUUGAACUGAUACUUAACUUAACUAGGAACUCAACUAGUUUCAUUAAAUAUCUAGAGUAGGAGCUGUACUAGAUUUUAGGUUUCAUUAAAUAGUUGUUGGUUGGUUGCUGUGAUGAAUGGUCAUAAAAUGCUAUCUGUCCGAAACUUGUUUGAGUUUAAAAAAUUGAUUUGAUGUGUAAUGAAUGCAUUCUGUGAUAAACUUGUUGUCUAAUUAAGGGUAAUGAAUGUUUGGUAGUUAGAAACACCUUUUAUAGAUACUCAAAAUCACUCUAAAUCACCACGCACUUGUCAAAAAACCAAAAAAAAUUUAAAACACAACCCGAAACCAAAAUGGAUCCCUUUUCUCUUAAUUCUCCCGGGUUUGUGAACCUAUUAUCUUCCCAGUGCAGUCAAACCACUCAAACCAUAGAUGUAGGGUCCUCUGAUGUUCCUAAACCGGUGGAGAGGAGAAAGUGGACAACACAAGAAGACAUAGUCCUCAUCAGUGCCUGGUUGAACACCAGUAAGGAUCCCAUAGUUAGUAACCAGCAGAAGUUAGGGUCUUUUUGGAAAAGAAUAGAGGAUUACUUUAAUUCAAGCGCUCAGCUCAUUGGCUUUGCUCCCAGAGAGUGGAGUCAGUGUAAGCAGAGGUGGGGAAGGGUUAAUGAGCAGGUGUGUAAGUUUGUUGGAAGCUAUGAGGCGGCUUUGAAGGAGCAAGCUAGUGGCCAAAAUGAGAACGAUGUCAUGAAGUCUGCUCAUGACAUCUUCUUUAACGACUACCAGGCGAAGUUCACACUUGAACACGCGUGGAGGGAGCUGAGGUUUAACUCUUAGUCAUAUUUUCUUCUUUUAUCUAUUCUUUUUUUUCUUUAAAAGAAAUGUCGUCCUCAUCGUCAGAUGGCGUAGAUGAAGCUUUUGAAGAAUUUUUUGACGAAGAAUUUGAUAAUAUCGUCGACUCCCUACUUGAUGUACAAGCCAACAAACCAAAAAGACGAGCUUAUAUCGAAAGAGAUCGGGAACAAGGCCACAUUCAACUAUAGAACGACUAUUUCCACGAAAAUCCUACUUACCCACCGGACAUGUUUAGGAGGCGUUUUCGAAUGAACAAGCCCUUGUUCCUUCGCAUUGUCGAACGGCUCAGUACAGGUGUUCCAUACUUUCGGCAAAGACGAAAUGCUACAGGUCACGGGUUCUAGAGGUCACGGGUUCUACUGGCGCAGCACUUUUUUUUCUGAGGUUGAUGGGUUAUCGUAGUAGUAGUAGUUGUACUGUAGUGUGGUUGAUGGGUUGUGCUUCACAGGAAGCAUAUUGUAAUAGGCAGUAGUGUUGUUGUCACGGGUUGUACUGGUGACAACACAUUUUCAAGUACUUGUUGUUGUUUAUGCAAGUGUCACGGAUGUUGUAUAACAUCACUAUAUAAUCUAUGUCUCAUUUAUGCAUUGGUCUCAUCUUCUUGUUCAUCUCUUCUCUCUAAAACAAUCAGAACACAACUCUAUUUCCCAUCUCUUAUCUAAACAAUCACAACACAACGCCCAAACAUUCUUCUUCUAUCAAGCGCAAACAUCCUUCUUCUUAUCUAACCCCACGCCCAAACAUUCGUCUUCUAUCAAGACAACCACAAGACAAUCCACCCACGCCCACACAUUCUUCUUGUAUCAAGCUUUUUUUUUUUUAAACACUUCAUCAUAUUUUCUUCUUCUAUCUCUUUUUUUUUUUCAAAAUUUUCUCUUAAUUAUAUAUUUUUUAAAAAACUCCAUCAUAUUUUUAAUUUCAACUCUUAGUCAUAUUUUCUUCUUUUAUCUAUUCUUUUUUUUCUUUAAAAGAAAUGUCGUCCUCAUCGUCAGAUGGCGUAGAUGAAGCUUUUGAAGAAUUUUUUGACGAAGAAUUUGAUAAUAUCGUCGACUCCCUACUUGAUGUACAAGCCAACAAACCAAAAAGACGAGCUUAUAUCGAAAGAGAUCGGGAACAAGGCCACAUUCAACUAUGGAACGACUAUUUCCACGAAAAUCCUACUUACCCACCGGACAUGUUUAGGCGGCGUUUUCGAAUGAACAAGCCCUUGUUCCUUCGCAUUGUCGAGCGGCUCAGUACAGGUGUUCCAUACUUUCGGCAAAGACGAAAUGCUCACGGAAGGAAAGGGCUAUCACCACUUCAAAAAUGUACGGCAGCUGUACGUAUGCUCGCAUAUGGUGAAUCGGGAGAUACGUAUGACGAAUAUCUCCGACUUGGUGAAAGUACGACACCUUUAUGUUUGGAACAUUUCACUAAUGGGAUAAUAGACUUUUUUGGUGAAGAGUAUCUAAGAAGACCUACGGCGGAAGAUCUUCAACAAUUACUCGAUAUUGGAGAGGUACGCGGGUUUCCAGGGAUGAUUGGCAGCAUUGAUUGUAUGCAUUGGGAGUGGAAAAACUGCCCAACGGCUUGGAGAGGGCAGUACACACGAGGUUCAGGAAAGCCGACAAUUGUCUUAGAGGCUGUGGCAUCAGAAGAUCUUUGGAUAUGGCACGCAUUUUUCGGAUUACCAGGUACCCUAAACGAUAUCAAUGUUCUUGAUCGGUCUCCUGUUUUUGAUGACAUUAUACAAGGUCGAGCACCUAAAGUUAAAUUCAAGGUCAACAAUCACACUUACCGUAUGGCGUACUACCUUACUGACGGAAUUUAUCCGAAUUGGUCAACAUUUAUCCAAUCCAUCCCACUUCCUCAAGGUAAUAAAGCAGAGCUGUUUGCUAAACAUCAAGAAUCCACUAGGAAAGAUGUCGAACGGGCUUUCGGGGUAUUGCAAUCGAGGUUUGCAAUAGUAAAAAACCCAGGUCUACUAUGGGACAAGGAAAAGUUAGGGAAGAUUAUGAGAACUUGUGUCAUAUUGCACAAUAUGAUUGUGGAGAACGAACGAGGCGGAUACUCUCUAAGUGAUACUUCUCAGUUCGAGUCAGGAGAGUCAAGCAGAAGUUCGAAGGUCAAAAGGAGAGAAAGUUUGCAUUUGAAUAACAUGCUAGGCAUGUGCAAUGAAGUUCGGGAUUCAGGAAAACAUGAUAGUUUGAAAACUGAUUUAGUUGAAAACGUAUGGCAAAAAUUUGGUAACAUAGAUGAAUAAUCUUUGUAUGUUCAUCAAUUAUCAAUGUAAUGAAUAAAUUUUAUUUAUAAAAUAUAUUUUAUAAUAUUAUAUUCAUCUUUCCAAAAUAAUUUCAAAACUAAAAAAAAAUUAUAAAUAUAUUAUCUAAUUCUUAUGAACCCCUUCUUCAGGUUCAAUAAUGCAGAAACACAAUAGCAAAAAGUUUAAUACUAUUUAUGGUUCCACCAAAAAAAUAUUAAAAAAAUGCUAUGAACCCCAAAGAGGGUUCACUAAUGUGGAUGCUCUUAGAAGUCAAUCUCUCAUGUCUUGUUUUUUUUUUUUGACAUUAUCAUCAUGUCUUGUUUAUUGCAGGAUAUUCUUAUCAAAGAAUAAAAUAAUUAGUGUAUAGUGUAGUAAUAUGACUAUGUAAAAAUUGCAGUUCGAAUCUAUUUCUUACUGCGAAAAAAUAUAUAAAGAAUUAAUUGGUUUAAAGAUGCUUUUGAAAAUCCAAUGAUGCUAGUGGGGAAUCAUCGAAAAAGAUUGGUCGACAGUUAUUUAAAUUUGAUUAUUGAGGAUGCACAUGGCGAUAGAUUCCUAACCUAUCACAGUAAUAAUAUAGACAACAAUGUAUUUUAGUGUCAAAAUCUUAUUGAAUAAUUCUAUUUUCACGUGUAAGAUCUCAUUGAUUAUAAAUUCAUAAGACUUACACUAAAAAAGCUUGUCAUUACAUUACCUGCUCGAUACAAAACAUUUUUCUGAAUUGAUAUAUCAAAUAGUAAUGUGUUUACUAUUCUUAUAUGAUUUAUUUUUCCUGAGACAACGAUGUGCACCAAGACAAUAAACGCUAUACUUGAUGCAUGUUCCUCUCGUUUUAUAUACACUAUCUUACCAACUAAACAAUUCAACAGAAUAUACAUUUAUCUUAGGUAGCCGAAUUUAUAAUUUUGACCGCAAAGUAAAAUAAAAAAAAAGUGAAUCCAUAACAUGUCUAUUAAUAGGCACGUUUUGCCUCGCCACAUUCUCACACAAAGCAAACAAAGUAAAAAGAAAAAAGAAACAAAUCAUGGCGCUUUCGUCUUCUUGUUCAACGCUCAAAGCCGUCAACUCACGGUGGACGUCACCAGCACCAAAACUCGCCGCCAUCCGUCGACACUCUCUGUUACCGGAGCUCCGUUACACACCAAACGUCAAACUAACUGCGACUAACGCCUUGAGAACCGUGGAGCAAACGACGUUAACGGAGGACGACCAUCUCUCCACCUACGGAUCUGACCAAGACGACCAAGAGUCGCUUCCAAAGCCGAGGAUCCUCGUCGCCGAGAAGCUAGGAGAGGCCGGAGUGAACCUCCUCAAGGAUUUUGGCGACGUGGACUGCUCUUACGAGCUUUCACCGGAGGAUCUGACUAUGGGACAAGGAAAAGUUAGGGAAGAUUAUGAGAACUUGUGUCAUAUUGCACAAUAUGAUUGUGGAGAACGAACGAGGCGGAUACUCUCUAAGUGAUACUUCUCAGUUCGAGUCAGGAGAGUCAAGCAGAAGUUCGAAGGUCAAAAGGAGAGAAAGUUUGCAUUUGAAUAACAUGCUAGGCAUGUGCAAUGAAGUUCGGGAUUCAGGAAAACAUGAUAGUUUGAAAACUGAUUUAGUUGAAAACGUAUGGCAAAAAUUUGGUAACAUAGAUGAAUAAUCUUUGUAUGUUCAUCAAUUAUCAAUGUAAUGAAUAAAUUUUAUUUAUAAAAUAUAUUUUAUAAUAUUAUAUUCAUCUUUCCAAAAUAAUUUCAAAACUAAAAAAAAAUUAUAAAUAUAUUAUCUAAUUCUUAUGAACCCCUUCUUCAGGUUCAAUAAUGCAGAAACACAAUAGCAAAAAGUUUAAUACUAUUUAUGGUUCCACCAAAAAAAUAUUAAAAAAAUGCUAUGAACCCCAAAGAGGGUUCACUAAUGUGGAUGCUCUUAGAAGUCAAUCUCUCAUGUCUUGUUUUUUUUUUUUGACAUUAUCAUCAUGUCUUGUUUAUUGCAGGAUAUUCUUAUCAAAGAAUAAAAUAAUUAGUGUAUAGUGUAGUAAUAUGACUAUGUAAAAAUUGCAGUUCGAAUCUAUUUCUUACUGCGAAAAAAUAUAUAAAGAAUUAAUUGGUUUAAAGAUGCUUUUGAAAAUCCAAUGAUGCUAGUGGGGAAUCAUCGAAAAAGAUUGGUCGACAGUUAUUUAAAUUUGAUUAUUGAGGAUGCACAUGGCGAUAGAUUCCUAACCUAUCACAGUACUAAUAUAGACAACAAUGUAUUUUAGUGUCAAAAUCUUAUUGAAUAAUUCUAUUUUCACGUGUAAGAUCUCAUUGAUUAUAAAUUCAUAAGACUUACACUAAAAAAGCUUGUCAUUACAUUACCUGCUCGAUACAAAACAUUUUUUUGAAUUGAUAUAUCAAAUAGUAAUGUGUUUACUAUUCUUAUAUGAUUUAUUUUUCCUGAGACAACGAUGUGCACCAAGACAAUAAACGCUAUACUUGAUGCAUGUUCCUCUCGUUUUAUAUACACUAUCUUACCAACUAAACAAUUCAACAGAAUAUACAUUUAUUUUAGGUAGCCGAAUUUAUAAUUUUGACCGCGAAGUAAAAAAAAAAUGAAUCCAUAACAUGUCUAUUAAUAGGCACGUUUUGCCUCGCCACACUCUCACACAAAGCAAACAAAGUAAAAAAGAAAAAAGAAACAAAUCAUGGCGCUUUCGUCUUCUUGUUCAACGCUCAAAGCCGUUAACUCACGGUGGACAUCACCAGUACCAAAACUCGCCGCCCUCCGUCGACAGUACUCUCUGUUACCGGAGCUCCGUUACACACCAAACGUGAAACUAACGGCGACUAACGCCUUGAGAACCGUCGAGCAAACGACGUUAACGGAGGACAACAAACUCUCCACCUACGGAUCUGACCAAGAAGACCAAGAGUCGCUUCCAAAGCCGAGGAUCCUCGUCGCCGAGAAGCUAGGAGAGGCCGGAGUGAACCUCCUCAAGGAUUUUGGCGACGUGGACUGCUCUUACGAGCUUUCACCGGAGGAUCUGAAGAAGAAAGUUGCGGAGAGCGACGCGUUGAUCGUGAGAAGCGGAACGAAAGUGACGAGGGAAGUGUUCGAGGCCGCGAAGGGGAGGUUGAAAGUGGUGGGAAGAGCCGGAGUUGGGAUCGACAAUGUUGAUCUGCAAGCGGCGACGGAGUAUGGAUGUUUGGUGGUUAAUGCUCCGACUGCUAAUACGGUGGCUGCCGCCGAACAUGGUAUCGCUUUGCUUGCUUCUAUGGCACGAAACGUCGCUCAGGCUGACGCUUCCAUUAAAGCAGGUAUGUUGGAGAAAAAAACACAAUUCACGUUUUUUGAAAAGUAUGAUAUAUAGAUUUAGAGUUAUAAAUAUCUUAGUAUAACUUUUGAUAAAUAUUAUUUUGAUAAUUUAGAGGCUACCUAACUUAUGCAUAUUAACUUCUAAAAAUUUGUAGUCAAAAAUGUUUCGUCCGUUUCAGCAAAAAAAAAAAAAACUAAUGUUUCGUCCGAGUAUGCUCAGAAUAGCUCUGGUAGAAAUUUGAAUAAGAUCUAGAUUUAGCAACAUAUAUACAAGUAAAAUUGGUUGAAUAAUUUUAUGUACUUUUGAUUAAUUGAAUUAGGGCGAUUCGUUAACAAUUGCGAAAGUAAUGGUUUUACUAUAUCGAUUAAAAAUAUUAUGUUAACAAUUGCGAAAGUAAUGGUUUUACUAUAUCGAUUAAAAAUAUUAUUAUAUUUGUAUUUAGUUGUGGAGCCGUCAUCAGAUCUUGAGCAGCCUACUGUGAAAAUAUGAAUUAGAUCUAGAUUUCAACAACAAAAAUAUGUUAAUUAAAUAACUUUCUGAUAUACUCUGGUUAAUUAACUGGGGUUGUUAAUUGCGAAAGUAGUCGUUUACUAUAUAGAUUAUUAACAACAGUUAAAAGAUAAUAUAUUUGUAUUUCAUUGUGGAGCCGGCAUCAAAUCUCGAGCAUCAUGGUCCACCAUUUGAAUAGUAAACAACUUAGUGGUUUUAGUGUUGUCUUUUGUAAUUAUUGCUGAAUUGAAAUUUUCAACUAAGUGGUAACCUGUCGUUGUGUAAUAGAAAAGUCACAGUAGUAGGCUAGUAGUACUGAAAACAAGCAUAAAAUUAGUUCACGUAAGUAGAACAAAAUACCAAACGUGACUUUUCUCGUGGGUCAUGGCUAGUUUUACCAUUUGUGUAUGUAUAAUUUCUGGUAGAGAGGUGGUCAAGUGCGACAACUUGACAAAACAAAUUUAACCCGUAAAGGCAACAAGAACUGCCAAGGGACCGGUUAUAACCAAGCUCUCGUAGCCUAGUGGUAAAGGAGGUACAGCUGUACUGCUCGCCACCCGGGUUCGAGUCUUGACCACAACGAAUUUAACAUCCCUUUCGUUGGGGCGCUGGACCCCUUUCGGGGAUAGUUGGAAAUGUGGCUAUCCAGAUACUAGAGUUAUAAAAAAAAAGAAAAAAAAAAAAGAAAAGAAAAGGGACCGGUUAUUGCAGAAAAUUAAGCAUGGGCCCUAAGUUAAAAUGAUUGGGACCACUAAUAUGGUUAGUCAUAUGACUCAUAUUUAUUCAUUUUGGUUUUCUCUUCUCGAGUCUAAGCAUGCACCAACCAUAGUACACCAAAGAUUAUUGGAGUCUCCUUUGCCUUUAAAGUCCCAAAACUCAUUAAGUUGAAGCAAUCAUUCACUUACCUGAUACUGUAUUUUCUUCUUCACCUUUAUGUCAUAACUCAUCACUUCCACCCAUUUUGGAAUCUCGAGCAUUAUGGCAAUAUAUAACUUUUUGGUCUUCUUUUUCUUUCUUUAUUAAUGGUUUAUUACUCAUUUUUAAUCACCUAAAUUGAUUCGGCGUGGAGUAACCUUGAGUGGCAGAAGAAUAUUCUUUGAUCAAUAAUACACCUUCACUAUUGCUUAGUUAUUAUAAUAAUCGUAGAUUUAACUACACUGCACAACAAGUGGGUCUUUGAAAAUUAAUUAUGCAUUAUAAUUUUACAUACUCAAUUAUUUGAUUCUAGUAAAGCAUUAACAUCCGACCGUGACAUAAAAUGGAGUGAUCAAGUACAAUAAGAUAAGUUUUUUUUUUAAAUAAAAAAAAAUAUUUUAAAGGGUGCUCAAUAUUUUUUUUUAAAGAAUAAGUAUCACUAAAACAAUUAAAAUAUUAAUUUUAACAAAAUGUUUAAAAAAAAACUGUUAGCGAAUCGUUAAAAAAAAAUCUUAAAGUUGACUUUUUGGUGUGUAAAUUGUAAAUUUAAUUUUUUUCUCAAAAAAAAAAGAAGUAAAUUGUAAAUUUAAGUUGACUUGAGCUUUACCGUCUCUUCCGUGGAGUAAUAAUAGAUGACGUGUCCAGUACGUUACUGAAAGUUCACAUUUGUUUUCCCAGGAAAAUGGGAGAGGAGCAAGUACGUCGGCGUAUCUCUCGUCGGAAAAACAUUAGCCAUAAUGGGUUUUGGCAAAGUCGGAACAGAGGUGGCGAGGCGAGCCAAGGGACUCGGCAUGAACGUUAUCUCUCACGACCCUUACGCUCCAGCAGACAGAGCCAGAGCUCUCGGCGUCGAACUCGUCUCCUUCGACCAAGCCAUCUCCACCGCCGACUUCAUCUCCCUACACAUGCCGUUAACUCCCGCCACGAAGAAGGUUUUCAACGACGAAACCUUCUCCAAGAUGAAGAAGGGCGUUCGUCUCAUUAAUGUAGCUAGAGGCGGCGUCAUCGACGAGGAUGCGCUCGUUAGGGCUCUAGACUCAGGAGUUGUUGCCCAGGCAGCGUUGGAUGUGUUCUGUGAGGAGCCACCAUCGAAAGAGAGUAGAUUGAUUCAGCAUGAGAAUGUUACAGUCACACCUCAUCUCGGAGCUAGCACCAAAGAGGCACAGGUACAUUACAUACACUUAGGCCUGCCGGUUCGAGUAAUUCGGUUUGAUCCAAAAUCUUGCCGAAUUGUACCGGAAAAUUUUUGGUUCAGUUUAGUAUUCGGAUAGUUUGGUUCUUAAAAAAUUCAUCGAAACUAACUGAAGUUUUGGUUUCGAUUAUAUUCCGGUUUAAAUUUUUGGCUAAUGUCAGUUAGUUUGGUUUAUUCGGUUUGAGAUUUUGGUUAAUUCGGUUCGAAAUUUAGUUAGCAAAAAUUUUCUUUUAUUUUUUGAAAAACCAAACCAAACCAAAAACCAACCUUAAAAAAAAAAAAAUCCCGAAUUGAACCGACCCGUAACCGAACUAAUAGAAAAUUCAUAUCUUACAUGAAAUCUUGUGACAUGGUUGUAAUGUACCUCUGGUUAUUGACCUUGUUAGGAAGGUGUAGCCAUCGAGAUAGCAGAGGCUGUAGCAGGGGCAUUGAGAGGAGAGCUAUCAGCUACUGCAGUCAAUGCACCAAUGGUUGCUCCUGAGGUUUUAUCAGAACUGGCUCCUUACAUUGUCUUAGCUGAGAAGCUUGGAAGGUUAGCUGUUCAGUUAGCAUCUGGAGGUAAGGGAGUACAGUCCAUCAAGGUCGUGUACCGCUCAGCUCGUGACCGAGAUGAUUUGGACACUAGACUUCUCCGCGCGAUGAUCACAAAGGGAAUCAUUGAACCCAUCUCAGACUCUUAUGUCAACCUGGUGAAUGCUGACUUCAUAGCUAAGCAAAAGGGUCUCAGAAUCAGCGAGGAACGAACCAUGGUCGAGUCAUCACCAGAGUACCCUGUUGACUCCAUCCAAGUUCAGAUUUCUAACGUUGAGUCCAGCUUCGCUGGUGCUGUCUCUGAUGCUGGAGCUAUAAGUAUAGAAGGGAAGGUGAAAUAUGGAGUUCCGCAUUUGACUUGCGUUGGUUCGUUUGGUGUGGACGUGAGCCUUGAAGGGAAUCUGAUACUGUGCAGGCAGGUGGAUCAGCCAGGGAUGAUUGGACAAGUAGGUAACAUACUCGGAGAGCAGAAUGUGAAUGUGAGUUUCAUGAGUGUUGGACGAACAGUUGUGAGGAAACAAGCUAUCAUGGCAAUAGGAGUGGAUGAAGAACCAGACAAGAAGACACUUGAGAAGAUUGGAGGUGUUUCUGCUAUUGAAGAGUUUGUGUUUCUGAAACUAUGAAAGUUUGAGAUGGUGUCACAGUAGUGUGGCGUUUGAGAAUAAAUUAUGACCCGGAUUUAAGGUGUUUGUCCAGUGGUCAAGCUGUAGGAAAAUGUGUGUCAUUGUGAUUGAAUGUGAGUCUCUUUGGUACUUUGUUCUUGUUGGUAAUGAUGUUUUUGGUUAAUGUCAUGUUUCUCUUGUUUCUUGAUAUCCACUAAUAUGCUACUAUGAUCUGUAACCACUAUUUUGAUAUAUGAACUAGCAUUAAGCAAGCUUAAAGAUUUGAUAAACACAUACUUCCUCCGUUUUUUAAUACAUGUUUUUUAUAAAAUUUUUUUUGUUCCAAAUUAUAACGUUUAUAAAUUUCUAUGUAAAAUUUAUUAACAGUUAAUAUUAUAUACCAACGAUAUUGUACAUUCUAUUUUAUUAUUGGUUAAAUUGUGAUUAGGUAUAUAAUUAGUGAUAAUUUUUAUUUAUAAAAUGUAAAAAAUUAAAGCACAAUCCUAAAACGCUAAUAGAGAGGGAGUAUGAUGUAAUCCAAGAAGCCUAUUUUUAUUGCAUAAAUCAAAAUUAUUGGGAGUAAUAGAUUACAGAACCAAGAGAGGCUUAUACAAAUUUGCAUAUCUCAAGUAUUCUUUUAUCCGGUGCUACCAGAUAGCUCACCGGAGUAGGCACUACCAUACGAUGCGGAACCAGUUGGUGUUUGUGAUGAUGUUGAGAUCCCCCGAGCCUUACGCAUUUGCCUUAGUCUGAAUACAUCUGUAGGUAGAGGCUGGCUUUGUAUGGAGGCAGUAUCAUCGUCUUCUUGCCCUGUCGAGAGAGAGAGAGAGAGAGAGAUUUAGAUGAUUCACUUCCAUGAGCCAAUAUUAUUUAAUGCUUGAAUGGGCAAAGAGAACUUACUAUCUGAACCUUUUCUCUUUGUAGCUCUUCUGUCUCUUGGCAAUCUCUGAGAUCCACCUCGGUUUGGACCUGAGGGAUCGUUUUGACUUGGAACGUUGCCUUUAGCAGUAAAACUCUGCUUGGCAGUUUGACCUGUUGGUAAGUCACUCUGCAAACAUAUUGAGAGAACAACAUCCACAUUGGGCGUUGGGCCUGAAAAGAAUUGAGAGGAGGUCGGUUAGUGGAAACCUAUUCAAAUGCUCAGUUUAAAUACAAACUUGGAAUUGGUAUUAAAGAGAUUUACCGUCAACAUGAGGCAAGUUGGCUAAAAAAGCUAACAAUGCAGGUGGAGUAGUCUUUGGUAUUUCAUCAAAUGUGUUGGCUGAGACAUGAGUUGCAGUUGCUGUCACAUUACUUUGAAAGAUGUUCGAAGCAGAAGCCGCCACUGGUUUUGCAGAACUAGAAAACUCAAUUCCUGAUUUCUUUGCUGGGUCAUGGACGACCAUCUGAGCUGUAUCUGGAUAAACAACCUUUGACGAAGAAGCUACACUACCUGACAGUCCACAAGGAGAUUUAUUUACUUAAAUCAUCACCAAACUUCAACAUAAUCUAUCCACGCCAGAAAACUAAAAAAACUACAGACCUAUAAUUGCAGAUCCAUGAGGUUGGUUUGUCUUCUCUACUUUCUUAUUCAUAUUUUUCACAAGCAGCUGUUGUGAAAACAUCGAUCAGUUAGAAUUGGAACUUACUUAGAUGCAUCAUCAGUAGUUAUUAAUCAAGCUAAAUGUGAUAUAUUAGCAUGCAUGGGACACACCUCUUGUCUGGAUAAAUGAUCAAGCUCAUUCGAAGUGCAUGGCCAAAGAUCCAUGUAACUGUACCGAGAAACAACAUCUUGAAGUGAACUAUCUAGAGCAGGAGAUCCCUCUUCCCCUUUUCCGAAUAGUGCUUCUUUCCUCCUCUGCUCAACCUACAACAAAGUUGUCGAAGUUAAUACAAAAUAUCUCAGACUGAAUACUAGACAGAUAUUGUCCUAAUUAGUUUGAGAAAUGAUUUGAAAGCCUCAGCAAUUUUAGCAAUAUUCCAUGCAAUCCAAAGCCUGUCAGAUGGAAUAAGACCAAUAAAGCUGGGACUCUACUACAACAAACUUGUCAUCUAAAGAUUCUAAAUGAAAAAAUACUCACAAAAAGCUUACAAAACACAUCAAGCUAACUGUAUUUGCUUUCUUAGUUUACGUUGACAACAAUCAAAUAAGUCAAAGAGUACCUUUAGAAUACUAGCAAGAUCUCCAUAUGUUUGUUCAAACUGAACGAAUCUAUUCCAGACCUGCACAGGAUGAGGCAAGGAAAAAGUUACUCCUAGAAUGCAGUUCAUAAUUGCUAUAAUCAAAUUAGUUGCUCCGGUUAUUUUCCUUGUCUCUUUUCAUGCUAAAGAACAAAAAACGCCUUCUUAAACGGCUCUGAGAAACGAAAUAGGAAACAUCACUAUUAGCGUACCUCAGCAGAUUCUUCAGUGGGUAGUGUGCUUAAAGCCCGUUCAAAUAGAGCUCUGAUAUUUCUAUCAUCAUUCAGUCUAGUCAAGAAAUCUGCAUACCUAGAAUUCAAAGCAAAACCAAACCGGUUAAAAAUUGUGUGUUUUAAGGAAUGUUUGGGAGAGAGAACAAGUUUGAGUUCUUCAAUAAAGAAGAGUUUCAAUUAUAUAUGUUGAGAAAAAUAAAAAGGAAAUCUUACUCAAGGAUGUAAACGGGUUCAGUCAUAUAGCGUUUCAAUCCCUCCUCGAAGAUAUUAUGAGCAGCCUGCAUAAGAAUAUAACAUAAUUCAUUUCUUUUAUUGUGAAACCGGGAAAAAAAGAACUGAAUUAGAAGCUACACUAGUAUAUUUGUCUUGCAAGAAUGUCGAGUGGAAUUUUUUUUUUUUAAAUAAUCGAACAAGUGAAGAGUUUAAGAUCAAUAACCAAAACCCGCCGAUAUUUAAAUCACAUUGAGUUCAUUAUCAUAAAAUUCUCCUGGCUUGCUUAAACAACUAAGAGUAAAAUCAGACGGGAGGGUGUUCUGAACUUGACUGAACGACCACUACGUCCUUCACAAUCAAUUUAUCAAAAAAAAAAGAAAAACAGUUCUUAAACAUAGACCAAAACACACCUUUGGAUCCUUGUCAAGACAAAAGGCCAUUGUAGCAAAAGCAAUAUACACAUGAUAUGUACAGCUAGGAGAUUUUCUAGCUUCUAGAAAGUACUUGCGAGCAGAUUCAACACCCUCUGCCCUCCUGAGAAAACGAAGGAACUGCAAAAGAAUAUAAAAGUAUAUCACAUAAAGAAUUUUCUAGAGGAAGAAACAAUCCAAAAUUCAAAAAACUAUACAUGAGCAACAAAAAUCAUGAUUAUGGUGGACAAAUACAACAGUCAGUCGAUGAGUAGCAUAUGACUAUGGAAAGCGUAGAUAUGCUCUUUAUGCCAAUCUUAGCAGUCCAAAGUUCUGAGUGUUCUUACUUGUAUUUGUGCCAAAGAGUUUGUGCUAACCCCCAAAAUGCUUUCAUAUAAAUUCUUUGCUGACUGCAAAAUCAUACAACUGUGAGCAAAGAGUACGCGAACAAUGGAGAAAGCUCUAUAAUGAGAACCAAGUAGCAAGAAUGAAAACCUGAAUAGCUCCACGAGCUUCCUCCAACUCAGCAUAAGCAUAUUUCAACAUUUCCGAAUCUGUGUGAGCAAUGUAGACACUUAAAUAAAUGAAAAGACUCGCAUCAUGCACACAACAGAAAAAAAUAGAUUCUUAAGGGGUAGAUCAAAUAUAAGAUUAAAUCUACCAAAGAGUAAUAGUCAAACCUUCACAAAGAAACUAGUUCACAGACAAAAAAAAUCAAAGGAUAGAUCAUUUACCAGGAAUAGCUUUAAGAGCUCGCUGAAAUACUUUGAUUGCAGCAUCUGUGGAACCAGAUUUUAUGUGCCACUCAGCAUAGUCAUACCACACAUCGGGAUAGUGGUAUAAACACAUCAGACACUGUAAAACCAGGGCAAUAAUCAGCCAAGAAUGAAAGAACCACAUUUGGGAGAUUAUUCCUACUAAAUUUCAGCAAAAGUAUCGCACUGACGCUUCUCAUACCUGUUCAUAAACAUAUAUAAUCCGCUUAGUUGACAAGGCCGUGUCAAUCCUUUGAGGGUUUCCUCUGCAAAUUACAAGUGUAUUAGAAAAGACGCAGAGGUUUGUUAUAUUCAAAAGGACUAGUUGAAAAACAAUAUGCACAAGGUCCAAUCAUCACUUGUUGGAUCUAACUGGAUAGUAAAUCAUUCCAUUUUUCUAGCUUCUAUCCUCAAUAAAUCUCAACCAGAAAAUUACGGCAGAGAGAUAUAUAAAAGUCUUAUCAUUAGGCGUAAACUGAAGGACCAAUUAUCUAUUGCAAUAUAUUAAUAUCUAGCAUUUGAUUUUAAGAUACCAGGAAUUCCUUAAGAAAAAUGGCUAAGCAGCUAUGUAAGAACAUAUGUCAUCACUGAAUGAAAUGAAAGAAUAUAAUAUUUUGGGGGUUUACUUCUCAAAGGUUAAAAACUUCUUCCAGGCCACCCAUUGCACUUCUUCCUGCAUAAAACCAUAAGGCAGUGUGAAGUACCAAAGUGAGCCAAUGAUUUUCAAUUGAAAAAAUGAACGAAUCAAAGAACUUAUAGUUCACUAUGUACUCCUUAUCGUAUAACCAGAUGUCAUGACGUAAAUCUAUGUUCAUGAUGUCCUUUUAGCCAACUUAAGUGUCAAUAUCUCCAAUAUUAUCGAAUAGAAAAAUAGAACUAUAGAUUCAGCAGUUCCAAAAAGAAGCACUGAGUGAGAAAUGAUCUACCUUGGAAGAUCCUGUUGGUGGUACAGCAAGCAUGUUCCAAUCAAUGUCUUCAAUGUACUUCUUGCGCUCCCUAUAGACAGCUCUGGCACUGUUAAACUUUGGUUGAUAGUCAUUUACAAGUCCCUUGGCCUGCUCAAAAAAUAGAUUUUAAAGAAGUUUGUUCCUGUUUCUAAUACAUUAAAAGAUAAGAAACCACAGAAGAUUUGUAAAACAGAAGUUUACCAACUGACGGUUAACAGAAUUCUCAAAGUUCUCAUAUUCUUUCCAAAGUUGCUCAACGUGGUGAGUAGGAGUUAAUAUAGCUCUCUGAUAAACUUUUCUGAGAGCAAUCUUCCGUUGCAUAUCUUCGUGGGGGUUAAGAGCCUGCAAGAAAAUCUAUUCAUUUCUCUGCAAUAACGAUUAUAAAGUAUUAAGGACAAAGUAAGAAUGGUAUAACGAACCGGAAGAGAUUUUAGAAAGGUAAUGUACUCGGUCCAUAUAGGCCCAGAUGCUAUGUCUGUCCCUGCAGAUUUAUACACAUCGAAAUAAACUACGACAUCAGUAAGGGCCAAGUUAUCUUAUGUGCUGACAUGUUAAACCGAAUCUAGAGCUCUAAAUGGAUGCAAAGCGGCUACAGCCAAUGGUAGCGAUAUGCAUAGGAUGAUGAAGCAAAGACCAUUUCAUAUGUUCUUUUGAAGUGUCAUUACAUGUGAAAGCUAGAAGGGUUACCAAUAUAGUUGAGCGUAAACUCGAAAGCCUUUGUGGUCUCCUCUUGACCCUCUGCUCCCUUCUUAUCAUAGACCUUUCUGAUGAACCGAAUGUAACAUUGCCUAAGAAAUUAAGAUGUUUUGAGUUAUAUCCAAGGAGAUGGAAAGCAAACUUGCACUGUAGCUAAGCAACAAUGAGACGGAAAGAUCUUGUAUAAAAAGGGAAAGCAACGCAUACCAAAGGGGAACUUGAAGACAGGUCAACAAGCAACGACUAAAUAUCUGUUUGGUAGCGUCAUCAUUGUUCACAGCCAUUUGUGUUUCCACAUACUGCUUCCAAAACCUCGCCUACAGGAUUAAGCAAGCACCCACUUAAUAAAAGAGGAAACUUUACAUCACAAUCAAACUCCAAAACCACAAGUGAGCGGCAUUGGAAACUUACAGAAGUAGGAUACAGUGACAAAAGCUGCUCGUAGAUCGGCGUCGCCUGUGUAAUUGGUAAGUGCUGAAAGGAAGCAAACAAUUGAAAAAGUCAGAAAAUUUUCAAUAAUCACGAGAAUAAUAAAAGAGUCUGUACCAAGGCUCUCUUGGCUAAAGCCUCUGCUUCCUCGACGUUGUACUUAUCAGCCAUAUCCUCCAAAAACGCAAUCUUUGGGCUUUAAUCGGAUGAACAGAACUGAGAUUCAAUUCAAUCCUCCGGGGAGUCUAACCAAAUCUUCUACUGAUUCAACGCCAUAAGUCUCGCCUCCAAAAAGAGGACCCGUUGUAGCUCAGAUCGCAAGAACUGACCUUCGCGGCGGUGUUAUAAGUAAAACCUAAUCUGAGUUUCAACAAUAAAACAACUCCUCCGGCGAGUCUGGCCACAACACGGUGACCGGCGAUUGAGAAACGGAGAGACGCAAAAGAAAGCUCGAGCCUUUUUUUCCGCGGUCACCUGUGGGGUUGGACUGUCUUAAAUAAACCAAUAAAAAUAAAAAUAAAGGGCGUAUUUGUCUUUUUAGUAUUGCUGUUUUUUUUCUUGUUCUUUCCUUUUAUAUUGUGAUUUUGUUUUUUUUUUACUAUGAAAAGAAGAAGUGCUUAAAAUACCGAAAGAUAUCAGAGCAAGUCUUUCAUUACAAAAAUAAAAAUCGGAUUGGUAGUAAAUAAAAAGUGAUAAAUUGCAUCAUAUUCACAGGUUUAAAACAACCAUUAAGCUUCUAUCAAUUGACAUCAGAUAAGGUUGUCUUCCGACCGCUGAAUAGUGUCUUCUGAUUUUCCUGGUUAAAUUUGAUCUUUGAAUCAAGGUUUUCUUGUAGAAGGUUGUAUUCGUACCAAAGCCUAUCUUCAAGGUUGUAAUUAGGUCAGAAAGGGUACUGACGAGCUAUCUCAGCCACGCUAACAAAAAGCUUAGCACCAUUCUUCUCUUGCACAGCCAUUGUUGCUUCGUACGCAGAAGCAAACUCAACAAAGCCACAGCCCACACGCUCACCCUUUUGGUCUACAAUAAGUCGAACACUAACAACUUGUCCAACAUCUUUGAAGAAAUUGACGAUAUGUGAUUUUCCAAUGGCGAGAGAGAGAUUGGCAACAAAGACGGUCUUAUCUCUCAAGGCAAUUUUCUCACGAGUUUCAUCAACUGCAGCAGCCACAUCUUUUUCUUUCAUGUAGUCUUCAUACCAAAUCUUGUGAUCUUUGCAAUGCGUGAGAUUAGUAUUUACAAAUCCGGAGGUUUUCCUUCGGAUUUAAGUCUUUGUAUUUUUAACAAAAAAAUCCAAACAAAUCCAUUAUAAAAUCAAAUUUAUUAGUAAAUCCAUAUGAUUGAAUAACAUUUGAUUUGAUAUAGAAUUUAUGAAUCAUUAAACCAAUAACACAUGAUUUUCAUAUUUGAAAAUUAUAGAACUAAUAACACUAGAUUUAGUUCGGAUUUUCAAAUCCAUUAAAAUACAACAACUAAUAACCUCCACUUAAUAAAACUUAUCUUGGUCAUUUUCUUCGUUGAGAACUAUUUUUGUGACAAAAUGCUGUCCCAUAGAAUCUAUAUUAUUAAAAGAGAAGUACUCAUUUGAAAAUGUUAUUACUUCAUUAAUUAAACUCCUUUUUUUUCUUGUCUUUUUCAGUUGCAUUUAUGAAAUAUCAUAAAACGAAUAAAACUGCCUAAUUUAUUACUUGUCUUUUCAGUUACAUUAAUAAAAUAUGCUUAAAUGAAUUUAAACUUCCUAUUUUAUUGUUUGUCUUUUUCAGUUACCUUAAUGAAAUAUCUUUAAAUAAAUUUGGACAUAAUGUCAUUUAAUCAACCAAAAAAACUCAUGAGUUAUCCUUACGUGCAUAAUUUUAAUAAUGGAGAUUUUAAAAAACGUGCAUCAUUAAAAUAUUACCUAAAACAUGCAGCACUAAUAUAUAACAUGCAUCAAUAAAACUAGAAUUUGACUCACACAAUUGUACGGAUAUUAUUUUCACUUGAUUAAAUUUAAAAAUAAUUAUUUAUUCAAAAAAUAUUUAAGAAUGACUAUGUUUUUAAAAAUUAUAUGGUAUUAUUUGCUCAUAACUCAUUUGUCAUUUGAUAAAUUGUUAGAAAGAAAAUUUUAGCAUAAUAUAACUCAGUUGUCAUUUGCUAAAUUUAUGGUUUUUAUUUAUAUUUUUUAUUAUUUAAUUAUAAUAUUUUUAUUUUAUAUUUGAAAGAUAAAUGAAUUUUCUUUCAAACAAUAUUUUUGUAAAUGUAUUUUUUUAAAAAAUAAUCAAUUAAAAUUGUUAUUAUCAUUGAAUAUCAUUAUUUUUGACAUAAUUUGAGUUUUCGUUUACAUCAAAACUUAUCAUAUUUUAGGAUAAUUUUAAUUUAAAAUGUAAUUUUCAUUUUUUUCAAACAAAUUCUAAAAAUAUUUUUUAAAUAUUUUGUUAUAAUUGUUAAAAAAAUAUUGAGUUGCAUUUCAAAUAAAAAGGUAAAGAUAUUAAAAAUAUUCUAAUUAAAAUAUGUAAAAUUUAAUAUAGUUUUAAAGAAAUGGUCAAAAUAAAAAAAAUUACACAUAAAAUAAUCAUGAUUUUUGUUAACUGGGCGGAUCAUUAUUUAUAUGAUAUCGCACACGAAAGAAAAAUUUAUGUUUUUAAAAUUAUCUAAUUAACUCUAUACUCAUUUUUUUAUAUUUUUAUAUGAUAUCACACAUUCGUAAGAAAAUAGAUAGUUUAAGAUGCAAAAAAGAAAUAUUUACUUAAUGAAUAUAAUAUGAACGAAUAUUACAAAUGCAUUAUUUGAUAAAAUAAAUAAUUAAAAACUGAAAAUUCAUAUCCGCGCUCGAGGUCUAGUUUCUCUUAUAAUAACCCUAUUAAUUGGUUUUGUAUUCGUUUCAAUUAUUAAUUGGGUUUACACUAUAUAAGGGCCCAAACCAGGCCCACGUUAACCUAUUUAGAUCUAUCUUUGUUAUUAUUAAAAGAAAAAAGAGAAAAGAAACUUAUUUAUUUUCCGGGCUCGUUCUUCUCCGUCAAGUCUUCUCGGGUCUCUCUCUCUCUUUUCUUUCAUUGAUCUUCAUCUAUAUCGGUGUUUUAGGUUUUUUUUUUCUUUUUAUCUCUUUGCCUCCUCCUCUUCUUCUCUGCCCCUUUCUCCCUCACAAUCUCACUUUUUCUUUCGUCCAAUUCUAUGCGCGUAAGAAUUUUACUAUCCAUGUGCUUUUGAUCACGUUUUCGAUAGAAUUGUCUGGUCUUUUGUAACAAGUUAAAAAAGGUUAAAAACCUUUUCCGACCAAAAGUGAUAAAAGAUUCUUUGGUUUUUAACAUCUUGGUCUGAUAAAAGCAUAUAAGCUGUUUCGAAAGUUUGACACUUUACUUUCUUUAACUUAAUAUUGAAAGGUUCUUGUUUUCAUCUGCGUUUUUAGAAGUCAAUCUUGUUUCAGAAAUGUAUUUUAAUUUGGGAUUUGGUUUUACUUUUCAGUAGUGGUGUGUGAGCGAUGAAUACAGAAUCCAAAGGAAGAGCUUGGUAUGGUAAAAUCUACCGUAAGCUUGAAACCAUUCUUGUGGAGGUUGACAGUUUGGCUGCUCAGGUACUUUUUCUUUUUCGCUAGCUUCUGAAAGUCUCCGAGAGUACAAGGAAAUGAAUGUUCUCUUAUGUUUGUUUGACAGGGUAAGGUUUCUUCGAGUUCAAGUGAUCCUCCAGGAUUGGAUGAUGAACCAGAGAAACUUAAAGAGGAUCAUCGUUCGCGUACAGAGCAGGAUGAUUGUGAUCAGAAAGCAACCACUUCCGGUUGCCGCAAAGAUCCAAAGUCUUCUCAAGUUUGUAAUGAUGAUGAUGCUUUUGUAUUUCCUCCUGGGAAUUGUACGGGUGAUUCAAAUCUAGCUGCACCUGCUCAUGACAAAGUGACAAACAUGAAAUCCUUUAGCAGCAACUCUAUGAUGGGUUUGUGUCUCUGUGUUGCUCAUGUUUUUCUACAAGUUUUUGGAAUUGGUUCGGUUCCAUCAUGUGUGCAACUUUUAAUGUGUAGUUAAUCAAGAUGAGUUCUUCAUUGAAGACUUUGAUGAGGCUCCGUUGGAUACUAUUGAUUUGUACGACAUGACAUUUCGAGAAGACCCUUCAGAUUUUGACGACAAUUUGCUGUAUGCAACUCGUGACAGGAGCAGGCAGCUCAGAUCAUUCAAGGUCCCCUCUCUUUCUCUCAUACAAAACCUUGCUAGUUUCAGAACGAUUGACCAUAGAUUGAAUACUAAUCUUCGACUCCAUUGAUUCCUUAUAUUUUUCUUCUUUUUAUCAUAAUCAUCAGGGAAAGAUAAUGGAUGCUUUAACUUCGAAAAGAAGAAGAGAGAAGGAGUAUGAGCAGCUUGCAAUAUGGUUCGGAGAUGCAGAAAUGGGUUGUGAUGCGAUGAACGCCAAGAAAAAUGAGACAUCAUCUGUAAACACCAAAAGCUCAGAGUCAAACGUGCCAUUUGCAUCAGAAGAUUCUGAGUGGGAGCUAUUGUAAUGAUAAGAUUGUGAGUGGGAGCUAUACAUGCUUAACUGUUCUAUUUUUGUGAAACUCAUGUGAUGCUUUGAACAAUAUAUAUACUAAGAUCCAAUCUGAUUCUUAUAUGGGAAAAUCAAAUUCUUGCUCUUGCCUUUUCUAUUUCCUUUUACUUCUACCUUCAGUUAAGACGCAAGGAGCAAUCAAGUUUAUUAGAUCAAUGAUGAGAGACAGUGACAUCUAAAAGUUGUUCAUUUCUUCUGUACAGUAACAAAAACCUAAUACAGAAAACAAACAAUCCAGACUGGUAAAAGUCAUCAACGUAGGAAAAAUCUAAGUGUGCUAUUGAAAGAGAUGGGUAAACAACAUGACAACACUGACUCUAAAGCUAGACCCUUUUUAAACUUCUCAGGCGCUAGUUACCCGUAUCUGAUCCACGUCCUGAAGAGCUGUCACUGUCAGAAUCUGCAAAUCAAUAAAGACAAGUGAUGUGAGUUAUGAUGCUGAUAAGGUGAAAGAGCUGACAGAGAGUUUCAACACUUACCACUAGAGCCAGACCCUGUGUCACUGCUAGAACUAUUAGAACUACUUGAUCCACCUGCGUUGUUUUCUUGCCGACCAGGAGAUGACAUGCGAAUUGCUUUUCCUGGUUACAAUAAUCAUUAAUCCAUGUGUAAUUAGAUACUAAUUAGUAAUUAGUAAUUACAUCCGACCUCGUGAGCUAAAAACCUCACCUGAUUCAUUAGCUCUUGAUGUUUCAGUGCCAGUUGCUAGAGUGGUCUGUGAAAGCAAAAGAGGCAACAAUGAUAUUAACAAAAACCAUUAAGAUCAAAAAGACCUGAAACAAUUACCCAAGGAAGGGAAGCUUACCGGUUCUUGGAUACUAUUGUGAACAGAUUCAGCAUCUCUUUCAGAACCAAACCCCUGAUCCUCCUUUUUAUUGCUCAACCCCUCCUUAUACCCAAUCACAAAUCUAUAAAGCUCCCAAAGCGUUUGGAUGUCAACACUAUCAAUAUCCAGCUCAAUCUCAUCAUCCUGCUGCGACAGUUCCGGAUUACUCUUCUUGAUAAUCUGAACCACCGUCUCUAGUUUGUCAUAAGGCAAGUCCUGAAGCUCUUCACUGAGUCUCCGCUUCUCAUCCAUCGUCAGGUCCCUAACAUCAACAGGCGCCUCCUCUUCCUCCUCUUCCUCUUCAGGCUUCUCGAGGGCACUAGUAGUCACAGUCUCAGGCUCCACAGGCGUCGGCAUAGACUCAGCUCUCUCCAAAGUCCUAUCCUCAACCACUGCAGGCGGAAGCAGCGGAGGAGGAGCUGGUACCGCCUCCACAACAGGAGGAGAGAACAACGCAACGUCGCGAGUCGGUUUAACCUUCCUAUGAAGAUUAUCAAACUGAACCUCAAUAGAAACCCACUUCUCUUCAAACAUGUUCAACAGAAACUUAGCCAUACUAUGCACCUCAUGCCCAACGGGGUUAUACAAUAUCGCAUUGUUAAAAGUAAGCCUCACAUCUUCAGCGAAAUCAAGCGGCGACUCAUACAAACCACGCCCUAGCUUAGCCUUCACCGUCCCCAAAUCCAUAGGCUCCUUAACAAUACUGUGGUAAUCAUGCAAGCCGAGUACUUUAGCGUCCACGGGAACAUUGAACACCCACCCAUCCUUAUGCUUCAUCAGCUUGGUAAGCAGAGCGUUACAGCUCUUGAGAAUCUGAGCAUUACCUUUCUUGUUACCUGUUUGUUUCGUCUUCUUGCUCUGAGGUUGGGGAUCUAACCGCGUCAUCAAGCUCCUGACUUGGUCUAGCUCGGAGGUUAGCUUCCGUUUCAAGUUCCGAACUUCGAGCUUGGAGAUUGAGCUCAAGCUGACCUUGAGCAUGGGGUAGUCGUCGUCCUCCGAGGGGAGUGGGACCGAUCGGUUGGGUCUGGGGCCCGCCAUUGGUUUGGAUCGGUUCUGGUGAUUCUUCUUCUUCGAAGCUCCUCCACCUCCGUGAUCAGAAGACAUUUUCGAUUAGGGUUUCUCUAGGGUUUUAAGGUCGGAGGAGUGACGAGGUGUUGACGCCGAAUCGAAGGUUGAUUGAGAUUGAAAGAGAGGAGCUUUAACACCCAAAUCGCUAUUGAUUUUGCAGAAGACGAAAACCCUAGGGGAAGAGUAGUCACAGGCAGCUCGCGAGGAUUGCGUGACCUCACGCGCUUGAUGGCACGCGCUUUAUCGCCCGAGAUAUAAGCGGAAAUAAACACAUGUCUAAAUGGCAAAAGGAUGCUAAAUUGAGUAGGAAGCUAAAUGGCAUAGGGUGUGUUAAAAAAAAAAUGGAAAAUUGUUUUUUAAGAGCAUUUAGGGGUGUUCAAUCCGGAUAUCGGUUCGGUUUAGGUUCGGUUUUUUCGGUUUUCGGUAUUUCGGUUAGUAAAAUAUAACUACCAUUCUAAAUCCAUAUUUACUUCGGUUCGGUUCGGUUUAUAUACCUUUGGUUUUCGGUUUAUUCGGUUUUACACCAAAAAACAUAAUUAUUUAGUUUGAGAUCAUAUUAUAUGAAUUUUAGAGUCAUAUUGUCAACACAAUCAUUUAUUAAAAAUAUAUUACAUGUUCAAAUAAAUGAACAAACAAAGUAAAAAUGCUUCUACCAUCAAAUAAAAUAAUCAAAUCUAUAACUAAAAUCAAAGCUUCAAAUUUUGAAAAUAAAAAUAUGAAACAAAACAUAAACAUGAAAGAAAAGUCUUUCCACUCUUUCAUAUUUAAUGUUCAUUAAAGUCAUGCUUUUUCAAUCGAACACGAAACUCUGUUUGUUUACAGAUAAGAAAAAAGUUGUGAAAAUUUUUCAUUAAUUAUUGUCCAUCAAAUUUAUAAUCUUCAUAUUAAUUUAGUGAAGACUAAAAUAAAGCAAAAAGAACAAAAGAAUACUUAGAAAAUAAGAUGUUUGAAUUGCGAUGUACUGUUAUUUAAUUAUAGUUCAAAUGUUUUACAAAUUAAGGUUCUUUAUUACUAUAAAAUUAUGUAACAAAUAGAUUUUCAUGUAUUGUUAUAAAAUAGAUACAUAUUUACAUGUUUCUACUUUUAAUCGGUUUUGUUCGGUUUAUUCGGUUUAAUCGGUUAUAUACCAAACCAUAUCCAAAUCCUACGGGUUUUAUAAAAUUAUAUCCAUUCGGUUUAUAUGGUAUAUACCAAAACCAAACCAUAUUGUCUAUUUCGGUUCGGUACGAUUCGGUUUUACCAUAUUGAACAGCCCUAGAGAAAACAAUGAUAACUAUGUCUCUUUACACUAAUCUUUAUUACUUUAUGUUCUAAUAGACUAAUUUUUUCAAAAUGGCAGUAAUGCCCUUAAAAUUGUAAUUUUUUAAAUAAAAUAUAUAAUGAGUUCGAUCAUGCGGGAUCGAUCGAUCCGAAUUUACAAGGUCCAUCGGAUCGAUCGAUCCUGAUCAUUAUGCAGAACAAAAAACGCAGAGUAUAUACUGAUCGACCUGGUCCAUUUCACUCGAUCGACGAAGGUCGAUUUAUAUAGAUCGACCGAUCUUUCAAUAUGGAUCGAUCGAUCUCGUGCCCAGGAAAGUAUCCCAAAUCAAUUUUUUGGUUUUCUUCGAUUAUAUCCGGAUUGAUUCCCACUUGAUUUGAACCGACCAAACAUGAUUUCAACUCUUUAAACUGAUUUCCGGAUUGAUUCCCACUUCGAUUUUUUGUUUCCAUAUUUUCAGGAACUGAUUUCUUAUCCGUAUAAUACAUCUAAUCUGUAGAAAUCGGUUUCUACAGUUUUUUAGAAUUAUAGUAAUGUGUAAAUUUUGAUUUUUACAUGUUUUAGAUUUAUAGUAAAUCUCUGUAGAAGUUGGUUUCUACGUGUUUUAAAUUUAUAUUAAUGUGUAGAUUUUGAUUUGUAAAGAUUUUAGAACUGUAGGUUAAGCGCGGAAUGUGUAUUCUAAAUAUUUUUAGAAUACUCAUAUUUACGUAGAUCACGUAUUCUAAACAUUUUAGAUUCAAUGAAAAAAGUGGAUUUCGUUUUCUACUUCGCAGAAUGCAAUUUAUACUUUAUUUAGAACAUAAUCUGAAAUUUAUGAUUUCAACUUUUUUAUAACUGAAAAAAUACCACUAAGCUCAUAUAGAUAUUUUAUCAAAAGUUACUAUUUUUCCAAUUUUUUUUGUUUGUAAAACUAUUUAUUAAAUUUAUUUUCAAAAAUAUUAAAAGGUGUUAUAGGAAAAAAUGGCACAAAAUAAAAAUUAGUUAAAAGGGAUAUAGGGUCUGAUUGGUAAUGGCUAUAGCUUUAAAAAAAUUUGUUGUAGAAAAAAAUCUGUAGACUUUUUACUCUGACUUUAAAUUUUACUGCUGUAGAAUUUUAUGGAAAGCCUUAAAAAAUUGCUUUGGAUAUUUGGCUCUGCAGAGCACUUGUAUAGCUGUAGGUUAUUUUAAGAGUUGUGAUUUAAAAAAAAAAAAUAAAACUUGAUUGCUCUGAAUAUGGUGAUGUAAAAAUAAAUAGGGUAUGGAGAAAAAGAAGGGGAAACUAUUAAUUUAUCCUAAUUUUAUUCAUAACUAAGCGGGGAAAUUGUAAUGAAGUGUCUUUGUGAAAGAUUGGAAAAUAGAUUAUUAAAAAUAAAAAAAUAUCUAUAGUGGCAGUAAUAAAACUUCAUUACGAAAGUGGGUAAAUCUCUUCAGAUUUUUAUCAUCAGUUGUAAUAUUGUACCACUAAUUAAAUCUUUUUUUUUUGUCAACUACUAAUUAAACCUCUUAAAAUUUCAUCAUCAGUGUUAAGAUAUCAAUUAAUUUAAAUAUAAUUAUUUAUUUUUGGUUAAAGUGAAAUACCUAAGUUUAAGAACCCUAUAAGUGAGGUUGGUCUAAACAGAUUUAGGGAAUACAAACAUGGGACACAUCGCUGUACACUCGAAAAACAUUGACGAGUUUGCUAUAUAUACACGAGAAACCAUCGCUGUACAAACGAAAAAACAAAACCCAAGUUAUUUAUUUUUCAUGGGUACAACAUUAGGAAAAGAAACCUCUACAUUGACGAGUUUGCUAUAUAUACACGAGAAAACAACUAGAAGCAGAAUAUUAUUUUUAUUUGGACCUACAAGCUCUUGUUCAUAGAGAAAAAGCUGUAGUCAUGGUGAUCAUGAACGUUAAGCUGCUUCAGCCAUGACUCCGCUGCACUUCCAAGAUAAAGAAGCCGUUCUUGGUCACAAGAUUCUUGAUUCCCCCACAAACCUCCAUGCAACUUGUAAGUAACUAAACCAAAAGGAGCCAAAGGAAGUCUCUUCGUCACCACUGGUUCAUCAGCACAACGAAAUGUUUCUUCUUCCAUGGUUUUGUUAUUCUCAUUAUCACCCUCAACCAAAUCACCUAAUGAAAUCGACCAUCAAAAGCUACCUGUUUCAACAUUUUGUACCAAGAUACAUGUCUUUUAAGCUAAGAAUUUCAUUACAAUAUGAAAUAUACCUUGUAAGGCCGAAGAAAGUGUAUGAUAACUCAAGAAACACGUUGUUAAGUCUUGAUCAGUCAUCCGAGAUGGAAUAUGGUAUAUAGGGUACCUAACCAGUAACAAAAAAUCAGGACUUUAUCUUCAUCAAGGCCCAAAAACACUUGCACUCGAUACUUACCAAGUAAUGGCCAUCCAACUUGCUGGAGACAAAUCAACACUCCUUAGAGUCAUAAGUCCUGGAUACUUCUCAGCUAAUUCGUUAACCUAAAACAAAAAACAAAACAAAACAAGAGAGAUUUUGUCUAAGUUGUUAGGUUGGUUAAGCACAAUAAAGAAUCAUAUGAUCACUAGAAAUGAAGACCUUUGUGGUAAGAGGAACUCGCAAGUUCGGUUUAGCUGAUUCAAAGUACUGAAACUCAACGUAACCGAGCUUAUCUCGCACCGGAGAAGAAAUGCCAUCGAGUUCAUAAGCUGAAUCAUCAGAAACAGAGUCCCAUACUUUGCUAGAACCACUGCUCAUAGACCUUGAAAACUUCUCAGUCUCACUAUCAUCACUCCAACAUUCACUCUCACAAUCAACCCCCUCGCUCUGGUUCCUGAAGCAAACCACAGGUUAUUCACUCGUCAAAAUUAGUAACUCAUAAAACACUCUUGUCGUUCCCCACCAUUUACCUGGAAAUGGCUGGAGCUUUGCUAGUGUAGAUUUGAAUGGCGGAUAGAUAUGGAACAUAGUAUUGCAUAACGGAUUCGCCAUUGUUCAAAUCAACCUUUGAUCCAAGUCCAUACGCACUUAGCUCAUCAAAACAGUCCCAAAGAUCACUAAGCUUGAAAUAUUCAGUUUCAUCUUUGCUCUCUUGUAUCCAUAAACUAUUCAAAUCAUUCUCGCAGCUCUGGAAAUCAACAACAAAAAGAUCAAACUUCUAGUAGUAGCUUAUCUUCAAUCCUUCCAUGUGUUUAGUGAUAAUGCUAAUUAUUAUACCCACUAGGAAGCAUUGUAUUUCAACAAAAGUGUUUAAUAAAAACCACAUGUUAUUUGUCACAAAUUUAAUGACAGUAAUUGCCGAAAGAGACAGUCAUCUAAUGAUAUAGCGAUGAACAAGACACACUCAGAGUAUUUACCUACGCAUCUUGAAUAUUCAAACCAGUUUGAGUAUAAAAUAUUUUUUAAUCUUUUAUUAUUAUAUAGUAUCGCUUUCAAUACACGAUUUGCUGUCGCUAGUUUCCACGUGGAGAAAGAAAACUACACUAAGCUCCAUGAAUAUCUUUUUUUUUUGUAUAAAUGAAAUAUUAUUUUUUAAAGACAAUAAUUCAAUUGUGUAAAAAGUAUAGUUGAAAACAUGAGAAUAUGCUUUAAGGGAUUCUCUUAAGGUUAGAGUGAAAAUGGAAACAGAACUUGUACCUGUGAUAGAGAGAAAGAAGGGGGCUUUGGAGUGAUUCCUCCAAUAAGCCUCUCCAGGUUUGAUCUUGCAUCCGACGAUGAUGACCACCACAUUGUCUCUCUCGGCCUCUCUGUUUUAGAUUAUGAUAUUGAGUUUUAGACUUUUUCAGAAUCUAAGAAAUUGAGAAAAUUUGUAAGUUCCCUCCACCCAACAACCAUAGAUUUUCUUGUUCCUUGAAAUUUUGAAAAAGCUAAAUACCAGGACGACCUAGAAAGAAGAAAAUAAAACAGAGACUAGUUACAGAAACAACUGCUUCAACAAACAACCAAACAAAAAGCUACCUAAGCAGCUUAGGAGAGGGUAUAGAAAGUAUAAUGGUGUCUAUACUCUCUUGAAAACCGAAAGAUGAGCCAGGAGUGGUAGAUGAGAUUACUAAAUUUAGAAGAAAUCUAUUGACAAUCUUUGUAGAAAAAGGGAAGAAAGAAGUUGUAGCAGAGUGAAGGUUUUGGAGUAUGGGUUGCUUCUAUUUAAUGGGAAAAUGAAAGGAAGAAAACGAACACGACCAAAAGCUUCUCUCCCCCUUUCACGCUUAUCUUAACUAAUAAUCUAUUUUAAUUUGUUUGCCAUUUACCACUUACCAGCAGCUUUUUGUUGUUGAUUUAUCUCUUUUCUCUAUCUCCUUCUAGGUAUAUUAUCUUUUCUUACAAAAAACAAAAACAAAAUAUAUUUUAUGUCAACUGCUAUAAAAUUAUCUUUAGAAGUCUGUUUUUGCUGAAUUAGAAUAUCAGAGUUACAGUAUUUUACUUAAUAAUAAUUUAUUUUUUUAAUUUUACAAAUUAAAUCUACUAUAGCACUUCACAUACUAUAAAAAUAGAAGCGUAUUAGUGUGGUGUUUCCUUUUUUCUUUUUUUUUAGCGUGUGUGUGGUGUUUCUUGGAUAAAAUAAUUUACGUAUUCCUGAAUAUCCAAUUUAUUAAUGAUAUACAUGAGCUAAAAAGUUCUAUAAGAACUUUAAAUAACUUGAGUAUUUCUGAAUAUCCAAUAUAUGAACAUGAUAAUUAGAUGAUACUACCAACAUUGAUGAACAAGCUCUCUUAUCUAACUCCCAUAAUAGUUAAUAGUCUCUGACAGUUAUAUUAAAAAGACAAUUUUAGAUUAAUAUUUUACUAUAGUGAGUUACGUGAAUUGUGAGCUUAAAGUCGUUGCACAAUGCGAACAUCAUUUAUAGUUGACAAAACCAAAGACUGUGUGAUGUAGCGUAGUGAAAGUGAAGGCAGUAAUAAUGGUCUAUCUUAUCGCCACGUGUCGAGAAAACUGCGUCGCUCUAUCGCGGUUUCUGUUUUGUAUUCUUCCUUUUUUUUUUUUUUUUUUUUUUUUUUUUUUGCUUCUCCCACGUGAAGGUGGUGGUUCCCCUCUUAGACUGAGUCUCGUUUUCGGUUUCUUUUUUUUUUGUCGUCUUCCUCAUUUCCUGUACUGUUUCUAUUAGUCCAUUUAGUUAUCCUUGGGCCAUAUUGGUCCAAGCUAAUUUUGUCACACUUUUUUUUUGAACACACAUACAAUAACCAAUAUAACUUUCAUUCAACGUCUUAGCCCAAUAUGAAUAUAUGGAAAACAAAAACUAUAUAUUUUGUGUUUUAAAUUAUAUGAAAAGGAAAUUCAUUGAAAUGUGAAUCUGAUUUCUCUUAAAGAAUAUAUUUAACACUGCCUGAAGAAUUAAACUGUUUAUCAAAACUAUCAUAUACCCCCAUAGUAAAAAUUAUUUGUAAAAAUUGUUAGAUUUAACAAGAAAAGUUAUAUAUUGUAUAAUGUCUUAGUCAAGUGAAACCCAAGAUAAACUAUCUUUUGAAUUUUAUACCAAUUCGUUAAAAUAUUAUAAACCCAAAAUACAAAACUUAUCAAUGUUUGGUUUCCAGUAAUUAUUUUUACCUCGUUAUUUUAUUGAAUUGAUCAUUAAUGACACUUGGACGUAAAUAGAAUGUCACUAACAAAUCAACAAUUGACUCGUACUCUUUUCUAAUAUUUCGGCACUUUUCUGUCAAACAAUAUUUCUGCAUUUAAUUUCUAUACAUGUUUUUUCAUUUGAUGUCUUGUAUUCCUACUUCCACACCAACAUUUUUAGCAGGAUGAUGAAAGCCGCAGUAAGUACUCCAUAAGCAUGAGGGUAGUCGCUGUCAAUUAAACCAACAGGCAACAAGCCAACAAUCUUUGCAAGAUGAUUAAAGAUUAAUCUUUCUAACCAUUUCCAUUACCAUUAAAUAAGAUAUAAAACCCUGUUUACUCAUCUAAACAAAUACUCCAUUUAAUUUUUUUAAAAAAUUGUUUAAAAAAUGUAUUUUUUAUAAUUAUGAAUUUUAAAAACAUUAAUUGUAUUUUUUGAAGUUUUAAUGGUUUAGAAAUAUAGGAAACAUAAAACUACAAAAAACUAUGCAAUAAUAACUAGUAUUCACUCCGUUCCACAAAGAUAGAUUUUUUUAGUAUUUUCACACAUUAAAAAAACACAUUAAACUACCAUAAUAAAUGUAUUGUUUUCUGUAAUUUUCAAUUUUCAAUAACUUUUAACCAAUAGUUAUUCAAUAAAGUCAAUUAAUUUUUUUGAAGUUUAUAAUUUUUUCAUAGAAAAAACAAAAAAUACAUCUUUGUGAAACAAAUUUUUUUUCUAAAAAGUCUAUCAUUAAAGAACGGAGUGAAUAUUAUGUUUUAUUAAUACAUGUGAAAAUCCUAAAACAUGUAUAAUUCUGAAACAGAAAUACAAUAUCUUUUUUUUUUUUUUUUUUUUUUUUUUUUUGGAAUUUUUUUUUUUUUUUUUUUUUUUUUUUUGGAACAAUAAUACAAUAUCUUUCUAAAACCGAAAAUUAUAAAAUUUGGGCCGGACUACUGAUACUUAAUGCAACCAUCCAUCGACUAUCCGACUACAUUAAAUGCUGCAACAAUUGGAAAAUUCACCACAUCUGUCUCUAUCUUCAUUUUUUCAUUCAAUCCUUCUCCCAACCAUCUCUUUGCUGUCUUCAUAGCUAUCUCGUUUCUUGUUGUUCGGAUCAAGAAAGUUUUGUUAAAAACAAAUAAAUAAAAAAGAAGAACAAGUGUUUGGUCUGUUUCAGUUUUGGAGUUCAUGAGAAUAGAAACGAGUCCAAGUUUGUUAUUCAUGCAACUUUCUCACGACUCUGUUACACUAAGCUCUCUUCUCCUGAACUUCUCCUACUUAAUCUGAUAACUAUACUUUUUAUUCAAAGUUCACACCUUUUCCAUUUUCUAGACAAAACCCACUUUUCAGUUUCCUCUGUUUUGGUUACUGAAUGGAGAUAGAAGCAAGCAGACAACAAUCCACCGUACCGGUUCCGGCCACCGGAGGGAAUUUUCCGGUUCCGGUGGGUGGGUUAAGUCCGUUGAGUGAAGCUAUAUGGAGAGAAAAAGCUCCAACGGAGUUCGUCGGAGAUGUGUCGGCGAGGCUUACGUGGCAAGAUCUGACGGUGAUGGUGACUAUGGGAGAUGGUGAGACUCAAAACGUUCUUGAAGGUCUUACCGGUUACGCCGAACCGGGUUCUCUCACGGCUCUCAUGGGCCCUUCCGGCUCCGGAAAAUCCACAAUGCUCGACGCUCUUGCUAGCCGCCUCGCCGCAAAUGCCUUCCUCUCCGGCACCGUUCUUCUCAACGGCCACAAAACCAAACUCUCCUUUGGAGCAGCUGUUAGUAGUAAUCUCUUAACUUCAUAUAAAAAGUCAACAGUUUGUCAACUUUGUAAAAUAAAUCUAUUUUAAAACUUUAUAUAAACAAAAAGGUUACACAUAUAAGAAUGUUUUUGGAGUUUGGAUCUUAGCUAUGUAUAUAGUGUAUUUUUUUUAUCUCUGAAUCUGAUCAUUAUUUACAGGCUUAUGUGACACAAGACGAUAACUUGAUUGGCACGUUAACUGUGAGAGAGACUAUAUGGUAUUCAGCAAGAGUUCGUCUCCCUGACAAGAUGUUGCGGUCGGAGAAACGUGCCCUAGUGGAGAGGACAAUCAUAGAGAUGGGUCUACAAGAUUGUGCAGAUACUGUCAUAGGAAACUGGCAUUUGCGUGGGAUUAGUGGUGGAGAGAAGAGAAGAGUCAGUAUUGCUCUUGAGAUUCUCAUGAGACCUCGUUUACUCUUUCUUGAUGAGCCAACAAGUGGUCUUGACAGGUAAAAGGCUUCGAAUACAUUCUUUUUUAGGGUUAUACAAAACUAGUUAAACCCUAAUUGCUUGCCUUUUUACUUUCUGUGCAGUGCUUCUGCUUUCUUUGUGACUCAGACAUUGCGUGCGCUAUCACGAGAUGGAAGGACGGUGAUUGCUUCCAUCCAUCAACCGAGUAGUGAGGUUUUCGAGUUGUUUGAUCGGUUGUAUCUUCUUUCUGGAGGCAAAACUGUUUACUUUGGUCAAGCUUCUGAAGCGUAUGAGGCAAGUAACCUAAACCAAUCAAUCUCUGAAUAAAUCUUGUAAACUAAUCCAUGUUUUUGCUUAUGAAUGCAGUUCUUUGCCCAAGCUGGGUUUCCAUGUCCUGCUUUAAGGAACCCUUCUGAUCAUUUCCUGAGAUGUGUUAACUCAGACUUUGACAAAGUUAGAGCCACUUUGAAAGGUUCUAUGAAGCUAAGGGUACUGAAACAUCUUUUACCUUUUGAACUACUUUCAAAUCUUACUUGCUGAUCAAGUUGUUAUUCUUACUUCUCAGUUUGAAGCAAGCGAUGAUCCAUUAGAGAAGAUUACCACAACGGAAGCUAUUAGAGUCUUGGUGGACUAUUACCACACUUCUGACUACUAUUACACCACAAAGGCUAAGGUUGAAGAGAUAUCACAAUAUGUAAGUACCCUUUGUUCUUUUCUAGAAGUUUUGUUUGAUGUUGGGAUGAGAUCUCUCUUGACCUGUUUCAACGCUACAGAAAGGGAAUAUUCUUGACUCUGGAGGCAGCCAAGCUAGUUUCCUUCUGCAGACAUACACUUUAACCAAGCGAUCAUUCAUCAACAUGUCAAGGGACUUUGGAUACUACUGGCUCAGACUUCUUAUCUACAUCUUGGUCACAUUCUGUAUUGGAACCAUCUACUGGAAAGUUGGGACUAGCUACAGCGCCAUUCUGGUAAUUAAUUUGCUAAUAUCAUAUAUUGGUAACAACUUAAACUUGAGAUGAUGUCUUAAUCUGAACCUCUAACCAUAUCAGGCACGAGGCUCAUGUGCGUCUUUUGUCUUUGGCUUUGUAACAUUCAUGUCUAUUGGUGGGUUUCCCUCCUUUGUUGAAGACAUGAAGGUUAGUUACUCCCUCAUGCAACUUUCUUGCAUGUACCAAACUGUUUUGAUAGGCUGAAACUAUCUUCAGGUGUUCCAAAGAGAGAGACUAAACGGUCACUAUGGAGUAGCUUCGUUUGUGAUAGCCAACACAUUAGCCGCAACACCGUUCUUGAUCAUCAUAACAUUCAUCUCCGGGACAAUAUGUUACUUCAUGGUUGGUCUUCAUCCAGGAUUCACUCACUAUCUCUUCUUUGUGCUCUGUCUCUAUGCAAGUGUCACCGUUGUAGAGAGCUUGAUGAUGGCUAUAGCUAGUAUUGUUCCCAACUUCCUCAUGGGUAUCAUCAUUGGAGCUGGUAUUCAGGUGCUUCCUCGUACCUGAAACCUUUCUUAAAAGUAGAAGAAGAGAAGCUCUUCUUGAAUCUGUUUCAUUGUACUUUUGUUUUAGGGGAUCUUCAUGCUGGUUUCUGGAUUCUUCAGGCUACCAAAUGACAUACCAAAACUUUUCUGGCGUUAUCCAAUGUCAUACAUUAGCUUCCACUUCUGGGCGCUACAAGUAAUAACAUUGGAACCACACAUGAAACGUUUUAUAUCAGUUCAUCAUCAUAAUGUGACCAUAACCAUUUGUUUUGUUUGUUCUUUAGGGUCAAUACCAGAAUGAUCUGAGAGGCUUGAUGUUUGACAGCCAAGGGAGUGCUUUCAAGAUUCCAGGUGAAUACGUUCUAGAGAACGUCUUCCAGAUCAACUUGCACCGAUCAAAAUGGAUUAACCUCAGUGUGAUUCUCAGCAUGAUCAUCAUCUACCGCAUCAUUUUCUUCAUCAUGAUUAAGACCAACGAGGAUGUAACUCCUUGGGUUAGAGGUUACGUAGCGCGAAGAAGGAUGAAGCAGAAGAAUGGUACUCAGAACACUACAGUUGCACCUGAUGGUCUUACACAGUCCCCUUCUCUGAGAAACUAUGUUGCUACACGAACCAAUGGUGGAGCUCGCAGAUGGUAGAGUUGUGAGUUUUUCAAAGUGUUUGACGACACACUUCAGGAAAGUUUCACUUGGCAUGUAAUACCAAAUCACAAUGUACCGCGAGAGAGAGAGAAAUUUGAGUGUGUUAGCUAUAGAAUUUUGUCUAAAAUAAUCACUUAUACAUUUAUUUUGUCUACUCGCUAACAACAAGAACCAUCUUCUUGCAUCACAUUUUGCAUUGUGCCGCAACUUUUUUCCCUAAGGUACUUACGAUUGCUCUUAGACUUUGUGCUGUGUAUCAACUGAGAUAUGAAUGCAUGCAUAUUACGUGAUUCAGAUUAAGAAACAACAUGCUUAUUAUCUUUAACACUAGCAAAACAGUAGUUAUACCCAUGUGUACGAACUGUAAAGAUCACGGCGCAUAUGAUAGCUGCAAACACCUAUAAUAUUAUUUGAUAUAGGUAUCACUCGAGCUAGGUGAACUAUAUAUGCUGUUUUUGUCAUAUUUGGUUAGGCUGCGGAGUUGCAAACAAACAUGAUGGAAACACUGGACGCUGCUGACCUUGAAAAACAGAAGCAGAAGUUUUUUCACGCUUGGCCGGAUUAGAGGUAUUAUAGGAAGCAUAAUUGGUUUGUCGACAAUUCAAAGUGUUGUUUCCUUAUAAGUAGAGCAAAAUUAUUUGAUUUUUGAUUUAAAUAUAAUAAAUGGAAUGUUUUAGGCGGCAAACACAGAACUUACAAGAUCGUAUGAAUACGAGCUCGUGCCAUUAACAUGAUCAAGGGUCACUCUUGCUAUGUAGAUGAUUAUGGACUUCAACCGAUACAAGGUCAUAUUUGUUUUAUGAAAUAAACAUAGAGAAAAGCAUCUUGCCUUCUUCUCGUUCUAUCUUCAAGUGGUGACAAGUCUUGUAUUUCUUAUAUAAUGAGAACAUGGUUCUAUUUCUUGUUGUUUCUCUCGAGAAGUCCCCCCUUACGAAGUGGCGUCCUUCUUCCUUUUAUAGGCGCAGCUCGUCUUCGUUGUUACGUUUGUUGCACGUGUCCCUUGAAUGAAACACCAGCUUCCUCUUUUCUAGGAAUGUCGAUCCUGAAUAUCUUCUUGUGUAGAUAUGACUUUGACUUGUCCACGUAUAGUUGGUUUAGUCUCUAAACCAUGUGUAGAUAUGACUUUGACUUGUCCAUGUAUAGUUGGUUUAGUCUCUAAACCAUUUAAGACAUGAAUUGGCCCAAACGUAGAACCGUUUAUAUUGAACCAGGAUGUGUCUAAACCGUUAAUGACUUCGUCACUACAAGAAAACAGCAGCAUACUGAGGGAAAAAAUCGUCGGUAUGUCGUCGGAAUAACGCUAUUCCGACGACAUACCGACGAAAAAAGUCCUCGGAAAUAACUCCUCGGAAAUUCAUCUUUCCUCGGAAAUCCCUCGGAAAUUUCCGACGGAAUUCCGAGGAAAUGAAUUUCCUCGGAAUAUUCCGAAGACUUUUUUCGUCGGAAAUUCCUCGGAAUAUUCCGAGGAAUAUGUCGUCGGAAUAUUCCGAGGAAUAUGUCGUCGGAAUAUUCCGAGGGAUACACUUCCUCGGAAUAUUUCCAAAAUUCAAAAAAAAAAUUAUAAAUUUAUUUUUUUAAAUUGAAAUUCAAAAAUAUAAAAUUAAAAUUGAAAUAGAAAACAUAUUUAAAAUACAAAAAAUAAUAAAAUAGUUUUUAUAAAUAAAAAAAUGUUUUAUAAAUACAAAAUUAGUUUUAAUAAAUAUAAAUAUUUUUAUAAAUAUGAAAUCAUCUUUUUAUAAAUACAAAAUAGUUUUUAUAAAUACAAAAAAUAAUAAAAUAGUGUUUAUAAAUAAAAAAAAUGUUUUAUAAAUACAAAAUUAGUUUUAAUAAAUAUAAAUAUUUUUAUAGAUAUGAAAUCAUCUUUUUAUAAAUACAAAAUAGUAUUUAUAAAUACAAAAAAUAAUAAAAUAGUGUUUAUAAAUCAAAAAAUGUUUUAUAAAUACAAAAUUAAUUUUAAAAUAUGAAAUCAUCUUUUAUAAAUCCAAAAAACGAAUUUAUAUACAAAGAACGUAUUGUAUAUUUAAAAAUAGUUUUUAUAAAUACAAAAAUAAAAAAAUAGUGUUUAUAAAUCAAAAAAAUGUUUUAUAAAUGCAAAAUUAGUUUUAAUAAAUAUAAAUAUUUUUAUAAAUAUGAAAUCAUCUUUUAUAAAUCCAAAAAUCGAAUUUAUAUACAAAAACGUUUUGUAAAAUCGAAUUUAUAUAAACGUUUUGUAAAUACAAAAAUAAUAAACAAUUUAUAAAAAAAAUUCUAAAUCAAUUCAACACAACCAAAUCACAAUUCUAAACCUAUUACACAACAAAUCACAAUCCUACCCAAUCACCCUAACAAAAAUCUAUCAAAAAACUUCUAAAAUCAUCAAAUCUACUUAAAAACCUAACAAAUAGGACCUAAGAGAGUGGGAUAAGGUCCUUACAUGAUUUGUAAAGGAAUGGAAAGGAUUCGCCGGAGAGAUCGUCGCGAGAGAAGGUGGAGAACGCCGGAAGGAGAGAGAGAUCGCCGGAGAGGAAGAAGAGAGAAAUGGGGAAGAAGAGAGAAAUGGGGAAGAAGAUGCGGUUCGAGUUUAUAAAACCUUGGGUCUGACGGAUAUUUUCCGUCGGAAUUCCCUCAGUAUUUUCAAUUUUAAUUUUCGCGAAAUAUUUGGCGGCUUGUUUGCCCGGUUAAAUGAAAAUAUUCCGAGGAAAUUCCGACGGACACUUAAAUAUCCGUCGGAAUUUCCUCGGAAUAUUUUCAUUAAUUCGAGGAAAAAGAAUAUCCUGUGCAUGUAUUUCUAUUAAUUUAUAUUGUUCCUCGGAAUUUCCUCGGAAUAUUCCGAGGAAAUACCGAGGAACUAGUGUUUGGGGUUUCAAAACAUCAAUUUUUUUUGCCGUAUUUCAUUUCUUAUACAAUUGUAAUGCAUACCAUUGAAGAUUCUUUGUAUAGAUGAGCAUAAACCAUGAAAUAACAAAUUUCAAAACGAAUUGUAAGUAUUCCCUUUACCGUUCAUUAAAGUGUAUAAGUGUUUCUCUUAUGUUGUGGGGAUUUCGUUCAUACAAUCGGAAAAGUGUUUUUUAUAGGGUAAUGAACAAAUUUUUGACUUCAUAAUGAACGUAAGACACUUAAUAAGGGUUAUAUAGGUGUUAUUCAAACCGCAAAACGUUGUUUUCGGUUUAAAAACCCUAUUUCCUCGGAAUUUCCUCGGAAUAUUCCGAGGGAAUUCCGAGGAAACCUUUUUCUUCCUCAGAAUUUCCUCGGAAUAUUCCGAGGAAAUUCUGAGGAACUAGUGUUUGGGGUUUCAAAAUCUCGAAUGUUUUUUUAUAAACGGAUCGAUCGAUGUAUUUAUGUCCAAAAACGCAUCGAUCGAUCACUAAGAUGGACCAAAGCGUAACAAUGUGAUCGAUCGAUGAGAUUAUCCCAUCGAUCGAUCAAGGAUAUCAAGUGUUCCUCGGAAUUUCCUCGGAAUAUUCCGAGGAAAUUCUGAGGAACUAGUGUUUGGGGUUUCAAAAUCUCGAAUGUUUUUUUAUAAACGGAUCGAUCGAUGUAUUUAUGUCCAAAAACGCAUCGAUCGAUCACUAUGAUGGACCAAAGCGUAACAAUGUGAUCGAUCGAUGAGAUCAUCCCAUCGAUCGAUCAAGGAUAUCAAGUGUUCCUCGGAAUUUCCUCGGAAUAUUCCGAGGAAAUUCCGAGGAACACUUGAUAUCCUUGAUCGAUCGAUGGGAUGAUCUCAUCGAUCGAUCACAUUGUUACGCUUUGGUCCAUCAUAGUGAUCGAUCGAUGCGUUUUUGGACAUAUUCCCAUCGCUCGAUCACAUUGUUACGCUUUGGUCCAUCAUAGUGAUCGAUCGAUGGGUAUAUGUCCAAGAACGCAUCGAUCGAUCACUAUGAUGGACCAAAGCGUAACAAUGUGAUCGAUCGAUGGGUAUAUGUCCAAAAACGCAUCGAUCGAUCACUAGUUCGUCGGAAUUUCCUCGGAAUAUUCCGACGGAUUGAUGUUUCCUCGGAAUUCCGUCGGUAUAUUCCGAGGAAAUUCCUCGGGAAAUUCCGAGGAUUUCAUUUUUCGUCGGAAUGUCCGUCAGAAUACCGAUGUUUUCUUGUAGUGCGUGCUUGCGGUGCUUGGUUAGUGUGGAGUCGUCACCGAAUCGUCAGGUCAAUGCGCGGGAGAUAUCACUAGUUUGUUACAUCUAGUAGUAUUUUUUUUGUAACACCUAGUAGUAUAUAAUACAUAUCUAUAUAAUAUAGAGAGACUUCUUUUUCUAUUCCGUUCCUCCAAGAUUUCGCCAUCACCAUGGAGAAAUGCGAACUGGAAGAGAAACCCAAAAAGGCUAAAUCUUUGAAGAAGAGGAUGUGAGAGGUUGGUUGGCCUCUGGUUCAGCUACUGAUUUGAUGGUCCCAUCACACUCUAAAAUAACAUCAUAAAUAAGAUCAAUCAUAAUUUUCACAAACAAGAACUAAAAAAUGAUUUUUGAUGAAGUAUGGUAACAAUAUAAGAAGGAUUCUCUAUUUCUAAGGAUAAGCUCUAAUACUAAUUGACUAACCAAUGUAAAUCAGUGAAACUAAACACAUUUACUUUGGAUUUUCACAUAAUGAUCUCUUUUGGUCAGAGUAAGAAGCAUUAUAAGUAUGUAUGAUGUAAUAAUAAUAAUGCAAGACACAUUUAAUAACAAGAUUCAUUGGCAGUGGGCAACAAUAGUACAAUGCAAACACUUGUAUAUGUUUGAUAGAGAACCAGGUGAAGUCUUUGUUUAAUAAGUAACAAUUUGUUAAUAUUGAGAUAAUUCAUGCAUAUAAAUGUUGUACCGUCAUUUUUUAAUAAACAUCAUAAAAUUGUUGUUAAAAAUCAUAAAACUAACGCAGAUAAUUCAAUUGUUGUGACUCUUAUUUAUUUAAAUCUAUUUCCAUUUUUAUUUCAUUUAUAUAUUAAUAACUAUCUCGUGAUUUGGAUCCGAUAAGAUUCUUAAGCAACUUUAAUACUAAAAUUACUGAUUUCUUUUUUGGAUAUGAAUAUAUGCUGCAAAUGAAAGCAACGAUCUCGGCGUUGAAGUGUACCAACAUGCAGUAGAUUGUCAGGCUUUCCACCGGUACAUGCUGCAGAUGCUCAGCCACAUCCCAAUCUUGUUAACGAUGAAGAAUUGAUAAAAAGGUGAUUACUGCUUCAGCCAACAAUAUUCUGCCUGAUGAAGCUUAAAAUUGUUCGUGAUGAAGAUACGCGCUUUUUUUUACCUUUGUUCUUUUUCUCUAGCUAAAGCUUCGUUAUAGUUUCUCCGGCCGGCGUCAGAAUCCGACGUCGGCCAUACUCUUCUUCUUUUGCUUUUUUUAUGAUUUUUUAAUUUCCUUUUGUAAACGCUAUUGGAAUAGUCGUGUGUCCAUUGUUUAUAGUCCAUGGAUUUAAACCUUCACUUUGACAAUACUGGUGCUAUGAACAUUUUAUUUUUCCCUCUCCUCUCUCGCCCUCUCUCCAAUCAAUUAGGAAGAAGAUGGUUUCCCACUCCGAAGAAAGGACAUAACUUUUUUUUGUCGGUUCUAUUUAUUAUAUAUAAAGGGAUCCCAAUUUUUUACCAUAUGAUGCAUAUCCAGAAAAAAAUCCAAAGUUCAAUGAACAAAAGAAAACUAUUAGAAUUUAGGGUCAUCUAAUUGAAUAUACAAAUAUUGAGUAUUAGAAACUUUCCAUUUUGAAAGUAAUUGCAAAAAUAGCUUGUAAAAUAUGGUCAAGUCGGACGUAUAUGCCUUGCUAAUGCGCUGAGCGGUGAGCUACUGUACCGGUUUCACUUGUACGGUUAAAUAAUACGGCUUGUUCACAAACCGACAGAAUCCGCAUUAAUAUUUGAGUUAUUUUCACUCUAAAGUAGUUUUCAUGUUAUUAUAUCAGGAAAAAACACUUUCCGCUACUGGGGCAGUUUUAUUGUGAAAAAACUCAAUUUACCCCUAAAAAAGACGUAACUAGCGAUUGCCUUUCGAUUUUUCUUAGUUGGUGAUUUGAAUUUCAAAAUAUUAAAUCCGUGUGGUGGGCCCUAGGACGAAGGGAAGCCCAAUUUUAUUAAUAAUAGAGUAAAACCGGAUCUGAAAAAGAAAUUAUUUACUUUCCUCUCCGCUUUUACCGAGAACAAAAAGUGAAGAACGAAUAGGCGAUUUCCGGCGAAGAAAAAACGGUGAGGCGUAACGACGUUAAAGGCAUGUCUCGGCGGCGGAGUCUGCGGGGAAAAGAGAUUGCUGACAGUGAGUUAACUUCAGUUUUGCUUUGAUGGCUAGAUUGGUUAAUUUUGAUGUUGUUUUCUUUGAGCCUGAUUCUCUUUGUUUGAUAGAAACAGUGGCGGUAGAGGAUGUAAAGGGAAGUCUCCCCUUUGCAACGGAUCAGUACCCAUGCGAGAGGAUCAAUAUGUACUCGACGAUUGAUAAUCUACUGUGCGUUAGAGACGCACUAAACGGCACGGAGGAAAUGGCCCUAUUGUUGAGGUUUUGCUUUGGAAGCCUUCAGUUUUGGGCGUUUGAAGCCAUCCCAGCUUUGCUUAAGCGUUUAGGUGGGGACGAUGAGUAGAAGCUGUUGAAUUAUGUUGGUGAGAAGCUCACACAACAUACUAGGUUUGGUUCUGUAUAGAUGUACAUGUGGACUUGUAAACGAAUGUGUGUUUGGCUGUACAUAUGGACAUGUGAAUGAAUGUGCGUUUGGUUGUACAUGUGGACACGUAUUUUGUGGUGUCUAGCAAUUUUCUUUAAUUAUGUGUACUGAGAAAAUUGGUUGUCAACACUAUCUGAGUUGUACAUGUGUACAUGAAGCUAUACAUAUUCUCAAGCUUCAAAUCAUUGUGGAUGGUCUUAUUCCUAUGGUAUACAUCAAUGACUAAGAAAUGGAAUCAUCAAUCUAUGUAUACUUUCUCCAUGUUUAUCCCUUUGCAUAUUCUUUGUUUGUCUGUUGAUGUUUUCUUGUUGUUGGCUUUUGAAGACAUAGUUUUAGUUUGAUUUUUAUAACGUUCAUCUGUACACAUAAAAUUUACUAUCCACAUGUACAAUGAUUCAUGUGUACACUGUCUAACAUAUAUAUGUACAUUGUCUAACAAAAUUUCAUGUGUACAUUAUCUAAGUUGUACAUGUGUACACGUAUGGAACUAUACAUAUUAUCAAGCUUCAAAUCGCUGUGGAUGGUCUUAUUUCUAUGGUAUAAAUCAACGACGGAGAAAUACACGUACACAAUUAUGUUUCUUACACAACAAAUACACACCAUUUCCCACGAAACCACUCUUCGAUUCUAUUAUAUGUUCAUUACAUUGGCCAUCACAACCCUGUUAAAUGAUACAUGUACCCGUGGACUUGUUCAUUAGUAUGUGUCAUGUACACUGGAUACAUUUACGUACAUUGCUUACUGAUUGUACACAGUUUCUAAUCAACCAUGUACUCGUGUUCACUCAAACUUGUCAACAAAUUAAUGAACAUCGUCGGUUAAUAAUGUAUUCACCUGACCGAUGACAUGGUGGAUAUAUUUAGGAAGUAGUAUGCGAUGGAGAUUUACAAGGAUUGGGUUGUGCCUUUGUACUUGUGAUGAUUGUAGACAUCUGUGCGUUGUUUUGGUUUAAAAGGGAGGGUGUAUUUUAUGUUGUUGGGAUAUUGUAGAACGGGAGGACGUAUUUUGCCUUUUGUAGUAUUUGUGUUUAAAGAACAUAUUGUGUAAGGACGGAUAUUGUAGUAUUUAUGUUGUUUGGACGAAAAGGCUUUUGUUCAAGGGAAGCACCCUUAGAUAAAUGUGUGUGUGAUUAAAGAACAUAUGUAAGUACAAAUCAAGAGGUAUUGUACACUAAAGCCAGCCUAUGUGAAAUACAUGUACAACCACGAGGUAGAUAAAUGCAUGUACAUGUGGACGUGAUAAAGUAGUACACAUGGUAACCGAACAUAUUGGGUAUCAGUUGGGGUGGACAUAAAAUAUUAAAGCGUCUUCAAACCAGCUUAUACAUGUUCAUACUUGUUCUCUCAAAUUACAAUAUAGCCUGUGAAACAAAGUUGUACAGAUAGACAGGCACACAUGUACAACCCCGGACGUUGUGAACAAUGUGUACAUGUGGACGUAACGAGGAGGUACACAUGCUAAAAGACAAUGUGUACUAAUUACUCGUGGCUGAUGUCAAAAACUCGGAUUUGGAUAAGCGGACCUGAACAUAUUGAAUAUCAGUAGGGGGUGGGCAUAAAUGAUAAAAGCGUCUUCAAAACAGUUCAUACAUGUUUAUAAUUGGAUCAAUUAAUAUAACAGUGAAAAUGAAUUAAAUUUGAUAAUUGGAUGUUAGAAAACUAACCACAAGUUUAGCGGAAGUUAAUUUGUGGUCAAAUAUAAACAAAGAUGUAGAUUACGGUGUCUGUUCUUUCUAAAAUAGGUUUGAAACAAAACGAUGAAGAUGAAGAAAGGAGAACAACAGAUUAAAUCUGGACCGUAAAAAGUAAAAGACAAAAAGUAAAUCUAAGGAGUGAGAAUUUAAACAAAUAUAUGUCUUGUCAUAUAUGGCAGAUUUAUUAUGGGAUGUCUGAUGAUGGGGGAGAUGUGCGGUGGAUAUAGGUUCCCGCCAAUAAACUAGUUAGGCUUUUCCUAUGAGUAGUUACAGAUGAACUAUAUUGGUUAGGUACAAAUGGAGAAAAUGAGAUUAUUUAGAAGAAACAGUCCUAUUAGCUGAACGUGGUCUAUUGUGUUAUUAGAAACUUGGAAACUGCAGUGUAAUAUUUUCUUAAUAUUUAAACAUUAAGACAUGCACAUUAAAAGCCUAGCUAGAGAUAGUUACAUCGUCAGUUCUUAGCUCUUGUUAAGCUUCACUUUUUUCACAUAAACCCAUGUGGGACACACCCAUAUUUCAUAUCAUUCAUUAACUAUAUAACUAAAUCAGCCAAAAAUACAUAUAUAUAAGUGAAAACACUUUAAUAUACAAUCAAAUAAGAAUUAUAAAUUUGCUUGACUUGGUGUUCAUUCAAUAUUUUACUUUACAUCAAAUAUAAUUAGCAUGUAUAAGAUUUUCAAAAGAAAAUAUUUACCGUAUAUAUCCGUGUAAACAUCCAUAUACAUUUAUGUCCUAUAUAGUUGCCAACUGUCCGACUAGCGUAUAACGUAUUUUAGAACACUCAUAUUUAGUAGGAUUUUUAACGUUAAAACCCAUCAAGUAAGUUUGUUUUGGGUAAAAACCUUCAAACUAAGUAUUUAAUGAAAAAACCCUCAAACUAACGUUAUUUAAUAAAUUAAACCCUACCAGGUCAUAAUUACCAUUUCUACCGGUAAAUCUUUAAUUUAGGGAUUUCUACAUUAAGUAAACAUAGUUGAGGAGUUUUACCAUUAAAUUUUUUUUAAAAAAAAAAAUCAAAAUUUUAUAAUAUUAUUUAAAAAUUAGUAAUUUUUUUUGACAACAUAAGCGAGAACUAAGUAACUGGACCGCGCGAUUCAGAAAGCCAAACCAAAAGUAUUGAAUCGACAUAUAACAUAGCUGAAGGAAAACUCCUCGCACCACUUGCAAGCUUGUCCGCCAUAGUAUUUUGUGCUCUUCGAAUAUAUCUGAUCUGGAAGUUAGGGAAUAAAGUCUUACUACGUCUAAAUUCUUUAUAUAAUUUUUGUUAUAUUUUCUCAGUUUUUACAUUUUUAAUUUUUUACAUAUAUAAUGUUGAUGUUAAAACACAUCAAACUCAUAUAUUUACAAAAAAAAAUUAAAAAUACUAAUUUUGAAAAUUUAAGUUACUAAUUUUUAGAUAAUAUUAUAAAAUUGAUUUUUUUUAAUGGUAAAAUCCCUCAACUAUGUUUACUUAAUGUAUAAACCCCUAAACUAAAGAUUUACCAGUAGUAUUGGUAAUUAUGACCAGUUAGGAUUUACUUCAUUAAAUAAAGUUAGUUUGAGAACUUUUACGUUAAAUACUUAGUUUGAGGGUUUUUACCCAAAACAAACAUAGUCGACGAGUUUUAACGUUAAAAAUCCUAUUUAGUAAGAUAUCAUGUCAGGACUGUAUUAGGAUUAAGAUGGCUUAUAUGCUUAUGUAUGAUAGGAGAUUUUUUUUUUUUUUUUGAACACAAAUAUGAUAGGAGAUUUGAUUUUGUAAUACUUUUUAUACAACGUUAUUUUACAACGUAAGCAAAUAACGUUGUAUAAAGUAUUAGGAUUAUGAUAUAGUUACUUUCCUUAUUUUAAAGCAAUUUCUUGGAUUCAUAAGUUUUCAAAAUAAUGUAAGCUUCAAAUGUUCGUCUGGAUAGAUAAUUAAACUCCAAACCAUGCAUAAAUAUUAGAAUUUGCGUGUUUUUUAUUAAAUGUAAUUUCCAACAACUUUAUUACAAUGUUAAACCGGAUUAAUCUGGUUAAUCCGGAUAAUAUGUAUAAGUUUUUAAAUACAUCUUCUAAAAGUUAAAAGUAUAACGAUUUAAUAUAUCAUGAGUCAAACUGAGUUAUAAAAAUAUAUGGAUUAAUAUUUAUGCAUGUUUUGUAACUGGAUGCUACAUAACAUUCCAGAUCAAGCCUAAAAUAUUGAUGCAUAUUGUUUAUAAGAUAUACCAGAAAACCCGGUUUGUGUUUUGCUACAAGCUUUGUUUCUACAUGUUGAAAUCGAAAUUUGAUCUCUGACAAGUUUACUCUUAGGUUUGGUCUUAUAUAGUUUGUAGGAAAAACCAGAAAACCCGGUUUACUCUUGGGUUUGGUCUGCCAGACAACGUAUACUUUUGUCGGUGAAGAAGAAAGGGAUCACGUAAGGGAUGAUCGAAACAUGACGUCGUGUGUCUCGUGAAGCUUUUGUUUGACCGUAGUGUAAACGACGCAAAACUUCUCACGUCAAAGAGAUUAUUUAAUGCUCGGCCACUAACUAAUAGUCUAAUAAUACAGCGUAUUUAGAUCAAAAUCAGAUAAGAUUUUGACUUUGUAAGAUACGCUUACGGCUUAUAAAUUGAAACUCUGUUCUCAUAGCUUUUCAAUUCGUACUCAAAAGUUUCCAUUAAAAGAAAGCUUCCUAAAAUGUCAUCACUUCUUUGUAUCUUCCUCCUCUUAGCGGUCUUCAUCAGCCACCGUGGAGCCACCACCGAAGCCGCGGUGGAGCCAGUAACCGACAUCUACGGUCAACGUCUCAGAGCAGGCACCAAAUACUACAUCUUGCCUGUAGUUCGCGGCCGCGGCGGCGGACUAACCAUGUCCAAAGCCGAAAACAAAACUUGUCCUAAAAGUGUUAUCCAAGAACGGUUUGAAGUCUCUAACGGCAUGCCGUUGACAUUCUCACCGUCAGACAAAUCAAAAGUGAUCCGUGUCUCAACUGAUCUGAACUUCAAAUUCUCAGCUACUUCGAUCUGGAACUUAGACAAUGUCGACGAGAAGACGAAUCAAUGGUUCAUUGGAACUUGUGGCGUUGAAGGGAAUCCAGGCAGGACAACUGUUGGUAACUGGUUCAAGAUCGACAAGUACGAAGAUCACUACAAGAUCUUGUUUUGUCCUUCUGUAUGCGAUAUCUGCAGAGUCAUGUGUAGAGACGUUGGUGUGUUUGUGCAAGAUGGGAUUAGAAGACUUGUGUUAAGUGAUGUUCCACUAAAAGUUAUGUUCAAAAGAGCAUAAAUUACAAACAAAUUCCACAAAAGUUGCAAUGUUUUUUUACACUACCUUCAAUAAUAAAUAAACAAUGAGCUUUCUUCAAAGCUUGUUUCUCUCUGCAUAUUUGAUUUGAAUAUCGGAUGAAAAGUAAUUUAAGCUCUCCGUCAAAUUAGUGAAGAAACAUACUAGAGAAGUAGAUCAACUGGAUAAAAAACCUUAAAUCAUUAUCUGGGAAACAAGAAUCUGGUCGGAAACACUACAAAAAGAGGAUCGAGCGAGCAAACAUUAAUAAUGAUAUGUAAAACUCAUAAGUGCGGUUUUUGUUGCUGUUGUUGUGGUCUCGUCGCUUUUUGUCUUAAGAAGAAGCAGCAGCUACUUUCUCUUCAGCAGCAGCUUCGAAUGUCUCACCAGCUACAAGUUCAGGGACAUCAUCGUCCUCAUCAUCAUCCUCUUGAAUGGUUGCUGGGACAUUACCUCCACCAGGAGAUUGCUUCUUGAACUGCUCUGCUAGCUUCUUCAGAUUCUCCAUGUUGUCUGGUCCUGAAAGAGACCAAAGAAAAAAACAUGUUUCAAGGAUAACUGUUUUGGGGUUGGGGGGGGAGAAGAACAUGUAACAAGUACAAAUUACAUGGAGCACAUACCUAGAUGGCUGAGAAUCUGAGGUAGGAUAUCUUCCAAUUCUACAGAAAAAGGUUUUUAUAUUUAAUCAGAAAAGAUGCAAUGAAGAAGAAACAUGAAAAUAGACACGGUAAAGAUGCAUACUUUUGGUCUGAGGAGAACCGCUAACAGCCCAUGUGUUUGCACCAACUGCAGCUUGAACUGUAGUAAAAGAGACAAAAAAAAAAAUUAUCAAUAACAUGAGAAGGUUUACAAUUUCCUUAGUAUAAUGUUAGAAGGUAUACCCUUAGGGUUGGUGAACUGAAUAACAACAUCAUCCUUGAAGAUGUUAACUUCUUCAAUAGCAGGAAUGGAGUUAACUCCAAUUCUCUUGAGAGUGCUUUGGAGCUUCUUGUCAUCAGUAGUAUUGGUCUUGUGCACAGCCUUCUUCUUCCUGCAUGCAGACAAUCAAAUGGUUCAUAUAAUAGACAUAAAAUUAAAUGCUAUGGUAAAAAUGAAAAUGGUAAAACAAAAAAAAGAAGAAGCAAAGUGUUACCUUCUAACUGUACCCUUGCCGCCAGUGCGGACAGUGUUGGCCAUCUUCAUCAACUUCUCACGAUUCAUCUGUGUAUAAACCAUACAAAAAGCCACACUCAUUAAGCCGCAUCAAUGAGAUUAAACUGCUACUAGAACUAGGGAUAAUACAUUCACAAAUCAAUGAGAACAUAGUGAAUCUUUUGUAGACACACACCAGACAAAUAAUGACACUAUAACUAAGGCACAAAACAGAGAUGCGUAUAUGAAUACGAGCUAAGAGCACUAUUGAGAUUAACCCUAAGCAUCUAUUAGAUUCUCUCUUUUCGACCAAACAUGCAGAGAAGUGGAAAACUUGUAAAACAUAUGGUCUUUCAUAUCUCAAAACACAGAAAAAAAAAAAGCACAUCUCAAAUCGAUAAUGAAGAGAAACGAAUCUAGGAAAAAAAGAUGUCUGCAUCCCGACAUAUUUUUAAAAAUCGGACAAUCAAGACAAACCCUUACACUGAAACGAUAAGACACAGAGAAUUAAAAGGACACAACAGCUGUGGAUUUACCUUGAGAUUUUGAUGAUUAGGGUUCUGUGUUUCUACAGAGAGUGGAAAGAGAUAACAAGCGAAGAGAGAGAGACGCGGGCGGCGCAAGAGAGUUUUGCGUCUUUAACUAUAUGCUAUCGAGGCCAAGCUCAUUUAUUGAUCCAACGGUGUAGAUAUCAUAAGCCUCCAUCUCUGCCGUUGGAUCGUUUAACAUGUCUCGAAUAAAGUUAUGGCCCAAUAACAGGGACACCUAUUGGCCCAAUAACUAGGAAACCUAUAGGCCCAAAAUAGAAUGGGCGUCCACAUCUAAUCGUUUCCCACGUGCUAUAGCGGAGCGUUUUGUACACGAAAGCCAUCUUAAAAAAUACUCUGUCCAUUGGAACGCUUGUGCGUGCGUUAUAAGACUUUGUAGUUGACUAUGAUUUGAGUAAAGAACAAGGUAUUUUGAUUAUUAAUAUUCUCAACAUAAUUGGUUUUAUUACAAAAUAAGUCUGCUUAAUUUGCUCAGUAAUAUGAAAUCCACGAAUACAGAAGUUACAUAAGAUAGAGAGACACAGAGCCAAAACGCAGACGCAUAAAAUGAUUUCUUUCACUGCUUCUUCUGCACAACAUUCUCCAAAUACCAUUGAUAAGUCUGACGAAGCCCAUCUUUAAUCGAAACCUUCGGCGUCCACCCCAAAGCCGCAAGCUUCGAGCUAUCCAUCAGCUUCCUCGGCGUCCCAUCAAGCUUACUACAAUCCCAAACAAGAUUCCCUUCAAACCCAACAACCUCCUUAACCAACUCAGCCAACUCUUUGAUCGUCACUUCCACACCACUCCCCAUAUUCACAUGCUCAAACCCACUGUACCUCUCCAUCAAGAAAACACAAGCCUCAGCCAAAUCAUCCACGUGCAAAAACUCCCUCAACGGGCUCCCACUUCCCCACACCACAACCUCCUCCGCAUCGUUGGCCUUAGCUUCAUGGAACCUCCUCAUCAGAGCAGGAAGCACAUGAGAGUUCUCAGGGUGGAAAUUAUCGUUCGGACCGUAGAGAUUCGUCGGCAUGCCGGAUUCCGGUUCGCAGCUAUUAAUUUGAUUGAAACCAAACUGUAGCGAUUGGCGCGAAAAACAAGGAAAUGAAUGCAAGCAGGAGCCAGUAAUUGCAGUAGCAAAUCUGGCAAUGAGGUGUCUGAAGAAGACAGGGAAGAAAGAAUCUGACAGAUGUAAGAGACGUUUCUGCAGCGUUGGAGAGGAUCUGUUCAUCUGCAGAGGAAUUUUAGGUGAUUGACAGUGCAAAUUAGACAUAGCACCCGCAUCUCCAUGUUCUACAUUGUUUUUUUCUUUUACCAAAAUAAGAAGUUACACAUAGCCAAUUCUUGGAAACGGUUGCUGCAGGAACAAUGAUAUAAGGUAAUGAAAACGUUCCGAGUUAUAUAAUAUUGUCAAACACGUUAACGUAUCUAUUUAAGGCUUGUUAAGUUUGUGAUCUUUUUGUUUCAGAUUUUCAAAUCAUUUUGAUUUAUAUUGCAUGACCUCACAUCAUCUUAGGUUGAUGAACUGAUUAUUAACUAUAGUUCAGUGGUAAAAAAGGGAUUUAUGACAGGUGAUAGAUAAAACAUGGACAACAUUUAGACAAGAAACAAUUUGUAACUUGACAAAAGAUACAAACAGAAGUCAAUGCCCGAACCAUACACAAAAGUCAUGGUGCGUUCUUGACUCCCACCUCCCACCAAAUAUUACCAUUUCAAACACACAAAAAAAAAAAGAAACUGAACAAGAGAGUGAAGAGAGGAGACAGAUAACCAGAAGAGUGAUGAUUUUCUUACACUCUUUGCUGGCACUGAAGGUAGAAUAAGUGCUUAAUAACUUUCACUUCUCUGAUCAUUAAUGACCUUUAUCAGAAAUCAGAUGGGGGAAAUGAGCUAUUAAUGGCGUCCUCAAGCAGUUGAAGGACAAUUCAAGGUGGUUUUAAUGUGGUGGACAGUGGAACUGAUGAGGUUAUUAACUGUCUCCAUUGACUCCAUAUUCAAUUUUCCUGACUGCAAGCUACUCACCAUUAUCUGAAACCCAACCGUUAUCAAUGAACCUCCUCCUCCACUUCCUCUUCCUUCAACUUUGAGCUCUGGGAUUUGGUCAUUCCUGCUUCCAUCUGGUGAAACCGCAAAACCCGAGGGUAAAAUGGGAAUGUAAGAUGUGUCUUGACCGCUCAUUGCCAUGUUCAGUGCUGGUAAAUCCAAUGGAGUGUAGACCACAAGCGAGCCUGAUGAGUCUACGCAGCUUUCUUGUAGAAUCAGCAUGUUGUUUUGUGAUGAUGAUGCAUUGAACCCCUAAUGUAAAAAAGGUAAAAAAAAAUAACAAUCAAUAGUCUCAAGAACCGAACAUAUGUGUUUAAUUAAGUAACUUACACGAAGAAUAGAAAUACAGUUUCCUGGAUGUGAACCGUUUGCGAUAUGAGCAACUUCUUGAACUGAACUUCCAUUCAAUAGAACGUCCCACUAUAAUAACCAAAGAAACAUUUUAAAACAAAACGUUACACAAAGUGAUUAUAAAGGCGUGUAGUAGUAGUAGUACCUGGGGACGAGUUCUUUCAUCUUUGAGGAAAUUGAAAACGAUAAGUGGAGAAACUGGGAGCCAGAAGCUGGUGGCUGCACACAGAACCAUUCCAUUUGGUUCGUGCUGGCUCUUGUACGAAGUCACACGGAUUCCAAACUCAUUCAUUCCCGAUACAACCGUUGAUGAUCGAGUGUUGUUAGAUGUGCCAACGCUCAAGCAGAAGUUGUUUACCAUUCUUUGAGCAAGUUUCAUUACACUUCUCUUCCCUUCCGGCGAUGGAAUCACCGAGGAUGUUGCUGGUUCAUGUAGAGCUGUGAAUCUCUCGCACAUUCUUUGGAGAGUAGCGAUCCAACGUUCAGCUCCAAAAGCUAAUCCUUCACGGACACGAUCUUUAAACAUCUCAUGAAUAGGCUCUUGCUCCGAGAUUUCAAUAUGUUCAACCCAAGUAACCUGUUAUUGUAUAAUGAUCAGAGAUGCUAAUAAAAAAAGAAACAAACACAUUAGUUUACACACAAACCUUGCAGUAGCCAUUGGACAUGUCUUGAAUCAAGCAACCAGAAGGAAGUCGAUAUGGCCGAGAAGAAGAUAUAAACUGAGGAAGCUCAUAGGAGACAUUUACAAUAGCCCAAGUUCCAUGUUCGAUUUGCUGACAGUAUCUUAGCACGCUGAACUCACGUGUUGGAACCAAUGGCGAAAGCAUUUGAAGCUCUUCAAGCAUCUAACACAAGCCAAUAGCAAAGUUAAUCAAAAGCUUCACACACAAACAAUGAUCAAGUGUUUUUUUUGUACCAAAUGUAAGGCUUCUCCGUGGUUUCCACGCAAUCCAGAUGAAACCACUGCAAGAGUUUUAGAUGAUGCAACGACUGAGGGAAAAAGCUCUGCAGAUUUAACCUGAAAAAAUAAACUAUAUGAGAAAAAAACAACAACAAACCAACUGAGUAAAAUCUACAGGUUAGGUUGGUUUUACUCACAGAGUCCAUGAGCAUGUCCACAAGUGUCAUAGCAUUAAUGAAAACUACGCCAGAAGAUCUACUCGCUUCCACUCGAACGUUAUGAUUCUUUCCUCCACGGCUACUUGCUCUAGGGAACAUAUUCUCAUAGCUUCCGAGGUUGAGAACGUCUCUUGCUCCAUCAUUUUUGAUCCAUAGAGGCUCGUUUGUUUGGGUAAGCCUAAUCAACUCUUCCAUAGCGGUCACGGCAAUGUUGGUCAUAACAGACUUAUCAAUGUCUGAUAAAACCAAGUUUGGUUGAGAUGGUAAAGUAGGAGCAGCCAUUGAAGAACAACUUCCAGGAAUAAGAUCAAAAUCAAGCGAAGGACCACCGUGGAAUGGCAUCUGGUUUAGUAGUGGUGGGAGAUGAGAAAGUGGCCUCCCCAUGAACUUAGCUGCAAUGCUUGAAACCCUUUCGAGCUACCAAAGAAAAAAAGAGAGGUGUUAAUGGGAAGGUUAAGCACUAAGAUCAAACCACAAUGCAUGACAAAAAAGGUGUGCAUUUUAGCUAGAACCUCUUCUCUAAGGUGUGCAUUUUCGAUUCGAAGCUUCUGUUCAUCGAAGUAAGAGUCUUCAUGAGAAGGAGCGUCACCACAGGUGGGGCAAAUGGUGUGUUUGAGAGCUUCUUUGAUGGCAAUGUUCUCGCAACGAAUCCUAUCGUUCUCUUCCUUGAGUGCACAGUUAUCAGCUCUCUCGUGUUGUGCCUGCAACAUGAAACGAUGAAGAAGAGAGACAAAGCGAGUAAGAUAGAAAGUAAAAAGUCUAAAACCUUCUUUUGUGUUCGUCGGUUCUGAAACCAAAACUUGAUCUGUCUUGGAGCCAAACCCAAUUCUCUGCUAAGUUGCAUCCUCUGUUUCUCAUCUGGGUGUUGACACUCAUUGAAAGCUCUGCAAACAAAAACCAUAAGAGAACAGAAAGAAAGAGGUGGAGAAAACAAAUGAGUAGAGGAAAGAGAGGAAUACGAUUCAAGGCGUUGGAUCUGGUGAGGUGUGUGGCGGUGGAAACGCUUCUUCUUCAUUGUCUUCUUGUCCGUUUCAGAGCUGUCACCGAGAAACUCCAUCUUUGUUCAAAAGUAUAAUGUGUUUGUAUACAAAGAAACAGUAAAAAAAAAUCCUUUUGUAACCAAACAAGUGAACUCUGGACCAUCACACAGCUGUCGCCAUUAUUAACACAACAAAGAGAAAAAGAGGGAACAAAGUUUCAAACUUUGAACAAGAGAGAGAGAGAGAAAAAAAAAUGUAACGGAAGAGAAUCUGAAAAAAAGAAAGAAAAGAAGAUAAUGGGAGGGAGGAAGGAGCAAAAAGGGAGAUUUGAUAUAAGAAUCCAUAUAGCCAGGUAGUUAAUGUCUCUUACAGAACCAAUGAAGAGAGAGGCAGAGUAAUAAUAAAUCUCUCUGGGUCUUUGUUCUCGAGCCUAUCAUAAGCAAGCCAUUAGUGCUUUCAUCAUUCCCACCUUUCGCUCCUUUUACAUUCAUUACACAUUCCAAAAUCUCUCUCUCUCCUUACCUGUCUCUUGAGAAAUUGUGUAACUGAUACUGAUGGGGGGAUUUAAUGGCGUUUGACAGCGGGAGGAGAGAGAGAGGUUAUGGGUUUUAAAUUCUCUUGAUCGUUUCUCCAUUACGAACCUUCUUCUCUCUCUCUCUACCCUCAUUUAGAAGUGCCGGAGAGUUUAGAAACGGGCGACUUUAUCCACUUGCUCCGGCGGGUUCUCUCAACGUCAUGUAGUGACAAAAUGUAACUUUUCUUUGGGAUUUUGCUGACCUAUUCUUCUCCUUUUUUUUUCUUUUCCUUUUUACUUAAGAAAAUAAAAUAUGGGUGAAUUUGCGAGAUAUCCAAAAUCGAGAGUAUAAUUAAGUAGAUGACUAUGAUUUUGACGUUAUUGAGUGAAUAACAUUUUACCUUUUUCCAAGCCGGUUAUAUCCCCACUGGAAACAAGUUAGCGGUCAAAACAAAAGGAGAGAUGACAUUGAUGACUUAAGAGAUGGAUCACAUUUACUGUAUACUAUUAACUAACGAAUCAAGCAAAUAUAGCCACGUCACAUGCUUUCUUACCACGUACAUGUUAACUGUGCUAUAUAAAUAUUAUAUUCCAUUUAUAAAAAUACUAUGUUUGAUAGAAACAAACAAAACACCUUCAUAUGAAACAUAACUAGAAACUUUAAACUCAACUCCACACCUAAAUACUAAACACUAAACUCGAAUCUGUAAACCAAAACUCAAAUAUUAAAUCUAAUUUCUAAUUAUAAUAUUUUUUAAAAUAAAAUAAAAUAUAUAAAAUUUGAACUAUUAUUCAAUACUAUCUAAAAUGGAAUGGAGACUAUUCUUCUGAACUAAUGCAUUUGUGUUCAACCUUAAUCCACCUCCAACCAAAAUAGUAUAUAACACCAACCCCAUCCCAACCCCUCAAUAAUAAACCAUAUAACAACCCCACCAUAAACCCCUAAAUACUUAACCUUAAACCAUAAUCAUUAUACCCUAAACUCAAAUAUAAACCAUAAACCCAAAUAUAAACCCUCAACCUAAAUAAAAUGGAACUAAAUAAAUAGCAUAAUACAUAUUGGUGAAAAUAUGAAAUGUCUAUGAUAUUAUCGAAGAAGUUAAUGCUAACUCCAUCCUUACCCCCUCCACCUACAAAAUACUAUACCCUAACCUUUAAUCACUAAACCCUAAACCCAAAUAUAAACCAUAAACCCAAAUAUUAAAAGUAUAUAAAACAUUGUCAUUCUACAUGAGACAUACAAAAUAGAAAAUCUGAAAAUGUAAUUACAAUCUAAAAAUCAUCUUAACAUAUCUCUCAAAUGUUGAGAUGGUUAUGCCUUCAUGGAAGAUGGUAAUGUUUGUCACAAUGUCAACCCCAACCAUACAUAAACUAAACCCUACACGGAAUUAUAAACUCUAAUCCACUGUCAAACCCAAUCUUUCAUAAACUAAACCCUAGCCACUAAUCACUAAACCCUACAUGGAAUAUAAACCCAAAUUUCGAAAUGCAAGUAACAUGCAUUUUCAUUCUACAUGAGCAUAUAAAAUAGAAAAAGUAACAAACGAUAUAGCACAAUACAUAUACAUUGUCCAAAAUUUUGAAAUGUCUAUGAUUACAGGGAAUGACGUAAUGCUUACACCAAAUUCAGAUUGAUUGUAGCGAAAAGAAAUAGAGAUUAAUGGCAUUAAAAGAGGUGGAAGAGACAAGAUAAUAUGAAUAUCAUUCCCAUUCAACAUCACACUGUAUUCUCUUUUAUUUGAUGUCAUAAUAAAUUAUGUUCCAUUUACGUUUAAUAUAUUAUUUUCUCUUUACAAAAUCAUAUACAGACUAAUAUAAAACACAUGUAUGCAUCGAUAUAAAACUCAUAUCAAUAGAACAUGAAACAACAAAGAACAAGAUUGAACCAUUUCUUUCAAGCAUCGAAUGCAAUAUAACUUACUAAAUAGUACAUUCUAUAUUAAUAAACAUGACAAAUAAGAGAAGAGAUGUUCCAUUUCAUAAAAUAGUAUAGAAAUACUAUUACCCUUCAAGCUCAUCCAUGACAAACCUGAAAAAAACAAUGAAAAAUAAGCACACGUUAGUAAACAAAUUGGAAGGAAAUGACAGCAUAUGAGAUAAGCUACUAGUAUAUGCUUAGGUUAAUUGUUUAGUUGUGUCAUUCGGAAAUAGCUUAUGCGAGUAGAGAAGUAACAUAUGCAAUUAGAAUUAUACCAUCUGAAAUAAUAUAGAAUAUAUAUAUAUAUGGAAAGGAACUGAAGGUCAGAUGGAAUGGAAAACGAAUAAUAUAUUAGUUUUGAUACAAUUCUUCAGAAAUAGCAGAGAAUGGAAUGACACGUAACCAGUCUCUAAAACUAAGAUUUUCCAUUUCAAAUAGCACAUGUUCUAUAAGAUAUUUCAUUUCACAGAGAACUAAACUUGUUUUAUCGUAAAAGGACUUUUCAUUCUAAAAUGACUAUCCCCCUUUGCAGUAAACAAAUGAGUACGACGAACCAAGAAAAGUUCAACCCUAAAUCAAUUUGUUUGCCUUAGCUUACUAGAUCGGGACAAAAACGAUGGGUUAGAUUUAUCAACUUAGAAUAGACUAGGGCCGAAUCUAUUCCAAAUAAGGGGAAAAACAGGGAAAUAAUAUAAUCUAUGGCACAAAAUAGAGAACUUACAAUAUUGCAACAGAUCUCAACCUAAUCGCCAAUAUGAAGGAGAUGAGACUAUGGUGGUCGUUCAUGCCGAUCACACUUACGAACUCUUCUGAAUCUUCUUCGAAUUCUGAAUCGGCGCGUUCGCUUGACGAACCUAUGACGAGUGACGAGUUUGAAUGGAAGACGAUGGCUCCGCGGUGGAUGGAAGAGCAAUAUACGGCGGAAUCUGCUGCUUGAUUUCGCGAUUCAACAAAUAUCGGCCGGAAACUUUUCACCUUCUCGGGAAGUGACGAAGAAGAAGAAGAAGUUACUUUUGAGAGAUGUGUGACUUCCUGAUGACCACGCGUAAUUUUUGCUUGGUUGGGUAAUUAAUUUUUUUUUAACUGCAGGUUGCGCCGGUUGCGUUGAAGGCUAGCAGGGUAAUAUUAUAUAAAAUACACUCUAUAUCGAUGUAUGGUAGGGCAUUUGGCUAUAAAACUAAAUACUUUUUUUUUAGCCAUUCGGCCUAAUUUCCCAUAAAAUAUUAAUACCAUUUUCAAAAAACUUGCUUAAAUACAACUUAAACUGGAAAUAAUUAUUUUUCUAUCAUAAACUAUAACAGUUAAAUAAUAUCUUGAAUUUAUGUACGCACCUAACGGGGUUAUAAGAGAGGUUUUUAAGUGGUGGGUCUCAUCUUUUGUUUAAAAGCCGGUGAUAGAAGAUAUGAAAUAAGGAUCGACUUUGGUCUGUUUCUUUUUUCUUUUUUUUUCAACAUUUUUACUCGUGAGAGCCUGAGACCCUCAAUGAGGGUGCCAAACCAAGAUCUCUACUUCUAAAGUUAAACAAUUAUGAAAGAGACCUUGGCAAAAAACAAUUAUCAAAGAGUAUAACCAUGCAUUUAGACCACCUCGAACACAUGGUUUUAAUCUGGGUUCUUAAAAAGGAACCAAAAAAAAAAUGAAAAAAGAAAAAAUCAAGAGAACCGGUGUCUAAGGGGUUCUAUUAAUCGUCUCUAGAGUAUGCACGCUUAUUAAAAAUUUAAUAAAUGUUUAUAAUUUAAUUUAUUUUUUACUUUAUUAUACGCUUUCCAAUAACUUUUCACCCAUAAAAUUUAAUCAAUUCAAAUAUUCUCAAUUAAUGUUCUUCAAAAGUAUAAAAAAAUACUUUUAACAAUAUAAAAAAUCUAUUUUCGUGGAACAUGAAAAAAAAUCGAAAACAUAGUAUUAAUCGUCUCUCUCUCUUCGUCGAUUUUGUUGUUUGUUAUUGGGUAAAUCGAUUGAAGCCAAAUGAUAUACUAUUCUCUGUUUUUGUUGGAGGAUCAGCCAGCUUCUUGGUCAAGUUCUUUUUCAAGCCUGGAUUGCUUGCUGGAAUCUGAGAGUAUCACAUUCGAGGUAUGUCCUUAGAUUUGAUAAAAAAAAAAAUUGGAUUCUUUUGAAUUGGGAAUUCUAUCCAUGUUCUUGUUGUUUUCUGGAUAUGGGAGUUGCUAGAGAAUAUUUGUUUCUCUGUUGAAUUGCUUCUUUGCUUAUGAUUGACACUGGAGAUACAUGGUUUUGUUGGUUUACGGUUGUUUGAUCCUAGAUUUUAUCUCUGUUCCUAAAAUGAUUCUUGUUGAAACUACUACGGACCAAUAAUCAGUGAGCCAUGUUCUGUUUUUGCAGGUGGAACGAAGACAUAAAGCUUGUGGAGCAAUCAAAUGUCAUUGAUGUGCCUGGUUUGUCUUAUAGAAACAUCCCUUCCCUUGCCUCAACUGUUACUGGAGAGAUGGUAAUUUCAUUCACUCACUCCCCUUUUUUGUUACCUCUUUGUUAUUUUUGUUUUUUUUCUAAUAAUAAUGAUGACUGCAGGCUAUACCUACUGAGGGUAACUCAGCUUUAUCCUUGUUUUGUCCUUAUAAAGGUGGCUCCUUUCUUUUCAACUGUUCUAACGAUAUUAUGAUGAUUGCUGAAGCAUGUUUUUGUCUCAGUUGUUGCAGGGUUUUCGAAUUUGGAGGUUGAGUCUAAUCCAUGUUUUACUACCACCCGCAAGAACAGGAUCUAUGAGCUGGUGGAAUAAAAUAAAAGAACAUAUAGAUUUGUUUUACUGUCUUUUAUCCUUCUCGUAAAAAGGUUCGCUUAUACAUUUUUUCGUUGCCUUUUUGUGUGUUAUGCAGUUGAUUCCUGCCAAUGUGGUGAAAGAAAAUGGGCUUACAUUUUGUGACCGCAUCAAGUACAUUGAUGGAGAAGGGAUCAUGGGGCUAAAGGCAAAUGGUCUGAUGUUAGGAUUUGCAUCAAAGGAUGGGACAGGAUUUGCAGAAGAAACAGGCUUAAAGAGGGUGAUACUGUCCACUGUGAGAUGCUUCAUAUCAGGAAGAAAAUUCACUCAAUCAAAAUCACAAUCACUCGUGGCUGAAUCCAUCAUCAUCAUUAGCAGUUCAUCACCACACCCUUCAUCCAUCACUCAUCAUCACCACUAUCAAAACAGUUAUCUAUGUCUUAGUAUGGCUUUUGUUUGUUUUAUGAGUGUUGCAGUUUUCUUCUCAGGUUUUUAUCUUAGUAGUACUUUCUUUAUCCCCAAGCCACCGUGAACUUAUUGAUGUUUAAUGUUUGUAUUUUGAAUGAGGUUCAAAUCAUUCAACUUUAAAAAUAAAAAUAAAAAUAAAAAUUUAAGAAUUUCAAUGAAGUUCUCCUGUUGGAGGAUGAAAAAAAUAAUUAAACUAACUUUUCAAAUCACAAAAUUAACUACUAAUUUAUUCAUUAGAACCAAUUAGGAUCUCUAACGAAUGGACUUGCUCUUAAAGCAUAAACUCUAAGUGAUGAUGGGACUUACAUCUCCUCUCUUCUCCCAAGUGAAUGCCUGAAACUAUCUGUUUUCAUCCGCUCCACUCCGUCUGUUCCUCUCUCCGUUUGCGUUUAUUCGUUGUUGGAGCCUCAUACCAAUCUCCUACUCUCAAUGCAUUUGACAUACACAUCACUGCUUCCACAACUGCUUCUCUCUCCUUUGGAUGUAGAUCCUCUAGUAACAACGGUGAAGCCACCUCGUCGAAUUAGAGUAAAGCAGCUUGCUACAAAACAAAACAACAACAGUAUAAAGGCGCCAUGUUUUCUUAAAAGUAUAUAAAAAAAUUUAUCUUAAAAUAGCAUUUAAUGAUAAAAAAUUUAAAAUAUCACUCAUUUAUCCACAAAAGUUCUAAUUAUUAUAUAUAUAUUUUAAAUUCUGAUCUCACGGCUAAUAUUUCUCUAUAAAUAAGUAAAAUAGCAAAAAUAGCAAAAACAUAUUUUAAAAGUAUUUAAAUAUAGUAUGAUGAUAAAAAAAAUCCAAACUCAUUUAUCAAAAGAAAAAAUAGCACUCAUUUGCUGAUGAAAUUGUUACUUUUUGUCUCAUGUUCUCCUUGUUAGACAUUCAGUGUGGCAGUAUCAAAUUGUUAUUUAAACGUGGUUAGAGUAGCAAAUAUGAUAGCUAAAUCUCGCGAAUUUUUGUAAAGAAUUGCCUCCUCGGAUAUCUUCCGAAGUUUAAUGUGUUUCAACCAUGGAUAUUAACUGCAACACGACAAUUAAUGUGUGAGCUUUAACAAGCAAGAAAAAAAGGCUAGAAAACAUGACAACCCACAACACACACAAGUAAGAGCAUAUGGCGUGACGUAUUGUAACGUAGAUCUCUAUUUACUCACGUCAUUGUGCAUUCAGACUAGACAACUUCAUAAGAUCUGGAGAAUGAUCAGUGGGGAACUCUGUCAAAGCGAAUAUCAUUCUCAUCAAUUAUUCAAAUUUAACAUUUUUCUCGAAAUGUUCUCUUUUCUCAUCCCAGUGUGGGACGCUAAUAAGGUUACUAUUGCUUCCGUGGCCUCCGUAGUCUUCUUAGCCUUUGCGGGUCUAACACUCGCCGUUUCGGCCGUGGCAUUAGUUGUAUCCGCACCUCUUUUCAUCAUAUUCAGUCCGAUUCUCGUACCCGCGACUAUAGCCACUACCCUCCUAGCCACUGGGUUCACGGCCGGUGCCACUCUCGCACUGACUGCCAUUGGCCUCAUCAUAGGGCUCAUUAAGUAAUUCUAAAGAAACUCUUUUGAUGAUAACUCAGUAUGUUUUGAUGAUAAUAUUUAACAUACGUACAAAUAUAGAAGCCAUACACUCUAAAGGCGACCGUAGCUUGUUAUUUCUCAUUUUUUGAGUUCGAUCAGCUCGAUCUCCACCCAACAUAUAUCUUUCUAAAACGUUUCGACAAUAUUAGCUAACUUGUUUAAUUCUCUUUCUUUUGUCCACGAUUCUUUUUACACGUUACAUCUUUCUUUCUUUUUGAGCUGCACUUUAUUGUUGUUGUUUUUUAACACAUAUUGUUGUUAUUACCUUUUUUAUAAAUUAACAGAUUAAUUAGUUCUCUUUUCCUUUAAAACCUGUGUGUGUGUGAUAGGACUGCGGAAGGAACUCGGUUGGCUCUUUCCGCCCAAAGACCAUUGAAAUUGCUAAAGUUUUCAGAUGGAUAUUGGGGAUUCUGGGGAGGAAAAACAUUUUCAGGAUCAUUCGGAGACAUUUUAAAAUGGUUACAAAAACAACCUUGGUUCAAAGGUAUACCAGCAGGCGGAGCUGCACCAGCGGCAGGCGGAGCUGAACCACCGGCAGCCGAAGCUGCACCACCGGCAGGAGGAGCGGCACCACCGGCAGGCGGAGCUGCACCACCAGCGGCAGGCGGAGCUGCACCACCAGCGGCAGGCGGAGCUGCACCACCAGCGGCAGGCGGAGCUGCACCACCAGCGGCAGGCGGAGCUGCACCACCAGCGGCAGGCGGAGCUGCACCACCAGCGGCAGGCGGAGCUGCACCACCAGCGGCAGGCGUGCACCACCAGCGGCAGGGGGAGCUGCACCACCAGCGGCAGGCGGAGCUGCACCACCACCGGCAGGCGGAGCUGCACCAAGCAUGUAGCAUACGUAAAUUAUUGAAUCUGAAACCAAGCGUUUUGAAUACGUUUUACGUAAUAUUGAAUCUGAAACCAAGCCAUUAAGGAUUUUAUGACUCGGAAACUAAAAGGAGACCAAGCGUUUUGAAUACGUUUUACGUAAUAUUGAAUCUGAAACCAAGCCAUUAAGGAUUUUAUGACUCGGAAACUAAAAGGAGACCAAGCGUUUUGAAUACGUUUUACGUAAUAUUGAAUCUGAAACCAAGCCAUUAAGGAUUUUAUGACUCGGAAACUAAAAGGAGACCAAGCGUUUUGAAUACGUUUUACGUAAUAUUGAAUCUGUUUAUAUUGAUAGAAGUAAAAGACUCGAUACAAAGUUUAUUGAAAAAUAAAGUAAAUCUAACCACACGAUUGUGGCGAGUGGUAAAGCGAGGUUACAAAGGUACCCCGAGUUCAAAAUUCACCAUUUCAAGAUAUGUCUACUUGCGUGCUUAGGUGAUAUAUAUGGAUCAUGUGCUAGUUCUGUGUAUAUUAGUUCUUAAGCUAUUUCAGGAUCAUCUGCUAGUUCAGUGUAUAUUAGUUUCCUUUCGAUUGUACUUCACAUGUUCAACGACGCUACAUUCAGAGUGUAAUUCGUAGUGAUGAAAAUAGCAAAGCUCAUUGAUUAUUAUCUCUUUGGUUCAUAGCAUCCUUAUUUUUCAUUUUGAUCCCUGAUAAACCAACUUGUUAAAAGAUCGGUUCAGUGUAAUCAGGAUCCGGUUUGCUUGAUAGAGUAUAGUUUUUGCUUAUAAAAAUGAUAGAUUGUAUUGACUUUCUUCCCAACUAACUCUACCUAUUUUCCUACUAAACUUCACCAGUAAUUUGAUUCUGGUCUUGUUCCUACGAUCCACACGUGCACGUGAGCUUUAAAACAAUUUGAUUAUGACUUACCUAGGAUUUAAUCGAUUAGUUGAUUGGAGUUUAAGCUAUAUUUCCUAUCAAUCCUUAAAAACAACCUAUAAACAGUUUUGCAAGCAAUCCCAUGUACAACAUAUCACCUUUUUCAGGUUUUUCACUUUAUUCCAUCUCUUAUUUAUAAUUCACAAUAAUUUUGAAUUUUCUUAGGUUUUUAGGAUGUGGGACAUAUGUUGAAAACAGAAAACCUGAUGAAUACAAAUUUCAUGUUUAUAUUAAUUUUUUAAAAAUAUAACUAUAUUUGUACUAAUCGCUGUAGACAAGAGAUAAAGUAAUAAGUGAUGUGCUUUGAGACCAAACAUCUGACCAAAUAAGAUGCGACGAAGUGUCAAAUUAUUUUUGUUAUAAAGUUUAGAAAGCCGCUGAUAUAUCAAUCAGUUAGCGAAUUAAUUAACUAAGACACAGAGUCGUUUUAGGGUUUCUACGUUGGUCCUAUUUAAUCAAAAGAAACAUUUGGUUAGGUCUGAAAGGUUAACGAAACAUAUCAAUAGAUACUUUAUUAUUUAUUAUACGUGACCUGCAAUUAAACCACAGGUCCCCAACAUCUUUACCAAACUCUCCCCGUCUUCACCAGUCUUCAAUCUUUUAAAAAAUUUAUGAUAUUCUCGAAAGCUUAAAGCAUGUUAGUAUCUUGUAACAGCCAUUAGCUAUACCAAAGCAAUACGGUUGAAAUCUAUCAAUCAAGACUGAUUUCAACAAAUCCUGGAAUAACAAAAUAAAAAAUUGAUUUUUGGUGAUGUAAGAUUAAUGUUAAGUUGAGAAUUUUAGAAUUAUUUCCACAUGAGAUAUCGACGAUUUUUUCUUUCAUAAUUAUCACUUCAUAAAAGGUGAUAAGAAACACCUAAACGUAGGAAAAGAAACACUCACACAUUUAAGUUUUUCUUAUCACCUUUUACGACAUGUUUCAGCCUUUUACAAAUUAUAAACGUAGAAUCAAAACAACAAAACAUUAUUUUAUUUUAUUUUGCUACAAUGACAUAAAACAAACAACAACAAAAUAUUUCUGCGUUUAACUGUAUUUUCAAAAUGAAAGUAUUUUCAAUAUACAAUUCAAUCUGCACCGUAAAUAUAUAUCUGUUGUGCCAUGUGUUUGUACGUAGGACUUCCCAUUUUGAAUCAUGUUCUAGAAGUUAUCAAUAUAUUUCAAGCUACUGGCUAUAAUUUUUUUUUGCUAUAAAAUAUUACAUACAUAUAUACGGUUAUGUAAUUAAUAUAUAUGUGUGUGUGUAGCUUGCAGAAGAGUAUGCAAACGUAGAUGAAGUAUUGGUGGCUGAAGUAGAGGGCUUAGGUUAGAAAAACAAAUAUUUGUAAGAAAAAAAAAAUAUUUGUAAGAGUAGACGUUGAACGUUUAACGAAAAUCACGCCACCAAGCAAUCUCUCCUCUCUUUGUGUAAUUUCUUUUAUUCUUUAUUAUUUUCAACUUCAAAUAUUCCACAACAGAAAUCGAUAAUGGAAAAUGUUAUAAGAGAACCAGUGGUGGUAGUCCAAUGGCGCUUGAGGGAAUAAACCCAAUACGGCAAACCCUGGUUCGAAUCCCGCUGACCACAUGGAUAUGAGCUAUUGCUUUCGGCUCAUUUGAAUGUCCAAGAGAGGGUCUAUCCGUGGGCUGUACCUCCACCCGGGGGUUAGGUCUGUGUCUUUAAUAAACCCGAGUUUAACCAUUUUAAGUUACAAAAAUAAAUGUUAUAAGAAAUAAAAAUAAAAAAAAUAUAUGGGAUUUUUGUAAAAAUGUAGAUUACUUAAAAGGAGUGUCUUUGGUUAGGGAAGACGUUGGCAUCAAUCGCCGGUGAAAAUGUCCCUCCAAACUCUCCAUCAGACCAUCACUCUCUAACGAAUCUUAUAAUAUUAAUUUAUUUCAUUUCUCCAUUAUAAAUAUAUACAUUUAUAUGUAUGGUGCUGUUGGUCUUCAGCUUUCUUCUUGUUCGUACAUACCCAUCUUCCCUCACCUACAUCAAACCUAGGGUUUCUUAUAUAUAUCAGCAUACAUAAUAGACAUCUAUAUAUAUGUAUUUGUGAUUAACCAUAAGAUCAGAGAGACAGGAAAAGGAGAAGAAAUAAAGAAUGAUGUGCAGCCGAGGCCAUUGGAGACCUGCAGAAGAUGAGAAGCUAAAAGAACUUGUCCAACAAUUUGGUCCUCAUAAUUGGAACGCCAUAGCUCAAAAGCUCACUGGUCGAUCUGGUAAGAAAAAGAACUCAGAAAUCAUUUAUUUCAGUUUCUUAAGUUAACAUAAGGGUUUAGUAUAAUAAAUACCAUGUUCAUGUGGUUUAGUUUUGAUUUCUUUUUUUUUCAUUUCUCAGGUAAGAGUUGUAGAUUGAGAUGGUUUAAUCAACUGGAUCCUAGAAUUAACCGAAACCCUUUUACGGAGGAAGAAGAAGAGAGGCUUUUAGCGUCUCAUCGGAUCCAUGGGAACAGAUGGUCUGUGAUCGCAAGGUUUUUCCCCGGUCGAACUGAUAACGCUGUUAAAAACCAUUGGCACGUUAUUAUGGCUCGUCGUGGUCGAGAACGGUCCAAGAUGCGUCCACGUAGCCUUGGCCAUGAUGGCACGGCGGCUGGGCCUGGGAUGAUGGGAUAUAAGGACUGUGACAAGAAGAGAAAAUUGGCAACCACAACAGCUAUCAAUUAUCCUUAUAGUUUCUCUCAUAUCAAUCAUUUUCAAAUCCUCAAAGAGUUCUUGACGGGAAAGAUCGGGUUUUGCAAUAAUACCACUCCAAUCAAUGACGGUAACUAAAUCAAUAUGGCUUAAAUAAAUUCGUGUGUUUAUGUAGAAUUGUAGAUAGAUAGAUGCAUAAACAAAAACAUGUAUACGGUCAUUGAAAAGAAUCGCAAGUCUUGGGAUAGCUUUAUCAUAGGACAGUUCUAUGAGGAAGCUCCUGCCCGGGCCAAAAUCCAUGCCAUCGUUAACGGUAUGUGGAGCAAACACCGCCGUGACAUAGCAGUCUCCAAGAUGGAUGGUAAUGCUUUUCUAUUUCGGGUGCCCUGUCCAAAUGCUCGAAGACGCAUCCUAAGCCAAUGUCUAUGGCAAGUAGAAGGACAGACAUCGUUUGUCGCAAAAUGGUCUCCUGGAUUAAAACCUGAGAAACCUUCGCUUGCCACUGUUCCAGUCUGGCUCGAUUUCACUGGAGUUCCGCUUCAGUUCUUCAAUGAAGAUGCUUUGAAAGAGAUUGCCGGCCUUGUUGGGCAUCCGCUCUGUCUGCACCCAACAACAUCAAACCUCACAAACAUCGAGGUUGCAGGAGUUUACACAGUAAUUGAUCCGAGAAAACCCCUCCCUGAAGCGGUCAAUGCGCAGUUUGAAACGGGUGAGAUUACUCGUAUCACAGUUUCAAGCCCAUGGCUUCCGUCUCUUUGUAGCCACUGUAAGAAGGUCGGCCAUACCAUCUCAAGAUGCUCUUCGGCACCUCCGACCUGUGCCACAUGUCGUUCUGUCAAGCAUAACACCGACGCUUGCCCAUGAAACAUGAAUCAUCAUAGGCAGGGGAAGGAACCAAUUGCUAGUCAAUAUCCCAUUGUUCCAAACCCAGCAGCCUCUCGUUACAAAAAUAAUCCUGGCCCCAGAGCCAAUGGCCCUGCUCCCUCCUCCCACUCUAAGAAAGGCAACUCUUUAUGGAUCAGGGCAGACCCUUCACCACUAGAAGAUAAUGGGAAACAGCAUGCCUCUCGUUCUAUACCUCUACAUUCAGCUGGUGUUCCUCGACAUGAUGUGGGGCUAAAGGACUUCUGUGUUGACCUAAGAUCCAAUAUGUUUACCUCAGGGUCAAAAGCUCCUUCUACUGCCUCGUCUACAUCUCAGUCGGAUUCAGAGGACCUCUCCUAUGAUGACGAUAACCCUGACAUUGAGGGAGAUAAGUACAUCGAGGUUAUUUCUAAGUGCAAGAAGAAGCUUUCCAGAGCUUUAGCAAGGGCUAGAGCCGGCCCUCUAAACCUCUAAUUUUUCUCCUCUUAUGGAUAUUUUUUGUUGGAACAUUAGAGGUUUCAACUAUAAAUUAAAGCAACGCAGAUUUAGGAAAUGGAUGCGGAGUUAUAAUCCCAUUUUUGGUGGUCUCGUUGAGACGCACGUCAGCAAUGUGAAGGCUUCGUCUUUAAUAAGCAAAGCUUUCCCCGUCUGGAAAUAUGAAUGCAACUAUGAAUUCUCGGAUUUAGGAAAAAUAUGGCUCCUGUGGAAACCGUCUGUUCAAGUCAAGGUUCUACAUAAGUCGCUUCAGUCUAUCAUGUGCCUAGUCAGGCUUCCUUUUAUUACUUCAGAGUUUGCGGUCUCUCUCAUUUAUGGUUCAAAUCACAAGAAGGUCAUGAGAGAGCUAUGGUCUGAACUGGUUUUCUUAUCCUCCUCAUCUCAGAUCUCAGGCAUUCCUUGGAUCGUGCUGGGGGACUUCAACCAGGUCUUAUAUUCUUCUGAGCACUCUUCUAUUGAUGAGUUCUUCUCUUCCCGGGGUAUGCGUGAUUUUCAACAAUGUGUCACCACAACCUCUCUCUCGGACCUUCCCUACUGUGGCAACUCCUACACUUGGACUAACAAUCAAGGUUCCACCAUCAUCUCAAAGAAAUUGGAUAGGAUUUUGGUCAAUGAUGAGUGGUUGCGGGCUUUUCCAAACUCGUUAGGUGUCAUUGGAGAGUGUGGGAUCUCUGAUCACUCCCCUUGUUGUGUGUAUAUGGAUUAUCUGAGACCAAAGCAGAAGCGGCCAUUCAAAUUCUUUACCAUGCUUAAUGACCACCCGGACUUUGCGGUUCUUAUAAAGGAGUGUUGGAUGUCUCUUCAGUUUGAUGGUACUAUGAUGCUCAGAGUCUCAAAGAAACUGAAAACGCUUAAGAGCAUUAUUCGUACCUUCAGCAAGAGUAACUAUUCAUGGAUUGAGUUAAGAGUGCAGGAAGCUUUUGAUCAUCUACUUUCUUGCCCGCAGAUUCUACUAAACGAUCCCACACCUGAAAUAGCUGAGGUUGAAAGGUUGGCUCACCGCAAAUGGUCUGUUCUGGUUAGGGCGGAAGACUCUUUUCUCCACCAACGCUCUAGAGUUAACUGGCUGGAUAAAGGUGACUGCGGUUCUGCUUUCUUUCAUCGCUCUAUUCAUACUCGGCAAGCACAAAACCAGAUUCUCUUCUUGCUGGAUGAUACCGACAUGAUUCUUGACACCAAAGAAGCUAUCAUGGACCAUGCAGUAGUAUUUUAUCAAAAUCUACUUGGUGGAGUCGUCUACCCUUCGGUUGUAUCUACUGAGGAUAUUCAGCAUUUACUCUGCUACAGCUGCCCGGACACUAUCUCCGAAUUACUUGCAGCGCCCUUCAGUAGACUAGACAUUCAAACGGCUUUCUUCACUCUCCCGAAGAGUAAGUCUCCAGGGCCAGACGGUUACCCGACAGAAUUUGUCACAUCUCAUUGGAAGACUGAUAUGAUUGAUGCUGUGUCUGAAUUCUUUCACUCGGGUAAGCUACUGCAACAAUGGAACGUAACAAUCCUUACCUUAAUACCAAAAAAGCAGAAUGCAGAAAGGAUAGCGGACUUCAGGCCAAUCUCUUGCUGCAACACAGUCUACAAGGUCAUAGCUAAGCUUCUUGCAAACCGGCAAAAACAAGUUUUACCCGAGGUGAUUUCCAACACCCAAUCUGCUUUUAUUCCGGGUAGGCUUCUAGUAGAGAAUGUUUUGAUGGCGACAGAGCUUGUGAAUGGUUACAACUGGAAGAGCAUAUCAAAAAGAUCAAUGCUAAAAGUAGAUCUCAAGAAAGCCUUUGACUCUUUAAAUUGGAGCUUCAUCAUCUCUAUUCUCAAGGCUCUCUCCUUCCCUGAUUUCUUCAUCAACCUUGUAUCUCAGUGUAUCACUACUACCCGGUUCUCUGUGGCUAUAAAUGGUGAAUUAGGAGGGUAUUUAAAGGCACGAAGGGGCUGAGGCAAGGAGACUCUCUUUCUCCCUAUUUGUUUGUUUUGGCGAUGGAAGUUCUUGCUCAGAUUCUCAAUAAGGAUUUUCGUGAUGGCAUGAUAGGUUACCACCCUUCAGCAGCUUCCCCACCCAUUACCCACCUUGCUUUUGCUGAUGAUAUUAUGAUCUUCUUCGACGGUGAGAAGAACUCUCUUCAGAAUAUCUCGGCAGCGCUUGAUACGUUUGCAUCUUGGUCAGGUCUUACUAUGAAUCGCGAUAAAAUAGAACUCUUCGUGGCAGGAAUGAGCCAAUCUGAAUCCUUUGAUCUCGCUGGCUUGGGUUUCUCUCUUGGAUCGUUACCUGUCAGAUACCUUGGGCUUCCUCUAAUGCAUAGGAAAUUGCUAAUUUCAGACUACAUGCCGCUACUAAAUCAACUCAAGACCCGGUUCUCAUCCUGGUCCUCUAGGGCGCUCUCUUUUGCUGGCAGGAAACAGCUUCUUUCUUCAGUCAUCUUUGGAAAGAUAAACUUCUGGUUCUCAACGUUCAUCCUUCCAAAGGGUUGUGUCAAAUCGAUUGAGUCUCUAUGCUCAAGGUUCCUCUGGAAUGGAAACAUAACAAGCCGUGCAGCAGCAAAGGUCUCUUGGUCAUGUGUUUGUAUGCCUAAAGACGAGGGAGGAUUGGGACUUCGAGAUCUCACUACAUGGAACAAAAAUCUAUGCCUAAAACUUAUCUGGCUUCUUUUCUCUGAGAACGAGUCCCUCUGGGCAUCAUGGAUCAAGACUCACCGUAUCAUAGAUGCCUCGUUCUGGUCCAUUGAUGAAUCCAAACAGUCCUCAUGGACCUGGAAAUCUUUACUGAAGCUAAGACCCAUUGCUCAACAGUUCUUGCGAUGCGAAGUUGGUGAUGGUAAUAUGGCAAGUUUCUGGUUUGAUCAUUGGUCGCCGUUAGGUCCUCUCGUCAAACUCUUCGGAAACUCUAGGCCUCGUCAGCUAGGUGUACCGCUGAAUGCAAAAGUUUCUACAUGAUGUACUGAUAUUGGCUGGUCUUUGAGACCUGCAAGGUCCCCCGCAGCAGAACAAGUCCACAUCAUGCUUUGCUUUGUCUCUCUGCCAUCACACUCAAACUCUCCCGAUAAAAAUCUCUAGCAUGUGAUAGAUCAAUCCCUACCGACUUACUCUGCAAAGCUCUCCUGGGAGAUUCUGAGGCAGCACAGACAAAAACAAGGUUGGGCAAAGAAAGUAUUGUUUAAAGGACAUGUUCCAAGCCCUGCUUUUCUCAUGUGGGUCGCCCACCUUAACCGACUUCCUACUCGGGUUCGAAUUGCCAACUGGGGAAUGUAAGUUGUCAAAUCUUGCUGCAUCUGCAACCACUAUGACGAGUCGCGUGAUCAUCUAUUCCUGAGAUGUGAUUUCAGUGAACAUUUAUGGCUCCUCAUCACAAAGCACCUUGGAUAUAGGCCCUUUCGCUUCCAUACAUGGACUGCCUUGAUUGAGUGGCUAGAUAUCAGCGACAGCUACUGCCCUCCAACCCUGAAAUGCUUAGUGAUACAAGCCACUGUUUACAAUGUGUGGGCUGAAAGGAAUAGAAGGUUACACUCGUAGGUGUCUUCCACUCCUCAAGUCAUCUUCAAAGCGAUCGACAGAUUGAUCAGAAACACAAUUCAUGCAAGGAAAGGUAGGAAGAACUUCAGGAACAUGAUGCACCUCUGGUUGAGGCACGCAUAGUUAGUCGUUGGUAGCUGCUCAUUGUGACUCCAACCUAUAAAUCUUUUGUUUUUUUUAUUCUUUUUUGGUUUCAAAAGACUUCUCUGCUUAACUCUCUAUUUUCGUUUUGUAAAACCAGCUUCAUUUUAAUGAAAUUCACAUACUUAUCAAAAAAAAAAAAAAACAUGUAUACGAGCUCAUAACUAUUAGAUAUGUAUGUUUCGUCUUUUUAAAAGGUGUAAUUAGUUGUGCAUUCGUGUAGAACCUGAUGUGUUUUUAAUUAUCUUUUUUGAGUUUAUAUGGAUUACACCAAAAAAAAAAUUGAUUUGUUUUGUUUAUUAAAUUUGUAGAAAAUCUCGAAAUAGUCUUUGAAACGAACAUAAUCAUCUUCAUAUGUAUACACGCGCUUGUGCGUUUACGAUUAUAUAAUUGUAAAACUUCUAAAAACUAACUCCGUGGACAUAUAUCAAUCAUUUGGUCAGGAGCAAUAGACCAGACUAAAAGACCAAUGGAGUUCUACAAUUUUCUCCAGGUUAAGACGGAUUCGAAGAAACCUGAAGUGAUAGACCAUUCAAGAAAAGACGAAGAAGAAGAAGAUGUUGAAAAUUGUGUUCCAUUUUUCGACUUUUUAUCUGUUGGAAACUCUGCCUCUCAUCAGGGUUUAUGUUAAUUAGUUCGUACCACAUGUACUAUAUUCAAGGUGGAUCAUAUGUUAAUGACAUGUAGAACUUACUAAUCAGUUAGAGCUCUUGUUUGAGCCAAAUGUGAAGAUUAGACAUCCCAACCUUCUUCUUAUAUAUCAAACCAAAAGAUUGUAUUUUAUAUAGGUUUAGUUUGCCAUAUUUAUUCUAAGAAUGUUCUAGUCCAGAUAAACAUACUCGAUCCAUAACUUUUUUCAAAGAUAAUUAAAUCAAACCAGUCGACAACAUUCUUGAGCAGAAACUUAACUGAUUUGGAAAAGUUAUUCAAGUUUAAAGAAAUGUCGUGAAACCAGACAUAAUCUGAACCAAUACCAAUCUGGUCUUGUUUUAAUUUAAACUCAUUUUGGGAUAUGUCUUGUCUAAGCCAGAACCAAUACUAUACCAAAUGAAUUUCCUUAAGUAAUGCACUUAUAAUUUCCUAGGCAGACUGUAUUUGACUCGUAUAACUUGUGACGAUGAAGCUCUAAUCUUUUUGGUAGCUGGAUGUAAAAAAAAAAAAAGAACAUUUACAAGGUUUAGUUUAGUUUCUUUAUUAGUGAAGUACAAUAAGUUGAUAACAGAAGACGAAAUCGAGGUUGGAGUAUAGAUAUGAUUAAGUUGGGAGUAGUUAUCAGCCACCAAGAAAUAUAAUUCAAAGUAGCAAAUCUACCUUUGUCUUAAGAAAACACAAAUAAAUAAUUCGUUUUAUUUAGGUGGAGAUGAAGAACACACAUCUUGACACGACUUAUAAUACUUCUCGUUUCCAAAUAGAUAAAUUUAUAUUAAAUUAAUCAGAUCCUUUUUCAUAUUGUUUUUUCUUCUCUUAAAUUGAUGUCAUUAUGGUUGCUAGGAUUUCCUGGUUGAGUUCAAUAUGUAUGUCACCUUUUGUUUAAGACAAUACAAAAAGUCAAACCCAAAAAAGAUAAGUAAUAACUGUAUAUACAUAUUUUACUAUGAAAGAUAAUUAAGCAAAACGUUGAUUAUUGUACAAAUAUGUUGAAAUCAAUCAUAUUUGGAUAAGAUUAAGAGUUAAGACACUCAAGAUACAUUUCCGAUUAUAUGUAUAUUAUCUCAUUCUAGAAUAAAAUUUUUAAGUGCGCAUAAUGUCUUGGACUAUGUCAUAACUUUAUAAAAAAAAUUCUUUUAUUGUAAAAAAAGAUUCUUAACUCUUGCGGUGGAUGUAAAAGAAAAAAACUCUUGUUGGUGAAAAGUGAAAGGUGAACAUUUUGAGAUAUCAUGAAAAAUCAUCUUCAAUCCAUUGUUUUAAAAACUACUAUAUUUUUUACUUAAUAAUAUUAUAUUUUCAUUAUUAAUAAGUUUCAAGUUUGUAAAUUUAACAAAUGAUAAGCAAAUUACCUAAAAAUAUGAAAACACCAUCUGUUGUGAAACAACAAAAAUCACUUAAAAUAUUAUCUAUCUUGAACCAGAGAGAGUAAUAUUAUUGAGAUCUCGGGUUUUGUUUUGGACCGAAUGUAUUUUGUAUUAGACGAGUCUGUUUCUACCAAAUUAGCCUGCAUGUUUAAUAUAAGAAUAUAAGAAGCUAACAAAAAAAAAACUGUAUUUAAAAUAUGUUAAAGCUUUCUUUUUCUUCUAAACGGAUCUUCUAACAGUCGACUCAACAAACAUUCCCAUAACCCUUUUCACUUACUAAAGAAACAAACAGAAGAUGAGAAAAAAAAGAAGAAGAAACAAACAGAAUUCAAAACCAUACUGAGACAAGAGAACAUAUACUUGUAGAAGAAACUUUUAUUACAGACGGAACACAAUGGAACUGCAACCAAGUGCAGAAGACAGAGAUAAGUCCACAAUAAAUAAUCACGCAUUCACUCUACAGAGAACAACAUGUUUAUUUAUAUGAUAACAACAGAUGAAAUAGAGCAAAGGGAUACAGAGAGUAGUCAGCGACCAAGUUGAGCGCUAGAAAAGGACGUUGUUGCUACUCCACCGGAGAUUGAUGACACAUGAUAAGUAGCAAUAGGCAUUUUGUGUGGCAGAUUAGGCAAUGGUGCCUCAAAAUUCAACACCUGGAUCGCCUGCUUUAUCGAAGGCCUAGAGUUUAUAUCAGGGUGAGCACACCACAACCCUACAAUCAUAAGGCACUCUGCUUGUUUCAUAUCAAAAUCUUUACCCAUUUGAUGAUCAAUGGCUGAGAUAAGUUCUCCUCUUCCGUACUGAUCCCAUACCCUCUCUACAAGACUUGCUUCAGGCUCAACUUUUCCUUGUCUCGGCUCCACUGACUUUUUUCCUGUAACAAUCUCCACCAAUACAAUUCCAAAACUAUAGACGUCAGAUUCUUUGCUUGCCCUUCCGGUGCUUAUGUAUUCAGGAGCCAUGUAACCAAAAGUUCCAGCCAAUCCUGUAGUCUGGGGACCUAGUUCGUGAUCCAUCAACCUAGCCAACCCAAAGUCACCUAGCUUGGCAUUAAAGUUUGAGUCGAGCAUUAUAUUACUUGCCUUAAUGUCCCUGUGGACAAUGCAUUGCUCCCACUCCUCGUGAAGGUAAAGCAACGCAGAGGCUACACCUAGAGAUAUCUUGCACCUAACAGCCCAUCUGAGAUGAGGUUUCUUACCGAAUAGGUGUGAGUCAAGGCUACCAUUUGGCAUGAACUCAUAUACAAGGAGAAGCUCUUGUUUCUCAUGACACCAACCAAUGAGUAGAACAAGGUUUCGAUGUCUCAAGCUGCUGAUGAUCUUAACCUCCGUGAUGAACUCUUUCUUUCCCUGUUUAGAAGCACCGGAAAACUUCUUCACAGCGACCAUUGUAUCCAGCUCAUUUAAGUAUCCUUUAUAAACUGCUCCAAACCCUCCUUCACCCAACUUUCUUUCAUAUAGGAAGUUGCUUGUAGCAGAAGCAAGAUCUUUAUAAGAAAACCUUCUUGGUCCUGCUCCUCUUUCAAGAUCUUCGUGUAGCGAUGUCAAGUUUUCUGUCUUCCCUGCUCUCUCCUUUCUUUGCUUCCUCUUCCGGAACAAUGCAAACGCAGCAGCAACCAAAGAGGUCAACAGGACAAACCCAGCAAGAGAAACACCAACAAUGAUGCCUGUCAUAUUUUGAGUUCUCUCUCUAGGUUCUGCUGCAUCCAAGGUUGAGUUGAACUCCCAAGACAAGAUCCUAUGUGCUUCCAUUUUUGCUCCUGUAGACCCCGAAAAGCCAAUGGUAACUUCCGCAGGAAGCACCUUGGCAAGGUCAAUGAUGUAGGAAAGGCUUGAAGGAUGAGAUGUUCCUUCAUAACUCCAAGCGAUGCUCAAGUUUUUAGAAGUAGAAUCAUACGUGAUCCGUGCAUGGCAUGUUUCUUGGCUGUGCAAGCUUGCGUUCCAAGAAGUGUAGUUAGAGGAAGCAAGCGAGUUAUUGUUGAUCCCAACAUGAGACGUAAUGUCAAAAGGAUCCCAUUGGUUAUUAUAGAAAGUAUCAAAUUCGAUAUGCACGAGCGGAAACCGAGAUGAGUAGCCGUUGGUUUCGUUAAAGAGACCUAAGAAACCACCAGCUGAAUUGGGAAAGAUAUGGAUGCCUUGUGGGGCAAGAAAGAAAGCAAACCCAUGGCCAAACUCUGUUAAGUUACGCUUACGCGUAUCAAUCUUGAAGGUGAAACUUGUUGUGAAGUCGGUAGCCCUCUCUGUUUUAGGAUCCCAAAUAGCAACUUUUUUAGCAUAAGUAGCCCAACCAACACGACAAGUAUAAUCAGCACUGUUCAGUUCGAUGGCGCCAUUUGGUGUAGCGUCUCCUUGGUAAGUUAUGCUUGGAUCACCUUGUAUGAAACGAGAGAUUUUAAAGUGGAGUGAGGUAGCAAAAGGGAGAACAAGAAGGAAGGAAAAGAACAAGACUGAGUUUUUCAUUGUGCAGGUAGUAAGGUCUGAAACCCGUUAUGCCAUUACUUAUAAAUUUUUUUUUGUCGAUUAGGGACCAUCAAGUCUCCGGUACAAAUGUAAUUAAAGAAACGGCAGGGGACCAUCUUUGUGAAACAAAUCAGAUUACAUAUAUGUAAUUAACAGAACUCAAAAAAAAAAUUUAAAAGAACUCGAGAGAAGAGCAAAUAUAAACUAUUUUUAUAAGUUAUAUUUAUUUUUUUAUCUAUUUUUAUUUAAAUUUUUAGAUUUUGUUAAAUUACACUCUAAAAAUAAUUUUUAUUUAUUAUAUAUCAUAUAUAUGAUUAUGUAUAAUAUCUUACUAUGUAUUUAUAUUUAAAUGUAUAAAUUUUAUUUUUUAUUUUGUUAAAAUAUUAAAAUAAAAAUUUACUUAUUUAUUAACUUAAUAAAAUAUGAAUUUAAGUGAUAUAAGAUAAUUUAUUAACUAGUUCAUUAAAUCGACUAAUAGUCAUUCAACAAACAUAUUUUAUGGUGAUCAUAUAUGACUAACAGUCGUCCAACAAAGCUAUACAGGUUUAGUUUGCUAUAUUUGUUCUACGAAUGUUUAGUCCAUAUAAAUAGGCCUGAAACUUUUAUCCGAGAUCCGGAUUCGAUCCGUGAUCCGAUCCGAAAAUCCGGAUAUCCGGAGAGGCCGAAUCCGGAUCCGGAUAGUAAAAUGUUGGAUCCGUCAAAGCCGAAUCCGGAUCCGGAUAUCUUGAUUUUUUAGUCCGGAUAUCCGGAUCCGUAAAUUUUAUUAAUAAGUAUUUCAAAAAUAGUAAUAUCUAUAUAUAAAAACUAAUUUUAUUUAAUAUAUUUUAGGAUCCGGAUAUCUUAAAAUUGCCCGGAUACCCGAUCCGUUCCAGGUAUACAUAUAAACAUACUCGAUAAAUUGUUUAUUUUAUUUUUAUUUUUUUAAAAAAAAUCAAAUCAAACCAGUCGGCAACAUUCUUGAGCAGAAACUUAACUGAUUUGGAAAACACAUUCAAGUUUUAAAGAUAUGUCGUGAAACCAAACAUAAUCUGAACCAAAACAAAUAACAUACCAAUCUGGUCUUGUUUUAAUUUAAACUCGUUUUAGCUAUGUCUUGUCUAAGCCAAAACCAAUACUAUACCAAAUGAAUUUCCUUAAUUAAUGCACUUAUAAUUACCUAGGGAGACUGUAUUAGACUCGUAUAAGUUGUGACGAUGAUGCUCUAAUCUUUUUGGUAAUUAGAUGUGAAAAUGAACUUUUACAAGGUUUGGUUUAGUUUCAUUCAUGAUUUAUUGUGAAUUUGUAAGUUAAUAACGGAAUAUGAAAUCGAGGUUAGAGUGAGAUAUGAUUAAUGUCCUGGUUUCUUCGUUACUAUCCGCAAACGCAACUUUUACGGUUAUUAGUGGUUGUUGGUGUGUUGCAACAAUCACAAAAAGCUACAAAUCGCUUCAAACUUCUUAAUUUCAAAGGCUUGUUCCCGCUAGCGUAUGCGGUUGCGGACGAUUACGGGUGGAUAGAUAAAUAUAAAAAUAUAUUUAAAAAUAUUUUAAAUUUUAAUUUCAAAUUUCAAAUUAAAAUACUAUAAAUAAGUAAGUAUAUAUAUAAUUUAAAUUUAAAUUCAAUAAUAGUAUCAUAAUUUAUUUUAUAAGACUUUAAACCAAAAGUAUUCACUAUAAUUUUAAACAUUAAUAUAUAUAUAUACAUACAUAAAACGAAACAAAAUAAAUUUAUUCUUAUUGACAUUAUAACUUUCAUUUAAACUACAAAAAAUAAAUAAAUAAACUAAUAUUUUUAUAAAAUAUAUUUUAUUAAUAAUUAUUAUAUUUAUCAUAAUAGUAUGUUUAAGAUAUUUUUAUAAUGUUAUAAUGAAUUAAUAUUGGUGAUUUAUUAUUAAACCGUUGCAAUAUCUCAUUAUCAAUCAGUAACAAAUAUAUUUUAAACGCACCAAUUUUUAACGGCUAUACAAGUUAUACAAAUCACUUAUUAAUACUUAAAACCAUAAUCAUCUACUCCACAAACUUCUGUAACCCAAAUGGUAUCCGCUGCGUUUCGACUCGUAAGUUCCUAAGUGGGAGUAGUCAUCAGCAACCAAGAAAUAUAAUCUAAACUAGCAAAUCUACCUCUUUCUUAAGAAAACACGAAUAUAAUAAUUCAUUUUAUUUAGGUGGAGAUGAAGAACACACAUCUUGACACGAACUACUCCCGACUGAUAUUAAAUAAAUCCAACCCUUUUUCAUUUUGUUUUUUCCUCUGAAAUUGAUGUAACUAUGGUUGCUACUUGCUAUGAACCUAUGAGAUCGUCGUUGAGUUGAAUAUGUAUGUCACCUUUGUUUAAGACAAUACGAAAAGACAACCCAAAACGAUAAUUAAGCAAAACGUUGAUUAUUGUACGAAUAUGUUGAAAUUGUUGUGAACGAAGAGGAGAACUUGUGUUAAUAUUACUGUCGACCAGAAGGUCCAUAUAUAUACAAGGUAUUAGACCGUCAUAAGGAUAAAGAUAAACACUAUGUCACAGAUAUACAUGGAAUAUAUACUAGAUAAACACAUAGUCUCUGGUUGUCUUUAUCAUGUCCCGGAUUGGGCCUGCAGUACGGGCUGGUCCAUGGUCGAUCAUCAUUUGGUUUUUAACACUCCCCCUUGAUCGACACAUCCGGUACAGGUUCGUUGCAUGCUUAAUGUUGCUUCAUUAAAACCUCUCCUGAAAAACUCCAAAACCAAUGUGGCAAAAUGGGAGACCAAGGACAGGAAAAAGAGUACAACACAUGAACUCCUCCAGAUGAAUGCAUCACUGUAGUAGACGCAUUCCCAUCUGGUAUCCGAGUCUUCUUGAACGUUGAAGUUGCCUAUGACUUGGUGAAGAUGAUCAGCUGGAUUCUCCUUGAAUGAAUUUGUAAGUCUUGGACGUUGGUAUGUCUUUUGGAACUCCAUUAAGAUGUGGUCAGGAUGUACAUCUUUGCUGCAGAUCACUCCAUGUCUUGGUUGAACUGAUGGUGCUUCAAACGGUGCUCGGAUGGACUUUAUAAUCUGCAAUAAAACUUUACUUGCAGGUCCUUUUUCAUGUCCCACGGAUUCUCUUUGGUUAUAUGGCUUUCCCAAAAUGUGGACAUUCAAUAUAUAUUGAGUCAUAGACCCAGAACACAUACGAACAACUUUACUUCAUAUAUUUCGUUCAUUCGGACUUAUAUCUCUUCGUAUGUGCCAAUAGCUUUAUCCAUUGUAACCAAUCAUUCUUUAUUUUCUUUUGUUGAUCCAUGUUGAGCUAUAGACCUUGUCUAUAUUCGUUCAUAAUCAUGAGUGUCUAAGGUCAUACCAUCAAUAAUUAUUUGCUGCAAUGAAACUCAUCACACAAUGAAUUCGCAGUCAUACACUCAUGUCCUUUGUACAUGGUUAUCGAUCUUUUCUUGCUUUAGCAAUGCUUAUAAUCAUUAAGCCACGACCAAACAUCCUUCUGGUCACUAUCAUGGUUUAUGGUUCUCACUUAGGCGUGCUGACUUAAUCAUACACACACACACGGCUAUGAUUUAUCUACAGACUUUCCAUAUGUAAAACAUAGCCUGUUUAAUCAAUCGAUAACUUGUAUCAUUGAACCUUUGAACCAUUAAACUUUUUUCUCUCAGUUGGUCUUUAUUAUGAUCACAAGGAAUUAUAAUAUUUUCUGUAUGGACUGACUGCACUAAGUAAAUACUUAGUCUUUCAUAUUACUUACAGCUGUUGUAUAUUACAAUCCAUAAACAACUUAGGAACAAAGCUUGUUCUAUGAGAAUUUCUUUCUCAUAUUUCUAUGGUACGUUGAUACCUUUAUCCAGUGAUCCAUUUGCUGCUUACUACACCAUUAUUUCUUUAGUAAAUAUCCAGACAAAAUCAAAAUUGAUUUUCUGUAGUAGCAUCCACCAUAUAGGAGCAUAUCUCUUUAUAAAUUGUUCGUUGGUCCUUGUAAGUAUCCUUGUGUAAUCAAGCUAUACUUGAACGUUAUUUAGAAGGAACAUGGACACACUAUACCAUGUGGUCAUGUCCUUUAAUCUCACGGAAUUUCUUAUCUCACAAGAUCAAUUCACUGGUUUCUUUCUUAGAUGGCUUUUCUGUAUGUACAUGGUUACUACGCCCAUCUGUCUUAUAAUUACUUUGAAUUCUUUGAACACCCCACGUCCCUAUAUAGGUUUUAUGAGUACUCUACGUGGGUUCAUGAUCCUCAGGUUAUAUCCUUCAAAUCCCAAGUACUACAAUCUUUUAUGAGCUCUUAUGUAUGUAAAUACAUCUUUGGUGUUAACACUCUUAUCUUUAGUUUCAUACUGUUCCAGACAUGAUCUAAUUAGAUUUUGAGAUCUUAUUAUCCAAGACCUUUAUACCUUGCAGUUUGGCGUCCCAAACUACAUGGCCUGGUACCUUAGAUGUGUGGUUGCGCAACCUUAUUUCUCUGUCUGAACUGGUUUCUCUUAUGAACUCGGAUUUGUACGAUUCUGAGCACCUUUCAUUACUUUCCAAGGUUCCUUAUUAUUUGGAACUUAUUUGUCUAUCUCUAAUAGACAUUGUAGCAACUUGAUUGUGUCUCUUAGACAUCAAAUUCGUGGUGCUUAAGCUGGUACGACAUAGUCAUUUUUUCUUUUCGGGUCAGUGUGUCUGGCAUAUAUUUCUGCUAGCUUUUAUAUCUUUUGAUCAUAUUCUUUUAGAACGUCUAGAUCAUAAUCUUUGGUCUGAGGAUCUUGCCAAGACAACUAUGGUUGAUACCAUUAUAUUUCUCUUUUACUCUUUACUCUUUAUCAGCAUGAUAACUUUCUCCUUUCAAAGUUGGAUAAUCAGAUUACUAUCUUUUGUAAUCUGUGUUCUUGGCCACUUGAUUAAAUCAUCCAUGUUUGGCACAAGAUACAUUAUAGUUUCGUGGAGGAAGUCUUAUUUAUCUAAUAUAUAUUCUCAAUCCUCAUCUGAGGUUCCAUCUUAUAUGGCAUACAUAUAUGUGGUGGAAUAUUCGUACUUUCUUAAGAUGGUUUGUGUAUAUGUCUGGUUUAUGACCCUUAAUCAUUCAGAGGUGGGAAUGUCUAUGCUUACAUGUAUGGCCUGAUGUAAAUCAAUAUUUAUAUACAUAAUGUCCUUAAGCUUUAGGCUGGACGUGGGUGAUGUACCAUUAGUGAGAGCUUUAAAGCUUUCCAGCCGUGUAUAUUAUGGUUGUAAACCAUGGAAUCCGAAUUUAUGAUAUGAUCAUGGACUGUGAGUUUUAGUCCUCUCUCCCCCUCAUGAACAUACUCAUAAUUUCGUAGUGCUUAGGACAGUGGAGCCUUAAUUAUUUUAGUGAUUUUCCCUUUUGUGUACUUAUAAUACAUAGUGAGAUUUUAUGGGAUCACUUUUGUGCCUUAAUUAAUUUUUCAUCAUGUUUUGGAUCAAGAUGACUAAUCUGGUCAUGCCAUAAGUGUUUAUUUCGUGGUGAACCAUACUGGUUACCAUGGCUUUAUGCCUCUUUCAUACUAAUCCUUAGCAUAGGAUAAAUCAGUAGAAAAUAUGGGUAUAGGCAUUCAUAAUGCUUUUAGGCGAUUUUUCAAAAAUCUGAAAGAAAUCGUAUUUUCUUUGCUCACUGGUUCAAUGUAGAAUCUUUAUAACUCAAUGGGUCUGAAUAAUGUCGUGUCUUUUGCCAUUGUCAGUACCAAUUAAUUGAUUUCAAGUGAUUGUAGGAAGGUAAAAUUGAACCUAUACAAUCAAGAUGAAGUUAAAUCUAUGCGAGAAAUCAAUCUAUCAGUGAACUGACUCAUUAGUCUACACCCAACAAUUGAUUUUAUGUGAUUGCAGGAAGAUAAAGUUAAACCUAUACAAUCAAGGUAAAGUUAAACCAUGCAUGAAAUCAACUAUCAGUGGACUGAUUAUCCUUUUAUUAAUGUUUUAUUUGUUAUUUAAUCAAGAAUCAUCAAGCAAGACCAAGCAAGAUAAUAUAUAAAAACAAAAUCGUUUUUAUUAUUUCAAUAACAUAAAUGAAUAACAAAUAAAUCAAAUCAGAUAUGAAAACAUAAAAUCAGAAUGUCGGAAAAUUAUUCAAUGUAUGAUCCGACCUCAUGGUCCAUGAGUGUCCACUCGGAAUCCUCCUCAGAUCUCUUCUUAUCAAAUGUGGCUUUAUUAGCUUCAGGGAUUUUCAUCUCACUGUCUAGUACUUCAUAAUAUAUCUCCAUGAUGUCAUUAAACCGUCUGAUGUUAUCCAUCCUUUUCUGCUUCUUUUGCUCAAUGUCUAAUAAAUAUGAGAACAUGUCAUAAUAGGUGGUGAAACCUUUGGCCUGAUGUGAUAACAACACUUCCUCUGAAUGGAAUGUGUCAUGAGUUUUGUUUACCAAAUCCUCGUUUGUUACCAAUUCACCACAUAGUCUAAGACUAUAGGUGAUUCUCAUAAGUAUCAGAGUGAUAAUUGUCCACGGAUUCAUAAUCCUGGAACCUUAGAGCUUCCCAUUUUUUCUUGGAUUCGUGCAACAAUGGCUCACAGAAUCUAGAAUUCAAAAAUGACCAGAGAUUAUGAGGAUCAUUAACAUAUCCAAACUCGUCUCUCAGGUCCUCACAGAGAUGGUGUCGCAUAAUCAUUAUGGCUCUGUGUCUUUCACACGCAAGGGUGUCAUUGCCAUACUUGAUGCACUUCCCAAGUCCUCUAGACUUCAAGACGGCUGAAGUGUUUAUAGCCCAAUCAAGAUAAUUAUCUCCAGAGAGAUCAAGGGCUUUGUAAUCUGAGGGUAUGAAACUCGACAUCUGAAAUCAUUAUUCAAAACAGGUCUUAAUCAAGUAAUCUUUUUGAAAUUUUUCAUGCUUCAUAUCAAUGCCACACACGGACCAAAAGAAAAAAAAUAUCUAAAUGAUGCAUUUUCUUAAAACCAUACGGUUUAAGGUGUGGAUCAAUGUAUUUUUCAGAUUUAAGGUCCUCUUAUUUCAAACGCAAGGUUUCAAGGCCUUUAGGGAUUCUAUCUUAGAUGAUCAGGAAAAUGUUCCAUAUUUUCUUCAUCCCAUUGGAUCGGAUCAUUUAGUAUAAUGAUUUUUUUUUUCAGUUCAGAUCAGAUUGCUUGAAAACUAUGAAUGAUCUAUAUCCCUAACAGUCGAGAUUUCAUGUUCAGUAUGCAAUAUUAGUAUGCAAACAAUAUGCAAUCAAGCAAACCAAUUCAAUCAUGAAAUCAGGUUAGGGUUUUCGAAAAAUAGACCAUAUAUUUAUUAAUUUUUUUUUCAAAAAAUAAUCAAAUCAGAAAUUAUUGUGACUUAAAAAAAUAAAUCAGGAAGAUUUGAUUUAUUCAAGCAAUUUAUUAUAUAUUUUUGAUUUAAAAAUAAAUAUAUUUUCUCAGAUAUAUCUCUGAUAUUUCGAUUUUAAAUAUUAAAAAAAUAUUUUUUUCAAUCCUAAUCAAGUUCUAGUCGUUAUCAAUCAUCAGGAAAACAAAUUUCUCAGACAAGAACAGGAGGUAAAACCUCGGAUUAAUUUAUGAAACCAUGAUCAGAUUUUCAAAAAAAAAUUAUGUAACAUGCAGUCCUUAACAGUUCUAGUUGAUUCAGAUCAUAUAAGAACAUUAAACAGGACAAUAAUGAUAAGUUUAAGCAAGUAACAGUCGGUUUCUUUCAACAUAUAGCAGUCAGAAAAAAAAUUGUUUAACUUUCAAUCCUAAACAGUUCUAAUGUGAAACUAUCAUCAGGAAAAGUUUUAAACAAUUUUAAAAUCAGUUUCAGAUUAAGAACAGGUUCAAAACAAGUUCAGGUUCGAGAUUUUAAAGAGUUUAUGGUUUCUGGUUUUAUUUUAUUUGCAGAGACAUGUUGCUAAAUAUAGCUACAUGGCUGCGGAUGGGGAUAUUUAAUACUUUAUGGGUUUUAGAUGAGUUUUCGAUGAUACCUGAAAACUUUUGAUGGGUUGAUCGGUCUAUCAGUUAGAGAUCUUCCUGGUUAGCUGAUGUAUUGCUCGGAAUUAUUGUUUUUGUUGCUGCUUGUUGGAAUAGGAGACUGGUAUAUGGUUGAGAGAGAUUUUGGUUUCUGGAACAAAUUUUCCGCCUGUAUUGUAGCUGAGCGUGAGGGCGCGUCCGAACUCCGAUUGAUGCGGGGUUAGCGGCGUUGGCUUUGUCUCGUCAAGAGCUUUAAUUUGGUAUCUGGCUCGUCGUCUGGAUCCACCGGAGUUGAGCGAUAGAGCUGUUUGAAGUUCGUCGGGAAUUAGGGUUUUUACUGCUCGGAUUUAUUUUUGGUUUUUAGGGUUAGGGUUUAUGAGAGCAACCUCUUGCUGAUAACGUGUUGUGAAUGAAGAGGGGAACUUGUGUUAUUAUUAUUGUCGACCAGAAGGUCCAUAUAUAUACAAUGUAUUAAACCGUCAUAAGGUCAUGUUUAUCCUCACAAGAUAAAGAUAAGGAUAAACACUAUGUUACAGAUAUACAUAGAAUAUAUACUAUAUAAACAUAUAGUCUCUGGUUGUUUUUAUCAUGUUUCGGAUUGGGCCUGCAUUACGGGUUGGUCUAUGGUCGAUCAUCAUUUGGUUUUUAACAGAAAUGGAUAAGAUUAAGGCACCCGAUAUACAGGUUUUAUUAGAUAAAUAGUAUCUCAUCCUAGUAUAAAUUUCAAAAGUGUGUAUAAAGUCGUGGACUAAGUCAUUCAUAACUUUAUAAGUUUUUUCUUUUGUUAUAAAAAAUAAGAAUUUUUAACUCUUGUUGGUGAGUACUGAGUAGUUGAAAAGUGAACAUUUCGAGAUAUCAUGAAAAAGUCAUCUUAGUCCACUUUUAUUUUGUUUAAUCUUAACAUAUAUUUUAGUUACUAAACUUUCAAGUCUGAUUGUAUGUUUAACCAAUGAUAAGCAAGUAUUUAGUAUGUGGUGUACCACACAAAUCAACCAAUGAGCCACAUCUAUAGAAUGCAAUGUUUAAACUAGGACUGGACAUUUUAUCCGUUAAAUUUGAUUCGAUUCGUUAUUCGUUUCGAUUCGGUCCGAAAAUUCCGGAUAUCCGUAAACUUUCGAUGCAAAGUAAAUAAUAAAAAUCAAUAUCCGUUAAAAUCGAAGCAAAUCACAAAUAUUAAAAUUUUGGGAAUCGGAUAUCCGAUCCAAAUGGUAACCGCUGCGUUUCGACCCGNNNNNNNNNNNNNNNNNNNNNNNNNNNNNNNNNNNNNNNNNNNNNNNNNNNNNNNNNNNNNNNNNNNNNNNNNNNNNNNNNNNNNNNNNNNNNNNNNNNNNNNNNNNNNNNNNNNNNNNNNNNNNNNNNNNNNNNNNUUUUUUUUUCAGCAAGAGUUCAACUGGAAUUCCGAUGAGACGCUCUUUAUCUAUCACCACUUCGUCCAUAAAGUUAUGGACAACUAUGGGAAGCAGAUCCACGAGUGGAAGAAGAAGUGGGAAAUCAAUAAGGUUCGAUUUAAUUUAUUAAACAAUUUUUUAAUUUAUUAAACUAUUUUUUAAUUUAUUAAACUAUUUUCUUUUUUUAUUUUAUUAAAAGGUCCCAAAGUCGAUGAACGACACGGUCUGGAAGGAGCUGUGUGCGCAUUGGGAUAAGGAAGAGACGAAAGAAACUUCUUCCACCAACUCCACCAACCGCAGGAGCGACCGUAAAGGGAAGGGCAUCUACAAGCAUUACUUGGGUGCUCAAUCUAUUGCCACUCUGGGAGAUCGCAUGGUAAGUUCAACCGCUUUUUCUUCAAUUAUUUGAGUUUCAAAAUUUUAAUUUAUUGUGCAUUUCUUCUAAUUUCUAAUGUUUUUUUAAUUUAUGUUUUUUUUCAAGGCGGAAGAAAAUGAUGGCGAGCCGGUUGAUGAUCUCGCCCUAAUGAGGAGGGCGUAUACCAACAAGAAGACCGGCCAGAUUGAUGACGGUCUUGUGAGGGACGUGGUCGACCUGGUCCAAACUCAGGUGGUAGACGAAGUGUCUCAGCUUCAAACCGAGGAUGACGCUUCGACGGCUUCGACCAACUUGUCCCGGUUUCGAAUCAACGAAAUCGUUGAAUCCGUAAGUUCUUUUUUUUUUUAAAGUUCAAUUCAUUUAUUUCUUGGUUUAAAUUUGUAAAUUUGGCUAUUUUCUAUCCAGUCGGUUCCAAAGAAGAAGGGACGUUUGGUCGGUUUGGGUCGUCGCACCCGGUCGGUUCCUCCUUCUUCUGCACCACCGCCCUUUGUUGAUCCAGAAGUACUUAAGGCUCAGUUGAAGGACAAGGAUGAUCGCAUAUCUUUGUUGGAGACCCAGAUGGCGGCUCAACAGGCGGGCUAUGAGGCACAGAGGAGGCUGAACCAGCAAAUGAUGGAGAUGAUGCAGAGGAUGUACCCGAACGAGGUGUUCCCGGACGUGCCAGACCCGUAGUUUUUUUUUCCAAAAACUCGGAAUGUUUUAUUUUUAUUUGUGAAACUUUGAAUAUUAAUUAAUAUGAUUUCAAUUUUAAUUUUAAUUUUAUAUUUUCGAAUUUAAAUUUCAAAAAUUUUAUUUUUAAAAAAAAAUUAAUAUUUUUUACAUUCCGAGGAAAUUAAUUAUAUUUUUUACUCGAUCGAUCGAUGCGUUAUUGGACAUAAAUCCAUCGAUCGAUCUGUUUAUAAAAAAAUGUUCGGAAUAAACUGAGGGACAUCUUCCUCGGAAUAUACCGAGGGACAUGUUCCUCGGAAUAUUCCGAGGAAGAUUUCCCUCGGUAUAUUCCGAUCGAUCGAUGGAUAUGUGUCCAAAAAAGCAUCGAUCGAUGAGCUUCCGAGGAAAUAUCCCGACGAAGUUCUCCCUCGGUAUAUUCCGAGGAGAUUUCCGACAAACUAGUGAUCCUCGGAAUUUCCUCGGAAAUUUGUUUCCUCGGAAUUCCGUCGGAAAAUUCCGAGGGAUUUCCGAGGAAAGAAGAAAUUCCGAGGAAUUAUUUCCGAGGACUUGUUUCGUCGGUAUGUCGUCGGAAUAAAGUUAUUCCGACGAAAUUCCGACGAUUUUUUCCCUCAGUAUCCUUGUUGUUUUCUUGUAGUGCGUGUUGUAAAUGAAGUGUUGGGGAAAUACUUCUGUUAUUAUUACUGUCGACCAGAAGGUCCAUAUAUAUACAAGGUAUUAGACCGUCAUAAGGUCAUGUUUAUCCUAACAAGAUAAGGAUUAAGGAUAAACACUAUGUUACAGAUAUACAUGAAAUAUAUACUAGAUAAACACAUAGUCUCUGGUUGUCUUUAUCAUGUCCCGGAUUGGGUCUGCAGUACGGGUUGGUCCAUGGUCGAUCAUAAACGCUUAACUGAACGUUGAAAAGUGCGAUAACGUUUUCUAGUUGUAUUCAAAAGUUCAAAACAUUCAACUAGUCGAAUAAUUCUCUGGACCAUCAAGGAAUAUCAUAGUUUUUAUAAGCAAGGAGCAAAGUAGGAACACAUCAUCAAACCAUUGUUUGGGUGCAAAUUUGUUUAGUGUAGGGCACUCUUGUGGUUGUGGUUGGGCAUAAGUCUUUUAGAGGUCACUCUCUGUGGACCUUAAAGAGUUAAGCGCCUGAUAUAAUACAAAUCGGAAAUUUCAAAACUAUAACUUAACUAGAGAAAAAUAAAGAAAAGAAGAAGACCAACUUCAAAUUUCUUACUAUAGUAAGGACCAAACAUGGCAAGCCUGUCAUCUAAUACAAACAUGUACUUUAGUUUGUGAAAUGUUCCAAACAAACUGGAUCAGGAUUCUUUGGAAAACUUAUCGUCCACAAACCAAGAUUCAUAUUUCUACACCAUUUGUAUAUCAUGAACAAAAUAAGAUUUAUCAUGAACUAGAAGUCUAUAAUUAUGUAACUUUCUUUUUAUAGUCAGCAUCAAUUUGGUCUACAUGGCCGAUAUGUAGUAUCUAUCUAAUCUAUUAAAAGAAGAUUACAAAAUUAGAUUACCCCUUAUUUUAUCACUUAUUUACAAUGGCAUGUCAUUGAGAUAUUUAUUGAACUUAUAUUUAAGUAUGUUUGUCAUUUCUUAAUUUAAAUUAUAGAUUUCCUUAAUCGAAUAUUUAACCAAAAUAGCCGUAAACGUUUGAAAAUAUAGUUAAUGUUAAGAAUAUUUACCAUUAAUGAUGUAGAAAAAAAAUUAUGUAUAGAAAAAUGAAAGCAAACACUCGUGCGGUUGCACGGAUCAGGGUCUAGUUUAUACUUAUUUUGAGUCAUCGUAUAUCACUACAAGAAAACAGCAAGGAUACUGAGGGAAAAAAUCGUCGGAAUUUCGUCGGAAUAAAGUUAUUCCGACGACAUACCGACGAAACAAGUCCUCGGAAAUAAUUCCUCGGAAUUUCUUCUUUCCUCGGAAUUUCUUCUUUCCUCGGAAAUCCUGCGGAAUUUUCCGACGGAAUUCCGAGGAAACAAAUUUCCGAGGAAAUUCCGAGGAUCACUAGUUUGUCGGAAAUCUCCUCGGAAUAUAUCGAGGGAGAACUUCGUCGGGAUAUUUCCUCGGAAGUUCAUCGAUCGAUGCGUUUUUGAACAUAUAUCCAUCGAUCGAUCCGUUUAUAAAAAAAUGUUCGGAAUAUACCGAGAGACAUCUUCCUCGGAAUAUUCCGAGGAACAUGUCUCUCGGUAUAUUCCGAGGAACAUGUCCCUCGGUAUAUUCCGAGGAACAAGGAAAGUUGUCCCUCGGUAUAUUCCGAGGAAGAUGUCCCUCAGUAUAUUCCAAACGUUUUUUUUAUAAACAGAUCGAUCGAUGGAUAUAUGUCCAAAAACGCAUCGAUCGAUCGAGUAAAAAAUAUAAUUAAUUUCCUCGGAAUGUAAAAAAUAUUAAUUUUUUUUUAAAAAUAAAAUUUUUGAAAUUUAAAUUCGAAAAUAUAAAAUUAAAAUUAAAAUUGAAAUCAUAUUAAUUAAUAUUCAAAGUUUCACAAAUAAAAAUAAAACAUUCCGAGUUUUUGGAAAAAAAAACUACGGGUCUGGCACGUCCGGGAACACCUCGUUCGGGUACAUCCUCUGCAUCAUCUCCAUCAUUUGCUGGUUCAGCCUCCUCUGUGCCUCAUAGCCCGCCUGUUGAGCCGCCAUCUGGGUCUCCAACAAAGAUAUGCGAUCAUCCUUGUCCUUCAACUGAGCCGUAAGUACUUCUGGAUCAACAAAGGGCGGUGGUGCAGAAGAAGGAGGAACCGACCGGGUGCAACGACCCAAACCGACCAAACGUCCCUUCUUCUUUGGAACCGACUGAAUAGAAAAUAGCCAAAUUUACAAAUUUAAACCAAGAAAUAAAUGAAUUGAACUUAAAAAAAAAAAGAACUUACGGAUUCAACGAUUUCGUUGAUUCGAAACCGGGACAAGUUGGUCGAAGCCGUCGAAGCGUCAUCCUCGGUUUGAAGCUGAGACACUUCGUCUACCACCUGAGUUUGGACCAGGUCGACCACGUCCCUCACAAGACCGUCAUCAAUCUGGUCGGUCUUCUUGUUGGUAUAUGCCCUCCUCAUUAGGGCGAGAUCAUCAACCGACUCGCCAUCAUUUUCUUCCGCCUUGAAAAAAAACAUAAAUUAAAGAAACAUUAGAAAUUAGAAGAAAUGCACAAUAAAUUAAAAUUUUGAAACUCAAAUAAUUGAAGAAAAAGCGGUUGAACUUACCAUGCGAUCUCCCAGAAUGAAAAUAGAUUGAGCACCCAAGUUAUGCUUGUAGAUGUCCUUCCCUUUACGGUCGCUCCUCCGGUUGGUGGAGUUGGUGGAAGAAGUUUCUUUCGUCUCUUCCUUAUCCCAAUGCGCACACAACUCCUUCCAGACCGUGUCGGUCAUCGACUUUGGGACCUUUUAAUAAAAUAAAAAAAGAAAAUAGUUUAAUAAAUUAAAAAAUAGUUUAAUAAAUUAAAAAAUAGUUUAAUAAAUUAAAAAAUUGUUUAAUAAAUUAAAUCGAACCUUAUUGAUUUCCCACUUCUUCUUCCACUCGUGGAUCUGCUUCCCAUAGUUGUCCAUAACUUUAUGGACGAAGUGGUGAUAGAUAAAGAGCGUCUCAUCGGGAUUCCAGUUGAACUCUUGCUGAAAAAAAAACACAAUUAGUUGAAAAUUUAUAUUAAAGAUUAAAAAUAUAAGUAAAAAAUUAAAAUACUUACCGCAAACUGACGAAACCACAGAACCUGCUUGUCGGUAGGGAAGUGAGUGAAAGUCGGAUGUCCCCUGUCGAGGGCCGAGUACAUCAUACGGUUGAUCCAUGCGCUGAUCCCGUUCCCGGAUCGGUUGAACCUAAUAAAAAGAACAAACGGUUAAUAAUGAAUCCAAAUUUAAAGAAAAAAAAUGCUUAAUUACCAUGUUUGACCUCGUCCAUGUGGAUACGGAGUGAGAUACGGAAGAUGGUCACGACCGAUAAUAAUGAAUCCAAAUUUAAAGAAAAAAAAUGCUUAAUUACCAUGUUUGACCUCGUCCAUGUGGAUACGGAGUGAGAUACGGAAGAUGGUCACGACCGGGCUGUUGAACCAACUCCGCAACACUCAUCACUCCCGGAGGAUCCGGAGGAGCAGGAGCGGAUGCAGCAGCGGGAGCGAGAGGAGCAAGAGCGGGUGCAGCAGAGGGAGAUGUAUGGUUGGAGCUGUGGGGCGAAGGGGAAUCCUGAAAAUGGCUGGAAUCCCGAGACUGGCUCCCCGUACCACCACGACCACGACGCUGUCGAGGCCGGGUCUGAUCAUCAUGAGACCUAUAAAUUAAAAAAAAAUAUUUAAUAAAUACAGAAAUAUAUAAAUUAAUUUUUUUUUUAAAUCCCAAAUAAUAGUUUUUAAUCACAAAAAAAGUUUUAUAGAUAUUAAAAAUGUUUUGUAAAAUCCAAAAAAUCGAAUUUAUAUACAAAAAAAGAUUUUGUAAAAUCCAAAAAUCAAAUUUAUAUAGAAAAAUCGUUUUGUAAAAUACAAUUUAUAUACAAAAUUCGAUUUUAUAAAUACAAAAAAAAUAAAAAAAAUUAUAAAAAAAUUCUAAAUCAAUUCAACAAAACAAAUUAUUCAACCAAAUCACAAUUCUAAACCUAUUAUUCUACCAAAUCACAAUCCUAACCAAUUACCCUAACAAAAAUCUAUCAAAACUACACAAAAACCUAACAAAUAGAACCUAAGAGAGUGGGAUAGGGUCUUUACAUGAUUUGUGUAAGAGAAGGGGGAGAUCGCCGGAGAUAUCGUCGGAUUUCAGGGGAAAAUCGCCGGAGAGAAGAGAGGAGUCGCGAAGAGGAAGAAGAGAGAAAUGGGGAAGAAGAAGGGGCUCGUGGUUAUAAAACCUAGGGUCCGACGAAUAUUAUCCGUCGGAAUUCCGUCGGAAUUAUAAUUUCAAUUUUCGCGAAAUAAUUGCCCGGUAAAAUGAAAAUAUUCCGAGGAAAUUCCGACGGAUAGUAAAAUAUCCGUCGGAAUUUCCUCGGAAUAUUCCGAGGAAAUACCGAGGAACUAGUGUUUGGGGUUUCAAAACAUCAAUUUUUUUUUGCCGUAUUUCAUUUCUUAUACAAUUGUAAUGCAUACCAUUGAGGAUCCUUUGUAUAGAUGAGCAUAAACCAUGAAAUAACAAAUUUCAAAACUAAUUGAAAGUAUUCCCUUUACCGUUCAUUAAAAGGUAUAAGUGUUUCUCUUAUGUUGUGGGAUUUCGUUCAUACAAUCGGAAAAGUGUUAAUUAUACGGUAAGGAACAAAUUUUUGACUUCAUAAUGAACGUAAGACAUUUAAUAAGGGUUAUAUAGGUGUUAUUCAAACCGCAAAACGUUGUUUUCGGUUUAAAAACCCUAUUUCCUCGGAAUUUCCUCGGAUUAUUCCGAGGGAAUUCCGAGGAAACCCUUUUCUUCUCUCGCUGACAAACCCUUUUCCUCGGAAUUCCGUCGGAAUAUUCCGAGGAAAUUCCGAGGAACUAGUGUUUGGGGUUUCAAUACGUCAAUUUUUUUUUAAACGGAUCGAUCGAUGGAUAUAUGUACAAAAGCCCAUCGAUCGAUAGAGUAUAUCAGGUGUUCCUCGGAAUUUCCUCGGAAUAUUCCGAGGCUUUUCUGAGGAAACAGGGUUUGGGGUAACAAUGUGAUCGAUCGAGAACAAAAUCUCGUACGUUUUUUUAUAAACGGAUCGAUCGAUGUAUAUAUAUCCAAAAACGCAUCGAUUGAUCACUAAGCGUAACAAUGUGAUCGAUUGAUUAGAUUAUCCCAUCGAUCGAUCGAGAAUCUCAAGCGUUCCUCGGAAUGUCCUCGGAAAAUCUUGUAAGUUUUUUUAUAAACGGAUCGAUCGAUGGAUAUAUGUCCGAAAACGCAUCGAUCGAUCACUAAGAUGGACCAAAGCGUAACAAUGUGAUCGAUCGAUUAGAUUAUCCCAUCGAUUGAUCGAGAAUCUCAAGCGUUCCUCGGAAUGUCCUCGGAAAAUCUUGUAAGUUUUUUUAUAAACGGAUCGUUCGAUGGAUAUAUGUCCGAAAACGCAUCGAUCGAUCACUAAGAUUGACCAAAGCGUAACAAUGUGAUCGAUCGAUUAGAUUAUCCCAUCGAUCGAUCGAGAAUAUCAAGUGUUCCUCGGAAUUCCGUCGGAAUAUUCCGAGGCUUUUCCGAGGAAAGAGGGUAUAUCAAGUGUUCCUCGGAAUUUCCUCGGUAUUUCUUUAAAACAAAAAAAAAAUCAAUGGUAGUCUGUUUCCGAGUCAUCAUCACCAGAUGAAUCUGAAUCUGGAUCUUGGUGAAACUCUCCAAUCACUGGUUCAUCCUCUACGUGAACGACGGCUUCCUCUCCGAAGUCGGUUAAAUCGACUACAAGGCCAACUCCAGCUAAAUCUUCUGCUGCACUUAAGUUGCCGGAUGUGCUUGGUUGUAGUGGGUCUUCCAGCUCAGAACUUCCCUGAAUUCGGCCUCUCGGGUUGAGUCUUGUAACAGUAACCCAUGAAUCAUCUCUGUUCCUUACCCGGGGAUACUUGAUAUAACAAACCUGUAACAUUUAGAAAAUUAUUAGUAAAAUUAUAAAUUAAUACAUAUGAUGAUGAAUCAUUCUGAAUAAUUAACAUUUAAUUACUUGAUCGGCCUGAGAAGCAAGAAUGAAAGGAUCAUAAUAUUGCAGCUUUCGCCUCGAAUUUACUGAUGUAACACUAAAUGCAUCUGUUCUCACACCUCGAUCUGGAGUGUUGUCGUGCCAAUCACAAUAGAAAACAGUACAGCGCAAUCCAACCAUGCCCAAAUACUUGAUUUCCAAAAUCUCAUGUAUGUGUCCGUAGUAUACAUCAUCUCCUGAUGCAGAACAAACGCCAGCAUCAUAAGUCGUACUCGAACGUCUCCUCUUCUGAGUUGUGAAUGCAUAUCCUCGAGUACAAAAUCUCGGAUAUGACUUCACAACAAAGUUUGGUCCAACGACCUUCUCACGUAUCGAAUCGUCAAAUGUUUCACCUCUGGCCAAACCAGCAGACACCUAUUAAUAGCACAUAUAUAUAUGUUAUAUCAAUAAAUGUGAAUUAGUAUAAAUAUGUGAUAAAAUAUAUUUUAAUUUGUUUAAAGCACUCACAUAAGUAAACAUUCAUCCAGUAAAUUCUCUCUGCUUCAUUUCUUCUAGUUCGUCCUCUGUGGCGUAUCUAUACUAGAACCGCUUUUCUGCCAUGAAAAUCCUGUAUAUGAUGACAAUAAUGUAAUUAAUUAAGAUUUAAAUUUCAACUUGUUAAAAUAAAAAUUUGUAAGCUAAUUUAUUUACCUCUCAUAUUGAAGAACGUCUUCGCAGUUGGUGAGCAAAUAUGUUUGCAAAUGACUGUGCUCCUGCUCAGUAAGUCGACGGUCCUUUGGUUUUCCGCUAAGUCGUCCAACGUCUGUGAAAAUGUCUGGAACCGUAACAUGAUAUGUUGCCCGUUCGCCUCUAUCAUCAUGCCGAGCAGGUCUUCUGUUUUUGGUCUGAACUUCUGCUGGAAAGUAGUACUCGGCAAAGUUUGAAGUUUGUUCAUUGAUCAUCUGUGCGACUAUAGAACCUUCCACCCUACUUAAAUUUUUCAUCAUCUUCUUCAAAUGGAACAUAUACCGCUCAUACAGAUACAUCCAUCUAUACUGCACAGGACCACCAAGUUCCAAUUUUCUUGCCAGGUGAAUAACAAGAUGCUUGAUGUUAAGAGUUUUCAAGCUCCUAACACAAAUGUUGUAGUAUAGUGAUUGUCGAACCAGUUCUGAGGGAUAUCAAAGCAAUGAGAAUGCAAGUACUCACUUAAUCUAAGUGCAACCAAUGAUUUAGAUGAGUUUUAAGUUAUGACUAAAACUAAAAAGCAAUAACAGAAUGAUACUUUCUUGACUAAGGGAAAAGAGAACUCAUGGGCAUAGGGAUUAGACCUUGGAUGAUCAAGUUUCGAACUGAGGAUGACAAAUGAUCAAUCAAACUAUCGACCUUAAGCCUAGACAAAAUUCUAAGCAAGCUCUAUGUCUAGAUGAAUGCUCAUUUGCUAACAUAUCUCAAACAUCAAAUGUCUUUGGUUGAAUAAUAUGAAAGCAAUCAUUACUAACAAGUCUACUAGCUAUUUUAGCACCUUUAACAACAAAUGUCUUUGGCAAAGUAUACUAAAAGCCUAGGAGAGUUGUCUCAGGCAUUUCAUCAAACACCUUUUGGGUGGGAAAUGCCUAUUGAUCAACUUUUGAGUGGCCAACUCAGAAGAUGCAUUAUGAAUACUCUACUAGCAAGGAACAAGAGUGAUCUACACUAAAACAUCCUAGAACUAACCUAAUCACCCUUGAUCUCCCUAACCCAUGAAUUCAAAAAGGUGAUUACUCACUAAUCUCUAUGAUUCCUCUUAAACCCAUAUUGGAUUUCAGAUUAAUCAUGUAGAGAAAUAGAUAAGAAAUCAACAAUAACACAAGAACAUAACAAUCAAAAUCCAAGAGAUGAAUUUCUCAAGAGAGUUUUUGUGUAUUUCUCAAUAGAUCAAAAGAUAAUCUCCUCCUCGUGGCUUACAGAGUAUUAAAACAUAGCUUUAGAAAAUAAAAACGUGCAUCAUGAAAUGACCAAAAGGCCCUUAAGUAAAAUAGAAAAUCGACCCAAUAAUAGACGCGGAGCGACCUCGGCAUGUCGCUCCGAGAGGUCGCUCUGGCCUUUGGGAGCGACCUCAGUGGGUCGCUCUGAGAGGUCGCUCCGGGCUUUGCUUCGUGUCGUCUCGCCAUAGAGACGCGAGCGACCUUGGGGUGUCGCUUUGGGAGGUCGCUCCGAGAGGGGUGUGAGAUGCGAGUGACCUCGGCGCGUCGCUCUGGACUGGUCGCUGUGGUGAGGUCGCUCUAGGAGCUGGAGCGACUUCGCCUUAUCGCUCUGAACUGGUCGCUCUAGGAGCUGUAGCGACUUCGCCUUGUCGCUCUAGGAGGUCGCUCUGAAGCGUAUAGGGCGAGCGAGUUCAUGGCGUCGCUCCGGUAGGUCGCUCUGGCUGGAGUGACUUGAGAUAGUCGCUCUGGGCUGGUCGCUUCAGGCAGUGCUCGUCCAAAGAUCACUCUAAUCACCUCCUUUGAGCUCCAAAUGCACCCAAGUGUCUCCAGGAACUCCAUGUGGUACUCCAAUACCUGAUAGAGACAUAUGUAUGCAAAAUGCAACCUAGAUAUGGCUUAAUCCUAAUCUAUAUGAUGAAAAUGCACAUGAAUAAAUGGAUAAAACAAUGUGAAUAUGCAAGAUAUCAAUGCUCCAUAACAUCAAAAAAUGAGGGAGGAAAUAUCUUCUCAAGGUUACACUAAAUCACGGCUAUGUUAGUCUUCAAAUUUUCAAUACCUUCAAGAGUCACUGAUCUCGUGCAUAAAUCGCGAAAGAAACCACUUAUCCCUGCAAUUGCAUCAUGAACAUUUCGUGCUAAUAGUUCCUUGAAGGCGAACGGAAGGAGGCGCUGCAUCAUUACAUGGCAAUCGUGGCUUUUCAAGCCAGUAAACUUUCCUUCCUUUCUGUCGAUACAGUUACGCAAAUUUGAUGCGUAACCGUCUGGAAAUUCCACAUCGUUUGAAAUCCAAUCAAAGAACGCAUCUUUUCCCUCUGCAUCAAGUCGGUAUAUGGGAAAAGGAGCCCUACCAUUCUCAUCAACAUGAAGUUCUGAACGAGCACAUAUAUCGACUAAAUCCAGUCUUGACUUCAAAUUAUCCUUUGUUUUACCUUGAACAUUAAGGAUCGUGUUCAUGAGAUUGUCAAAAAAGUUCUUCUCAAUAUGCAUGACAUCUAAAUUAUGCCUUAGCAGAUGAUCCUCCCAGUAUGGCAGAUCCCAGAAAAUACUUUUUUUUGUGCCAGUUAUGUAGUUCUCCAACAGCAUCUACCGGAAAACGCUCAUGUCCACCGACGUCUGGCGUCUUUUCUGCACCAAAAUCUCUUAGUUGUAUCUUCAAAUCUUUCCCACAAAUUUCCGGAGGUGGACUGUCAAACACCCUCUUGUUCUUCGUAAACAAAUUCCUACUCCUACGAUAUGGAUGAUCAGGUGGUAGGAAUCUCCUGUGACAGUCAAACCAACACGUUUUCCUUCCGUUUUUUUAGUUGGAAAGCAUCAGUGUUAUCUUGACAAUAUGGACAUGAUAGCCUUCCAUACGUUUUCCAUCCAGACAACAUACCAUAUGCUGAAAAAUCACUUAUUGUCCACAUUAGUACUGCCCGCAUUUGAAAGUUUUCUUUGCACGAAACAUCGUAUGUUUCAGCACCUUGAGCCAUAUUUGUUGCAACUCAUAUAUUAGUGGCUGAAGAAACACAUCAAGUGAUCUCUUAGGAUGCUCUGGUCCGGGAACGAGAAUCGAGAGAAACAAAACCUCUCGUCGCAAGCACAAGUUUGGGGGUAGGUUGUAUGGUGUAAGAAUGAUGGGCCAUAGAGAAUAAUGUCUUCCACUCUUGCCAAACGGACUGAAACCAUCAGUACAUAAUCCAAGGUAGACAUUUCUUCUCUCAUACGCAAAGUCGGGAUACUUUGAUUGGAAAUGCUUCCACGCUUUUGCAUCUGAAGGAUGUCUGAUCUCACCAUCUGUUGAGUGCUCCGCAUGCCAUCUCAUUGGUUGCGCUGUGCGUUCAGACAGAUACAACCUCUGCAACCUUUUCGUCAAAGGUAAAUACCACAUCCUUUUAUAUGGCACUGGAACUCUUCCACUCGUAUCUUUAUAACGAGGCUUUCCACAAAAUUUGCAUGUAACCCGCUGUUCAUCCGCCCUCCAAUAAAUCAUGCAGUUGUCGCUGCAUACAUCUAUUACCUGAUACGAUAAACCAAGACCAGCUACGAGUUUCUGAACCUCGUAGUAUGAACCAGGAGCUACAUUAUCCUCGGGUAGAAUACCUUUUACAAAAUCAGCAAUCGCAUCCACACAGUCUUCAGCCAAAUUAUAAUCUGUUUUAAUGCCCAUCAAUCUUGUAGCAGAUGAUAAAGCUGAAUGACCAUCUCUGCAACCUUCGUACAAUGGUUGCUUUCCAGCAUCCAACAUAUCAUAAAAUCUACUAGCUUGUGCAUUGGGUAAAUCUUCCCCUAUAAAAUGAUCAUUUACCAUCUCCUCAGUACCUACACCAUAAUCUACAUCCGUUCUAAUUGGUUCUUCUAAUCUAACCGCUGGCUGAGGUUCGCUAGUACUACCAUGUUCAUAAUCAGUUUCCCCAUGAUGAUACCAAAUUUUGUAACUUCGUGUAAACCCAUUCAAAUAUAGAUGAGUCCAAACAUCCCACUCUUUAAUAACCUUUCUAUUUUUACAAUUAGAGCAAGGACAUCUUAACAUACAUGUUUUUUCUUCCGGUUGUCGGUGAACUAACCCCAUGAAUUCGGUUAUACCUCGUUGGUAUUCUUCCGUAAGCAAUCUCGUGUUCGGAUCCAAAUGAGGUCGAUCGAUCCAAGAACGAAAAUAAUUUGAAGAACACAUAUUUUUUAUGAAUCAAAUUCGUGUGUAAAUAGAGUAAGAGGGAGGAUGAAGAUAUGGAGUGAAUGAAGAGGAAGAGGACUGCUUGUAUUUAUAGUUUAAAUCCUGCCGACAGACCGAGGAAAUUCCAACGGAAUUCCGACGCCAACGGCUAGUUCGUCGGAAUUUCCUCGAAAUUUUUUAAAAUCCCCCAACGGCUCUCUAACGGUUAUAAUAUUUCCUCGGAAUUCAUCGGUUUUUUCCGAGGAACACAUUUUUCCUCGGAAUAUUCCGACGGAUUGAUAUUUCCUCGGAAUUCCGUCGGUAUAUUCCGAGACCUCGGGAUAUUCUGAGAAUUUCAUUUUCCGUCGAAAUGUCCGUUAGAAUACCGCUGUUUUCUUGUAGUGUAUUGCUAAGGAGAUUGAUAACUCUACACAUUUAUACCUUGUUCAAUCUAAAUGGGGAAAGAUGUAUUUAAAAUUUAUUAUACUAAAGAUUUACUUACAAUUUUGUUUCUAUUAUUUUUACAUUUUUUUGUUGUUUCUAAAAUACACUAGAUUUUCUAUAAAGAUCCUAAACAUACUCUAUAUAUAGUUUUUGCUAUAAAUACAGACAUCUUCACCACCUAUGCCAAUAAAAAAAAGACCAUAUCUCAUUCAUCUCUUAUUUAUCGAAAUUUAUAGUGCCUAUCAAGUAAAAAAAAAUUCCAUCUUAAAAUCAGUUUAAUGUUCAAUAUAGUGAAACUCUAUUAUUUUCCGUAGAUAAGAAUGUUUUAGUAAAUCUAAUAACAGGGCUUUAUGGAAAGUUGCAAAUCUGGCCCAGCUAUUUGGAAAAAUCUUAAACCCAUCUCUAUUUAUAACUAGGAGGGUGUCCGCGUUAUUGUCGUUAAAUAUGAUUUUUGGAAGAUGUGAUUAUGUGGUCAGUAUUUAUUGUGAACAUCAUUAUUUGAUUUUUUUAUGUUAUGUAGUAGUAGCUAAUAAGUUAAUAUAUUAUGUGUUCGUCUUUUUAAUAAAGUGUUGUUGUAUGUAUAAUACUACUUGUUAGUGGUGAAAUGAGUUUCUUAUGUAAAAUAUAUUGAAUUUCAAUAACUUUGUCUUUAAGAAUUUGUUGAUUCUAAGAUUAACAGCGUCAAAAUUGUAUUUUAGUUUUUCACAUUUUUGAACAUUACUCUUUUAGAUGUUUUUUGCACUUUCCCCCAUAUUUUGACCUUGAGCCGUCACCAUCUAUGUAUUUCGUUUACCUCUCCGUUGUGCAGUGCUUCUCACCAUCACUGGGAAAAUACUCACCUUUGUGCUCUUGUUUUGCUCACCUUCUUUUUCUUUGAGAUUAUAUGUUAUUUGUUAUAGAUCAGACAUAUUAGUUCCAUGUUGUGUGGUUGUUUCUUACGGCGUUGUAUGUUAUUUCGGUCAAUAUUUGUCGUUUUUUUCUUUCGAUUUUAGCUAAGGUUAGAAACUACUUCUCAUUGGGUUUGGUCAGAGUUUAGUUGUCAUUGAUGUUGUUUUCCUUGUUGCUGGUUUGCCAUCGAUAGUCUCUGCUCGUCUUGGUUCUCAAGAUCUGGUUUUUGGUGAUCUGACUUUUAUGUUCUUUUUUCAUAACUCGAGGAUGGAUCCACGGUUCGUUGAUUUCAUUUUGUCUCAUUUUGUCUCUUUUUAUCUCUUUGUUCUCUCAUCUCGUUGCACCUUUCAUUGCUGAUCACGUCUAUGGUGGCUCUCCCUUUCGCCAUAUUUGCUACUCUAGGUUUGGAUAGUGUUUUUAUCUGUGUAUGCUUUGUGCACUUGAAAGGUUUUUUAUGGUCUCAAACUUAAGUUUUGGUUUCUCGGUGGUUGGCUUUCAUUCUCCCACACUCAAGUUGUUUAUAUUCUUCUCAUGCAUCCCUUGGUGUAGGUAUGCGGAGCUACUCUUUUGGAGCUUUGGUUUCUUCUAUUCAGAAUUUUGUGGUUCUUCGCUGUCAUGGGCGUCUUCUAUGUACUUAUUUAGUUUGUGAGGUGCUUCUUAUCUAUUAACUGGUGGUUGUGCUUCUGGUGCUUUAGACAUGCGUCUUUUUGUUUUGUGGUGAUUUUGUUCUUCCGAUGAUUAUUCUUUCUCUGGCCCGCUUUUUUGGUUUUUUGCUCUGGUGCUUGAUCACGAUCCUUUGUGUUCUGGGGAUUGAUUUAUCUCAUAUUUUAUCUUUUUACUUUUUUUCUGACAUCUGCUUGUUCUAACCAAGACAUUCUAUGGUAAGAUGAGAGAGAUUAGUCUUCUUUGCUGGUCUUUUUUCAGCUCCAAACUUUUAUUGAGUUAGUAUUACUAUGGUAUUUUGCUUUUUCUUCGUGAUUGCGGAAGUUUUAUGUUUAGAUUAUGUAUUACACUCUAAUUUCUUUUUAUUAGUUUGGUCAUUUUAUAUUUUUAAUAGUUAAAUAAAUAUAUAAUUUGUAAAUUAAAUAAUAGAAAAUGGUAAAAAAUAGUAAAAUAACAAAAAUUAUGUUAUUUUUAGUUAUGAAUAAAUUAAAUAUGCAAAAUUAUUUCUAUUAUUUUAUUUAUUUAUUUAUUCAUAUUGAAUUUUAGUAAACAAUAAAAUAGAUUGUCAAACUUCAGACGAUAGUUAGUGCGAAAAUGAUUAGAUAUUGCAUAAUUAGAAAAGAUUUGGCCAAAUUACACUAAUCUAAAAGAAUAAGGACCUAAAACGUAUGAAAAAAUACAUGGAUGACAUGUGUCGCAAAAGCCCCGUGCCACUUGUCAGAAUAAGGGAAAAAGCCAACUUUAUAUAUAUAGAUUUGAUCCAAGUCCAAGUAUCUUCUAUAUAUUAAUUGAGGAUUUUUUAAAAAGUUGUAAAUUCAAAUUUGUACUAAUUAAAUUUUAGACUUGCUUAGGUGUCAAUUUUUUAAAUCUUCUUAUUACUGAUGUAGCAACCUUACAUUGAGUUUACACAACUUUACAGGGGUGGGCAAAAAACUCAAACCGAACCGAACCGAACCGAACCAAACCAACCGAAGUUAAACCGACCCAAACCAAACCGUCCUCUUUACAUAACUCAAUUGGUUCAUGUUUUACUCAAUCCGAAUGGUUUGGUUUGGUUUGGAUUUAAACCGAACCAAACCGAACCAAACCGAUAAUCCAAUAUAUUUUUAUCUAUAAAUAUAUAUAUAUAAUAUAUAUAUAUAUAUAUACAUAUUAGCAUAUUGUAAAUUUUAGUUAAAGUUUCGUUUUCCAUUUUUUCUUAACUUCCAUAUAUUUUCUAAAAAUUCCAAAUAUGAUUCAAAUAAAACUAUUAUAUAUAUAUAUCUAAUCCUAAUACCUAAAGAAUAGAUUGUACUGAAAACAAAACCUAAAAACUAUAAGUAUCUACGUAGCCGUCUCGUCUCGUUCAUCUUCUCCGGCUUCCAUUGCCUAAAGGUAAAAUUACGUAACAAAGUGAUUAUAGGAUCAAUAAAAAAAAAGGUAGAUGCAAAUAGUCUUUUAGUUAAUAGGUUUUGGAAUGCUUACAAGUCUUUGUUACGCUAAUUAGAUUACAAAUAGUCUACUCUUUGUCUAUUAUGUAUUUCUUCCUUUGACGUGGUUAAGACCUGAGAGUUUUAUCACCGAGGUUUAAAUUUUUUUUCAUUGACUUUUAAGUUUUAAUAGUAAAUACACGUUACAACUCACUGUUUCUAAUGAAAAGAGAGAAGUAACUGAACGUUCUUUCUAUUUAAAUAAUUUAAUUAACAACUUCUAUGUUUUCUGUGUAGAUGAAUAACAAAAACAAGGCCAGCGGUAAAAGAAAGGAAUCUGAUUCUCCACCAGUACCGCCAAAGCCAAAAAGAAAACUACCAACACGAUCACCGGCGUGGGAAGUUUUUACGAAACUUGAAGAUGAUGAAUCAAAGUGCUCAUGCAAUUACUGUGGUAAGACCUAUUCAUGUCCUUCCACAAGUGGAACUAGCACUAUGAUGUCACACAUGAAGAAGUGCAAAGAUUAUUUAGAUUGGCUCGAAUCUGAUUCUCAGCAACACUUGUCUAGUGGUGGAAAUAAUGUUCAUGGUGGUAAAAGUGUUGGUAUGACUAAACCUUUUGAUCAUGUGGUGUGCAAGCGAGCAACAGUGAAAAUGAUUAUCAUGGAUGAGUUGCCAUUUUCUUUUGUUGAGAAUGAAGGGUUUAGACAGUUUUGUGAGACUGUUAUUCCUUGGUUUAGUAUUCCAUCACGAAGAACUAUUACAAGGGAGGUUGUUGGUAUGUAUAAUGCUGAGAAAACUGCAUUGAGGACUACUUUUAGCCUAAAUAAGCAAGCGAUUUCUUUUACCACCGAUAGAUGGACUGCUAUUACAACUUUGAGUUAUAUGGUUAUAACUGCUCAAGUGCUCAUUUCAUUGAUAUGGAUUGGCAACUGCAUAGAAGGAUUAUUAGUUUUAGUCCUAUUCCUGAUCAUAAAGGAGAGACCAUUGCAAAUCAAUUUAUAAGAUCUUUGGAUGAUUGGGGUAUUGAGAAAGUGUUUUCUGAGACACUUGAUAAUGCAAGUAGCAAUGAUAAAGCAAUCAGCAUUUUGAAAGAUCGGCUGCUCCAAAAGAACAAUGAUGCUUUGAUGAUGAAUGGUGAAUUUAUGCACAUACGCUGUUGUGCACACAUACUGAAUCUGAUUGCCAAUGAAGGGUUGGAUGAUAUAAGUAAGAGCAUAAUAAGUGUUCGUAAUGCUGUCAAAUAUGUGAGGUCUUCUACUUCAAGACUAGAAUCUUUUAAGCGUUGGGUGGAGGUUGAGAAGAUAACAAGUGGAAGUGUGGUAUUGGAUUGUCUUACUAUGUGGAACUCAACUUACUUGAUGCUGAGAAGUGCACUUAAAUAUCAAACUGCAUUUGAAAGGAUGGCUGAUAUGGAUAAGCCGUAUGAUGCAUGGUUCAAAGAACUUGAUUCUAACGGGAAGGUGAGGAAAGGACCUCCAACAGCUGUUGAUUGGGACAAAGCGCGGCAUAUGGUAAAGUUCUUGAAGUCUUUCUAUGACUCAACUUUAGCCUUCUCUUCUUCUAUAAAAAUAACAUCCAAUGGUUGUUAUAAUGAGAUAUGCAAAAUUCAGUCAAGUGUCGAGAAUAUGGCUUAUAGUCAAGACGUUGAUUUAAGGGAUAUGGCUUCUGCAAUGACAACUAAGUUUGCUAAAUAUUGGGAAGGUACUGAGAAGAUCAAUAAGAUAUUAAUAGUGGCUGGUAUACUUGAUCCUCCUCGCAAAAUGGUUUUCAGAGUACAGCUUUGAAAUUAUCUAUGGAAAAGGUAAUUCAAAGUGCAAAGAAAUGUCUAAGUUGGUGAUGGAUGUUUUGGGGAGCAUAUUCAAGGUAUACAGUGACCGGUACAACACUUUGAAUCUACAAGAUUCUGCUGCUCGUGAUGGUGAGAAUGUAACCGAGUCAAGCCAAGAUUGCAAGGAUAUGGAAGAUGACAACAUUGAUGAUCCCUUUUUAAAGUUUAUGGUUGCUAAAAGAACAACUUCAGAAGUUGUAAACGAGCUGGACAAGUAUCUCAAAGACGAGCUGUACGUACAAGUUGAAAAUGACUUGGGGCUUCCAUUUAAUCUUUUAGACUGGUGGAAGACAAACAGCUCAAAAUACCCAAUUAUGUCUCUAAUGGCCAGAGAAAUUCUUGCUAUACCAGUAUCUUCUGCUGCAUCUGAGUGUGCUUUUAGCACUGGAAGUCGUAUUUUAGAUCAGUAUCGAAGUUGUUUGACUCCUGAUAUGGUUGAAGCGUUGGUUUUGACCCAAGACUGGUUACGUGCAUCACUUCGUUCAGAAGCAAUAAAGACUCUUGAAAAUCUAGAAGAAGAAAACCAAUUCAUGGAUUCAGGUAUUUUAGUUUUUUUUUUUUAAGAAUCCUAAGUGAGUAAUGUCUCACUGUCUCCCGUAUAUGAACUAAUAUCUAAUUUUUUUUUUAAUUUGAAUUUGUUAGAGUUUCAUCCUCAGUCUCAGAAUGAAAGUGAGCUUCACCCGUCUCUGUUAGCGUAAAACGGUAAGCUUUGCUAAGGUUAUAUUAGUUUUAUAUAAUGCUAUAUAAUGGCUCUAUAUAAGAUAUGAAUAUUGGUUUGAACGAUUAUUAUUAUUGUCUUGUUGCAGAUUAUUGUUGGUGGCAUGAGAGAGACGCUUGGAUUUUUCUUCUUUCUCUUUAUAGUUAAAUUGGGUUUUUGAUUUUUGUUCGGCUUUAUAAUUUAGUGAAGAUCUGUUUUCAGUUGGACCAUAUUUGGUAUUUAGUUUUUGGAUACAUUGUUUUUGACUUUUAGUAAUGGAUUUUUUAGCUAACAAAGUUUAUAUUCCCUCUUUAUCUUUUAUAAGUUGAUGAUUUUUAAGUAAAACUAAUGCCAUCAUAUUUUAUAACCGACCCAAACUACACCGAACCAAACUACACCAUAAUAAAGCAAACCGAACUAAAUCAAAACCCAACCAAACUUAAUAUAAACCAAACCGAAAUAAACCGAACCAAACUAAACCCAAACCGAAUCCAAACCAAAACUACUAUGGUUUUAAUUGGGUUGAGUUUUACAAAACCCAAAUUACCCAAACCAAACCGAACCCAAACCGAACCAGAAACUAAACCGAUAUGCCCACUCCUACAACUUUAGACUAAUAUUUUAUGCCACUGACAAUAUUUUUUAUACACGUUAUCAGUUACAACGUCUUUGUAUUUGAAUUGAUUACAGCUUAGCUUCUUCCAUUUAAAAACUUUUUUUUUGUGAACUUUAUGAACAAAAUAAAAUUCUGGUUAUUUGUGAGAAAUAUGCGUUGUAAAGGUGUGCCUAACUCGGUCUUUAUAUGUUUGCAAUUGUAUUAUUUAAUCGUUGUUAAACCGGACCAGGUCAUUAAAAACUUUGGCCGGUUUAUUGGUACCAACUCAAUUAGUAGUUAGCUUCGUAUGGAAGUUUAUGUGAAGUAACAAAAUAAUAUAUGUGAUAUACAAGUUCUUACAAAUAUAUAUUUGACAAUAUUCAAUUCAUUUAUAUUCAAUAACAAAUAUCUUACUUUGAUACUUCAUCCCCAAGUAUAUAUGAUUUGUUUUAUAUAUGAUUUGUUCUAUAUAUGGUCAUAAAUCCAUCCUAAAAUUUAGGGGAUGUCGAUAUCCUUUUACCAAAUAUGCAAAAGAUUUGUUAGUGGAUAUUAUUGUUUGAAGAAACAAUAUUUUGUAUUUAAUGUGGCAUGCUAAUAUGUGUAAUUUACCCAAAAAGUAAUCACAUUAAGUCACAUACAAAUUUCUUUUAUGGUUUAUACAAUUUAUAUUACUAAUUUUUUUUUGUGUAUAAAUACUUUAUAUAAGGCUACUACAUGCACCCUAUGCAUGAAAACAAAGAAUACAAAGCAGAUCCCGGAGACUUUUUUUUUUUUUUUUUGAUAACUCUGGUAUCUGGACAGCCACAUUCCCAACUAUCCCCCCGUAGGGGGUCCAGCGCUCCAACGGAAGGGAUGUUAAAUCCGCUGUGGCCGGGGCUCGAAGUCGUGAUGGCGGGCACCUCAGCCGAGGUUCCUUUACCACCAGACCACGAGGCCCGGUUAUAACUGUAUAGGUUGAACUUUUUAUAGUGACUGGGCUCACCCCGAAGGGCCACCUCGCCAGAAAUCCCCGUAGGGAUUUUUUAGCUAACCCAGUACCACCCCGCUUUCUCCGAGUAUCGAACUGGCGACCUCGGGUAGUCGUGUGUGAGAAACGUUCAGUACUGCCGCUAGGCCACCUGACGUUCUCAAAGAUCCCGGAGACUUUAUUUCUCUUUCGUAGAUAUUAGCUCAAAUAUGGCGAAAUAUCAAUGGAUCUUCGGUUUCACAAACAUAUUUUCGGUAGAGACAAAAGUAGAGAUAAAUUUAUAAGGGAAAACUGUUUUUUAGAGCAAAAAAAUAGUAACUAUGUCCCUUUACACUAAUCUAUAUUUUGUGUCAUAUUUUCCUAUAAUACCCUUUAAUAUUUAUGAAAAUAAUUUUAAUAAAUAGUUUUAGAAACAAAAAAAAUUUGGAAAAAUAGUAACAUUUGUUAAAAUACCUAUAUGAACUUAAUGGUAUAUUUUCCAGUUAUAAAAAAGUUAAAAUUAUAGAUUUCAGAUUAUGUUCUAAAAAAAGUAGAAAUGACAUUCUACGAAGUAGAAAACGAAAUCUACUUUUUUCAUUGAAUCUACAAUGUUUAGAAUACGUGAUCUACGUAAAUAGGAGUAUUCUACAAAUAUGUAGAAUACACAUUCCGCGCUUAACCUACCAUUCUAAAAUUCUUAGAAAUCAAAAUCUACACAUUAAUCUAAUUCUAAAACAUGUAGAAACCGACUUCUACAGAUUUACUAUAAAUCUAAAACAUGUAGAAAUCAAAUUCUAAACAUUACUAUAAUUCUAAAAAACUGUAGAAACUGAUUUCUACAUAUUAGUUGUAUUCUACGGAUAAGAAAUCAGUUCCUAAAAAUAUGGAAACAAAAUAUUUGAGAAUAUUCACUUUUCUAUUUUUUUUUAAAAUCGAUUUUUUUUAAAAAAAAACGAAAAAGGAAAAAAAAAAUCGACAAAAAAACCUUGGCAACCUUCUUCGCCGUCUUCUAUAUUCCAUUGAUUGUUCACAAAAUUUUCACAAAAUUUUCACAUUAUUUCUACCAUGAUUCAUGUCUAUGCUUCAUGUGGUGUUUGGGAAUUGGUUGUAUCUUCAGGUUGGAGUUUUAAUGUUGAUAAAAAGAAAGGGGGAAGGUUACUUGCUUUGGAAUUGAAGUCUUCUCUGGAAGAGUUACAGAAAAUUGUUAUAGAGGAUUUUGGUUUUGAAGAAACAGAUGCUGAUUUGGAGUUGAGUUACCUUCCUAUUGGAUUGAUCAAUUCAUCAAAUUGUCCACCAGUGAUCAUUGGAAACUCAAGGCAAGUUCAAAAUUUUCUAGGGUUUUGUAAGAAGCAUCAGUCAACUCAAUUGUGUGUCAGCUAUAAAGCAAAGCAAGGAAAUCCAAAUAAGAUCGAUAUUGAUCUUAAUAAGAUGCCAACUGAUGCAAGUACUAGUGAAGAGAACGAGCGAAAUCCUUGUGACAUUGGGACCGCUUCAAAUAUUGUUAAGGGGGCUAAGCAUAACGAGAAGAGGAAAGGGAAGAUGAAGCAAAGUGAAGUUGAUGGAGAUGAUUAUGAUGCUGACAAGCAUAACGAGAAGAAGAAAGGAAAGAUGAAGCAAGACGAGGUUGAAGGAGAUGAUUAUGAUGCUGACAAGAUCAAUUCUGAAAAAGAAAACAGAGAAAAAUUGGCAAAGAGUCAGGUGGUGGAAUUGGUUAAGACGGGAGAUCUUUUCCUCAACAAAACAGUUUUGAAAGCGAGGUUUGAGUUAUGUGCAAUGAAGCAUAACUUUCACUACACAGUUACCAACUCCAAUAAAUCAGUUUGGUGUAUUAGAUGCGCUGAUAAGGUGUGCUUUUGGGGUGCUCGAGCUGAGUGUUUGAAGGGCUCCACAUAUUUUAUUAUUAAGAAGUAUGUCGGUGUACAUUCCUGCGCACCUUCAAACAAAACCAGUGCCGGAAAGACAGCUUCAGCGAAAACGAUAGGCAGUCUGCUAAUGCAUAAAUAUGAAGGUAUCAAGGAAGGGCCUAAAGCGAAAGAUAUUGUUCAGAUUAUGCGUAAUGAUUAUGGAUGUGAGAUCUCUGAUUCUUUAGCAUGGGAUUCCCGUGAAUAUGCAGUCAACGCUGUUAGAGGUAUUCCAGAGGAAAGUUAUGGGAAAAUACCAAAAUAUUUGCACAUGCUGCGAGAGGCCAAUCCGGGUACACAUUCCUCUUACAAGACUGACGUCGAUGGUAGAUUUCGAUAUCUGUUUAUAGCGUUUGGUCAAUCGAUCAGAGGCUUUAACACAGUCAUGAGGCGUGUCAUUGUUGUCGAUGGAACAUUCUUGAAGAGUAAAUUCAAAGGGGUGCUACUGGUUGCAACUGCUAUAGAUGGAAAUUCAAAUUUAUAUCCUAUUGCAUUUGGGAUAGUAGACUCUGAGAAUGAACAGUCUUGGGAAUGGUUUAUGAGACAAUUAAAAGUUGUUGUUGCUGAUGAUAAUGGUUUGGCUUUUAUUUCGGAUAGACAAGUGUCAAUAGCGAAGGCACUGGAGAAAGUGUAUCCGCUAGCGAGACAUGGUAUUUGUAUUCAUCAUUUGUUGAAUAAUGUGAUAUCAUAUUUCAAGGGGAAGGGAUUAGCUGGGUUGAUUUCUAAGGCUUCAAAGGCUUAUAGAGUGGUUGAUUUCAAGAAGACGUUUGCUCAUGUUUGCAAUAUCAGUCCAGCAAUUGGAAAUUAUCUUAUGGAAGCAGAUGUCAAAAAGUGGGCUAGAUGUCAAUUUCAUGGAUACAGGUAUGACAUUAGGACAAACAAUCCUGCAGAGUCGAUAAAUUCUGCGUUGCGUUCGCCGAGAGAGUUUCCCGUAAUUCCUUUAUUGGACAGUAUCAGAGAAAUGCUGACACGCUGAUUUUUUAAGCGUAAGCAAUCGAUUUCAAAGCACACCCACCGUUUGACCAUAAAUGUGGAGGAAAAGAUUGAUAGGAGAAUUGGAAAGGGGGGAAACUUUCAGAGUUUACCCUGUAACCGAUAGCCAGCUGCUUGUUAAAGGCGAUACAAUUGACUGCUUUGUUGAUUUGGACAAACGGACUUGUUCUUGUGGGAAGUACGACCUCUUGAAAAUCCCUUGUAGACACGCAAUAAAAGCUGGUUUCUUUGUUGGUAGAGAACCAUAUACAUUGACUGAUUUUUUGUAUACCACGGGAGCUUGGAGAGAAGCUUAUCAAGAAAGCAUAAAUCCCAUUUCAGUUCCUGAAGAUGGUUGGUCUGUUCCACAAGUAGUGGAAAAUUCUGAAGUGCUACCGCCUGAGACAAGAAGAUCUCUUGGAAGAAAUAGAAAACGCAGAUAUGAAACUGUUGAAGACAAAAUCUGAUCAUCACAAGGAUCACAGGGGGGUCAGCUUCGUAAGUGCAGUAGAUGUGGUCUUGGUGGUCAUAAUAGAGCAACUUGCAAGAUGCCAAUAUAGUGGAUUUGUUUGUUGUGUUCUUCACAAUUUAGUGAAAGUUUUCCAGACUUCAUUUGCUUGAUUUCUAGUAACUUUGUUUCUGUUUGUGACAAUUUUGUUUCAGUUUUUCAGAUUAUAUUUGCUUGAAUUUUAGUAACUUUGAUUCAGUUUGUGAGAACUUUGUUUAAUUUUCAUAACUUAUUCUUAAACAAACUGUGAUGUCCGCUACGUUUGGAUCGAUCGAUCUAUAUAUUGAAUGGUCGAUCCGUCGGUCGAUCCUGAUCAAUAUGCAAAACAGAAAAAAACACGGACAAUCUUUUGAUCGACCUGGUACAGUUCUCUCGAUCGGCAAAGCUCGAUCUCAUACCGACCGAUCGAUCGACUAUUUGGAUCGAUCGAUCUAUAAUUUAGAUCGAUCGAUCGGCCGGAUGAAACGAUCGAUCCCGUACUCUGAUAAAUCUUAUUUGAACCGAAUUUAACUCAGCAAAAUAGAGAGAAUAGGAUAAAAACCUCCAUUUAUCUUCUCCUUCAUGACUAUACUUAAUAGAAUGGUAACUUACUAUAGGUUAUAUAAUUAAUAAAAGUUAUAAUCUAAACUGGAUAUAUAAAACAUGCAAACAACCCAGAUCCGAAUUCGAAAUGCGCAGAAAAUUUUAAAAAACCGGUGGAACACAAUGGAAAGAUAUAACUGAUACUAAUCAUUGGUGGUCGUCAGGACUGCAGCUCCUACUCUGUCCUGGUGCUCGUCUGCUCCUAUGGAGGCGUGAACCUCGCUCUGCAUCGGUUGCUUCAUCAGAUGGUUCAUUUUCUGCGUCGUCUCUAGUCAUACCAGCUGCCUCUGUAGUCUGUGGAGCGCGGCAGCAGGAAGGAGUAGGUGGAUAUCUAAUCUUUGCGAGUGCACCCCACACAGUCUGCAUCAUCGUCGAGAGCUUGACUAAUGUAUCGGCAGUCCAUGCAAACUGCUGCUGCUGUGUACCAUCUAAUGGUGGUGCUCCAGAAUCAAACUGACCAGUAUAUGGUGGUAACAAAUACUCCAUGGAAGGGUUUGGAGUAUGAUCGACUGAGAUAUCCGGGAUGGUGUCAUCCUCACAUUGUGUCUGCGCAGGACCAGAAGAAGAAGAACCACGACGACGUUUUGAAGCUGGUGGAGGAGGCGUGUAAAGAACUUCAGCAGGGGGCAUGAACUCCAUGUUCUCCACAGACGUCAGAGAUGUGAUAGCGGGUUGUGGAAGCUUGCAAUGAAGGAUUUUCCCAUCAGGCAUGGUAAAACGGUAAAUUUUACCAGAGUGAAGGAUCUUGGUGUUUAGGAAGAACUGGGCAUCAAAUCUGUCAAUCGUAUCCACACAAGGAGUAUCCGAAAGAUCAAUACCAUGGUGCAUGAAGAUCCGAGUAAGUAGACUGCCAAUAGACUCCUCCAAAGGCUUCCUGUCAAGAGGACGAAGACCCCUAAACUUCCUUUCAAACAACAUCUGAGCAAACAAUGUUCCCAUGUUUACCGAAAGCUCUGCUGGAGGUUCAUCUGCAACGUCAUACGUCGGCCUGAGAGCUAAUGGCAGCCCGUAGUGAAUAAGCUGCGCUUCAUCCUCGGUAAGUGAUCCUGCUUCUGACUUUCCAAGUAGAAGAUGACCCAGAUAUUUUGCUACCACUCGCAAGACCAGGUUUCUGAGCAUUGCAAGUUUAGCUUCCCGAGAUACAUAAGAACUGUCUGCAAUCUUUCUCCACAACAAGGAAGCACAAGGAAACUUGGGCAAAGAGCAUGCCUCAUGUCGGGUCUCAAAUCCGAAUAGUAUACACAGCUCGUGUAUAGACAUCUCAUAAAGCAGUCCUCUACAUAGGAAUGUAAGUUUACCUUCGCUAGCAACUUUGUUUACCUCGGACUUGUAGUGCAAUUCAACAGAAGAGAGAAAUUGUAUAACCAAGUCUGGAUAUAAGAGUUGUGGAUUGUAGCCAAGAGUUCCAAGUCCCAUGUUUUUCCACAUCUUUUUGACAUCCCGCAGAAUUCCCAACUCCUUUGUAGUGUAAUCGCAUAUGAACUUUGUUGGUUUCAAUCUCAUCCGCUGCAAACCAUUGUAGAGAAUGCAGUGGUAAUCACUCCAACCAGCAUAGUAAUCGCGGUUUGUGUAGGAUGCAAGUUCUCUCAGCUCCUUCUUACUUGAGAUAUGUCGGUUAUGAAUUGUAGGGAGUUUAGAGAAUGGAGUCAAUGGGUCACGAGGCCAAGGGGCUGCUUCCCAAGGCUCACCACUUUCGGGCUGCGCUGAGGUCGAAGCAGCUGUUGUGUCACGUGUCUGUGUUGCCGCCGGUGCUGCUUCCUUGGUUUUUUUCGGCACUCCUUUUUUCACCAUUUUCUGCACACAACCCUUAACAAAUGAGUUCUCAAAGAUAAAACUGAGUUAAUUGGCAUGGACAAUGAUUCAACACCUAUGCAACUCAACAACUAACAUUACAGCAUCAGCAAUCUCAGUCUAUUAAUUCUAAAUUUUCAAAAAAAAUUUUUUAAGAAGUAACCCUAAUUUCUUAAAUCAAACUUAAAACUACGAAUUAAGGCAAGAGCUAUAAGGAAAAUCGUCACUUAUCAUCACCCUAACACACGAUUUAAGCCAAAACGACUUAAAAACACUAAAAUUUCACUUUUUCUAUUUCAAUUUCGAACUAUAAAAGUGGAGAUAGAAUUUCAUACCUUUACAGAUCGACCGAAAGAGUGGUAGAUUCAGAAUUAGCUCACAAAAUCGUAUGGGUUAGGCUCAAGAAUCGUCCAAAUCGAAGUUAAAUCGAGAGAGAUAGGGUUUAUGAAGUUGGGUUUGAUCCCAUUCUCUCAAAAAAAAUUGGGGAAGGAGAUAAAAGUGAGGUUUGAUCUGAGUCUCACGAUUUUAUGAAUAAAAUCGUGUUAGUCCGGUUCAAAUUAAGUGGGUAUUAAACCGGAUUUAACCGAUGAAAACCAUAAAAUCGAUUUGAGAGACUUACCUGGGUGCGGGAUCGAUCGAUCCGAAAUAUAGAUCGAUCGAUCUGUAGGCGAUCGAGCUUUGCCGAACGAGCGUACUGGAACAGGUCGAUCAAAAUAUGUUGCGCGUUUUUUUGUUUGUUCUGCAUAAUGUUCAGGAUCAACUGUCUGGAUCGAUCUGGUCCUACACAGAACGAUCUAUCUAUCUAGAUCGAUCUUUCUGGAUCGACCAUCUUGUUUCGAUCGAUCGAUCUAUUUAGGCUGACCGGAUUUGUAAUUCUUUUUUGAGUUUAGUGAACUUUAUGGUUUCUCAAUUGAUAAUGUUGUCUUUCAUUUUGUAAACUCAAGUACUGUAUAUAGAAAAAAUACCAUUAUAACAUAAAUUCCUAAAAUCAUUACAAAAUAAGUUUAAAAAGCAUAACCAACAAUAAAUCAUAAAUCAUCAAUCUCAACAUACUCGGCAGGCUUACUACACUUAAUAGGCUCAUACUUUGACAUUCUCUCAAUCAGUUCUAGAUCAUUAGCUGCUUCCCAUAGAUCCCACAUAAUCUUUAUCCGAGCUCCCCAAAUGUUCUCAUCACUCACCAUAGAUAUGUCCAACCCAAGCACGUGGCAUUCGAUGUGUUUUAUAGUGUACACACCACAAUGACAUUGAAGUCGGUUAAGACCACUCAUAGGUACAUAGGAAACAUUGUACGGAGUGAUGUGGAGAUGCUUCUGUAUUGUCAAUGACUGCACGGCCUUGACAAUCCGAGGAAUAAGCUGCGCGAAAGCUUCCACUUCCUUGAUUUUUUUUUUACCCCCGCAGUCAAACACCUGGAUAUUCCUAGUCACAAAACUGAUGCAUAAAGCAAUCCAAUGGUUGCAAUUGACCCAGACAGGAACGUACAUCCGAUCCACAUCGACAUUCCACAACAUCUGUGUUCUUCCAUGGGAAGGCAGUUCACCUUUACCGUAUUGCAGUAGUAAUGGAUCCAUAGUGUAUUUCUUAAUACCCUUACAGAAAUUCUGGUAAUCCUUAGCAAUGAGGUCGCUGAAGACGCAUGUCAUGAAAGCAACACGGUCUACGUUCCAUCGUUUCAAUGUUGUUCUUUCCCGAAAAACAUACAUUAUAGCAUCAAUUUCCUACAAAAACAAAGACAAAUCUGUAAUGUAUACAUUUAUAUAAUAGGUAACAUUUUAUAGAAAUAACCGGUUGAAUGCUUAUGUAGUUUUUAAGCCAACUGCUGGCAGACAUAAUACGUCCGGCUAGAUCACCGUCUAACAUAGAAGGACCAAUCUGUAUAGCUCUGUAAACAAAAUACAAUGGUAGAGAUGUCAAUUAUUAAGAAAAUCAACCGAAUGAUAUAUACAAAGGAAUAACAUACGUUCGUGUAUCUUGCCAGUCCUGCAUCUUCUUAAAAUCUGUAGGAUGCACAAACACCAAGCAGCGAUCAGGGAAAUUUUCGCCGUCUAGCUCUAUAUCUCGGUCAUCUAAUCGGACCGCUGGCUUCUUCAAUGAUUUUAGAAGUUCCAAUGAAUCUGUUGGCUUCUUCAAUGAUUUUGGAAGUUCCAACCAAUCCAAUGAAUCUUCGACUUUAGCUUGAGAAGGAUUCAAACCUUUCACAAAUGUUUCUAAUGGAAGGUUCUUCAUGCAACUUUCCAAAAACUCUUGUGUACCCAUACGAAGAUCACUAGCUGAUGAUUGAGUAACUUUUGCACGAGGUAAAUUGACACACGAAUCAGCAGUCUUUAACUCUUGGUUUUUUACAGCCUGUUGACAAACACGUACAAUUACAAAUUACACAUACAAAUUUCAUGUUCAAAAUAGAGAAUAGACAUAAACGCCAAGUUCGAAAUCCAUAAUAAACAUACAAACUUCCAAAUACAUAUUACAUUAAAUAUAGUCAUUACAUAAACGACAAGUUUCAAAUACAUAUUACCGCCUCAUUCCAAGUUCCAACAACCUAGCUUCAAAGACCUACAUUCCAUCGCCUAGUUCCAAGCUUUCAACAACUUUUAACUCUUUCUCUUAUUAGUUACCUUUUUCUUUGAUGGAGCAGUGCCUUUUUUGCUGGUGCUAGGACCACUGUUGAUUUUGGUCAUGCUAGGACCGCUUGCUUGAUCACUCUUUCCCACCAAUUCAGUCACCACUAAAGUUGUCCUGAGCUGUGUAACCUCAGCCUCAAUUUUCCCCAAUCUGUCGGUUACAACUGUCUCAAAUUGCUCAGUUCUCUCUGAAGCUGUCCUGAGUUGUGUAACCUCAGUCUCAAUCUUACCCAACCUGUCCGAGAACUGCUGACAGAAUUUCUCCCCAAAAGUAGUAAAAGAAGCUUGUACCAGAUCCUCCAAGAAGUUUUUCAUAUAUGUGUCAAUAUUCCCUUUUGAUGAAGCAGCUAGGUGGCACAAAACAUUCUUCUUCCUUGACUCUGCUCCUCGGUCUGCAUGCUUUCUCUUGUUUCUUCCCGAAACAUCAGCUGUGCCAUCAACAUUCCCUGCAACAUGACUAUUUUCACCUCUCUCAGUAUCAGCUGUUUGAUCCUCUCCUUUCUCUUCGCCAGAUUCCUCAAAUUCAGAGUUCGUAGCUUCUUUUACUCCCCAAACAUGAUUGUUCCAAUCAUGUUUACUAUUGAUCAUAUCCAAAAUGCGAUCUACUCUUUCAUCUUUCUUCUCAUCCUUCUGUACAAAAUCAGUUGCCAAAAGGACUACUCCAUCUAUGUUGGAUUCCAUGAAUGAAUGCAAAAUCCCCUACAAACAAUCAAAUCAUUAGUAAAGUGAACAAGACAAUAAAUAUUUUAAUUAGAAAAAUAUAUGCAUACAUUUUCUGGGAAUAAGUUCUCAACGCCAAUGAUAUCUUCAUAAGAACAUUUUGCACAUCCUCUCCAAUUACCACACAGUGGACCUGUAAAAUUUUUACUGACUUUUGUGCCACAAAUCUCUCCUAAAGCAGGAACAGCUUCCAUUAUCCAAAUUUGGAAACCAAACAAGAAUCCUUCCAUCAGAUACCCCUCUUUCUGCUCUAAUUUAUGCCUUGUUUUAUCAAUUUGCUUCAGAAGGAAAUCAAACGAAUACAGACCCCAUGGGUAAUUCCGAAGCUUCUCCAAAUCCAUCGCCAACUUCAUGUACAGAUGCGGGAUAUUCACCUUCUCAUCCUUCCCCAUCACCACACCCAUAAUAACGCAAAGAUAUAUCAGUCUCACCCUAUCAACCCAAGUCCAGGUAUUGCUCUCUUCCAAAUGCUUCUUUUUAAUGAUCUGCAAAUUUAUUUUUCCAUUUGUCUUUAUCUGCUUGCUCCAAAAACCAUCAUCAUCUUUCCAUGUCACUAACCCACUGUUAUUCUCUCGCUUCACUUUCAGACCAGUGACAGCAUGAUACUCUUGCAAUCCAAAACGCAGAGGUCUCCUAGCGAAAGUGAACCACUUCUCAUGUCUCUUGCUUGUCAUCAACUCCUUACACAAAAAAGAGUGUACCAACCUCGCCGAAAACUUCAGAUCAUUUUUUUUGUUCUGAAUAAUGAUCGGGAUCGAUCGAUCCACUAUACCUUGUAAAGUGGGAUCGAUCGAUCCCCCUUGUCGAACUCAAUAUAUAUCUUUUAAAAAAAUUACAAUUUUAAAGACAUUACUGCCAUUUUGGAAAAAAUUAGUCUAAUAGGACAUAAAGUAGUAUAGAUUAGUCUAAAGGGACAUAGUUACCAUUUUUUUGCUCUAAAAAAACAGAUUUCCCAAUUUAUAAUUCAAAGGUCGAAAUGAGUAAAGAAGUGUUGGAUUGAAAGAAUCCGGUAAAUGGAGUUCUGAUAAUCGAUUGUUUUGAGUGAGAAAACCUAAUUUCAUUUUCAUUGCCUUAAUGUUUGAGUGAUAAAAAAAAGGAAAAUUUGGAAAUAAGGAACAAAAAAACUUAGCUAUUGUCCCCUUAGAAUAAUUUUACUAAUCUUUGUCCUCUUAGUACAAACUAUAAGGAAAACUCACUUUAGUCCUUGGUGUUUACUAUUUAGAUUUAUAAAUAUAAUAAAAACAUAAGUACUAAUUAAAUAUAGUUAUAAUAUGAUAUUAGUAAGUUUUAGAGUAUAGUAAAAAGUAAAUAAAGUUAAAAAGGUCCAAAAUCCAAUCGUCUCCAACCCAGGCUCUCUGCGAACAUCACCAGGUAAACCCCCUUUUUUUUUUUGAACGACCAUCACCAGGUAAACCUAAACUCACUUAUGUUGCUGAUAGAUUUGUCUUUGUCUUAGAUUUAGUUCAUCAAUUGUUAACUAAAGGCUGAAGCUUUUAAUCUUAUAAAGCUCAACUCUUCCUCAAUUACCUGAUUUGAGUGCUUGAUUCAUGUGUUAAGGUUCAAGACAGAAGAGAAGAGUUAGAAGGAGAAGAUGUUGUACAUCAUAGGUUUAGGUUUAGGAGACGAAAGCGACAUAACCAUGAGAGGACUCGAGGCCGUCAAGAAAUCUCAGAAAAUAUACAUGGACAGGAAAAGUUUUAUGGGAAACCAAUCACACUUGCUGAUAGAGAGAUGGUUGAAGAAAGGUAGGGAUUAUGAUUGAAGAAGCCAUUGAUAAUGAUAUCGCUUUUCUCGUUGUUGGUGAAUCGGUGAUCCCUUUGGGUAAUGUUGAAUCUAGUUAGACGGUGUCGUUUAGUUAGUUAGAUACUGUCUGAAUUGUUUUGUUUUUGUGUGUUUUUUUGUUUGUUGCAGAGCUACAACGCAUAGCGAUCUUGUUGUUAGAGCUAAGAAACUCGGUGUAAACGUAGAGGUGGUGCACAACGCAUCUGUGAUGAACGAUGUUGGGAUUUGUCGUCUGCAGCUUUACCAUUACGGAGAGACGGUUUCGACCCCUUUCUUUACCGAGACUUGGAGACCUGAUAGCUUUUACGAGAAGAUCAAGAAGAACCGUGCUCUUGGACUGCACACGCUCUGCUUGCUUGAUAUCCGAGUGAAGGAGCCUACUUUCGAGUCUCUUUGCAGAGGAGGGAAGAAACAGUAUGAGCCGCCGAGGUAUAUGACUGUUAAUACGGCCAUCGAGCAGCUGCUGGAAGUUGAGCAGAAGCGUGGAGAUUCUGUGUACUCUGAAGAGACAGAGUGUGUGGGUUUUGCGAGGCUUGGCGCUGAGGACCAGAAGAUACUUUCGGGGACGAUGAAGCAAUUGGAGAGUGUUGAUUGUGGAGCACCGUUGCAUUGUCUUGUGAUAGUAGGCAAGACACAUCCCGUGGAAGAAGAGAUGUUGGAGUUUUACAAAUACGGAACUGCAAAUUAAAAGACCACAUGACUGAAGAAGGCUCAAGGGGGAGGCAGGAACGAUCAAGAUGUCUCUCCGAGUAAGAGAUUGAAACCAGGAACAUUUUUACGAGCUAUUUAUAUCUACUUUCAAUAAAGCUCUAGUGAGCCCAAUCUAGCUUGUUAAGGAUUUGCUUUCAGACUGUAUGUUUGUUUUCCCUUAAAACUGAGGAAAAAAAUUUAUUAUCCAACUUUGGUCUUGCUGAACACUACCACAAAUUUUAAAACCUGACUUUUCAACAAGAGUAUUCCUUUCCAAGUCAUUUUCAAAAUUUGAAAAAGAGAAAGAAACAAAGAAGACUAGGAUAAGGCGUAUGCGUACGUGAUGCACAUAUAAUGACGUAUGGUUACUUGCGUAACGGAGGCUGAUGGAUAGUGAAAUGCAUCACAACCCGUCCACUAUUCAGAAAAGACAUGGAAGAUUGUGUCUGGCUAAAAGUCCCUUGACUUUAAGCAGCUAAAUAUUAGCCAUACUUAUACUAGUUUACAUAUGACCUUACAAAACAGCCAAAAACUAAUGAUAAACAUUUAAAAAAGGAAAUAAAAAAAGAUUUAGGGAAUAUUUGGUAACCGUUUUUUUCCUGAAUUUUCGGAUUUUGUUUACAAAUCUAGUAGAACUUACUUUCUACCAAAGUUCGAAAAAAGAUGAAGUGGUAGAUGCAAAAAACUGAGAUCGUAGAUAAAGGAAAAGUGGGAAGAAAAUAUGUUCUGUCAGGACAGAUAUGAGAACUUUUAUUAUGUCGUAUAAUCUACCAAAUAUACAAAACAUAGAAGAAAAUGUAGAUUUGUUAUUCUGCUUUAGUAGGUCAAAAUGUUUUAGGUGUAUUGUGCCUUCUAUGUAUUGUAGAUCAUUUUGUCUUAGGUAGAAUGCAUAUUCUAAGUUGUCGAUGGUAGAUUUGAUAUUCUAACACAUUUAGUCCAUUUUUAAAGUUACUAUUCUAAAUAUUUUUUUAAUCCAAAAAUAUUUUUCAAAUAUGCACAUGUUUGAUAACCUCAUGUUUUAUAUUUUUAUUUAUUUUUUUGUAUUGUAAAUAUAUUGAUAUUAAUUUUUAUUUACAAGAAGAGUACUGAAAGUCCAAAAGUGACAAAUUUUAAUUUUGUAGUAAAGAGACGAUAGCUAAGUUUUUUUGUUCCUUAUUUCCAAAUUUCCCAUAAAAAAAUGAAUGGAAUGUCAUAGUCAGACAGAACAAUCGUCUUUUAAAAGUUUGGUACAAUACUUUUCAAAAAAAAAUUUGGUCUGGCUAAUCACUAAUCAAAUUUUAUGCUCUUUAAAAAACAGUUGCAAUGCUUUCAAUUUACUGAGUAAUUAUGUACGUACUAACCGAUCAAAUAUAACAUAUGUUUUAUAUAAUGAACAAUGUACUCCUUUUGUUUCAUAAUACAUAUUUUAUUUAAUGAAAAAAAUUAACAAAUUUAUUUUUCUUUAUAAAACAACUUUAAAAAUAGAAUUUAAAAAUCAUUCAACCAAUUAGGGAAAUGACUGAAAAAUCUAUUUGAUUAUCGAUUUUUAAUAAAAUUAAAGAUAAUAUAAAAAUAUUAAAAAGUGUUUUAUUUUGUAACAACAAAAAUCUUCUAAAACAUAUAUAUAUAUAUAUAUUUGAUAAAAUUUUAAAUUUAUUGAUCAAUCAUGAGAAAGAAUUACAUUUACAAAAAAAAUCAGGCUAUGAAGAAUAUACUGAAGUAAAAGAAAGAAUAAGAAAAACUAUAGAAAGACCACAUUCUGCCUAACCCGUGAGCUCAAACCAUCGUUGUAAAAGUCCAUCAAUUCUAUGCUGCAGACCAUACUUCAGCGACACUAUUCUGUUUCUCAUCGAUCUAUCAAUAACCUUUUGCAUAUGGUUUGUAGACGUCCAUUUGCACUGAUGCCGCAUGGAAUUUCUUUCUCUCCAAAUAUGAUAAAUGACUGUUUGGAAGAUCAGAUUUCUUAGAAUGGAGUCAAGUCUAUUUACCCUCUCGCGUUUGAUUGCAUUAAGCGUAAUAGACCAGUCAGGGUUAGUCCUUCGGCCAAAGAAUCCUCUCACCAGACCUUCCCAAACAGUGAAAGAGUAGGGACAUGCAAAGAAGAGAUGAUCUCUUGUCUCAUCCCUUUCUCCACACAGUCCACACUCCUGCGUAAUAUCCCAACUCCUCAUCCUGUCUCCAGUAGAAAGCCGGUUUUGUACUGCUAGCCAAGUGAUAAAGGCGUACCGAGGUGUGCUCUGUGCGAACCAGACGACCUUAUACCAAGCUACCUUCGGCUUCUUUGGCCUAAUAUGCUCCCAAGUGUUUGCAGUAGAGAACCUGUCUUGGAAAUCAUCCUCUCCUUGCUUCCAUAAAACCAGAUCAUCUCCCCUAUCUGCAUCAGGGACCGGCUUCGCGAGUAUCUGAUUGUAUAAAGACUGGAACUUCCUGCUGCGUUUAUUUCUCAGAAUCCAGCCAUCACUUGAGACCGCUUCACACACCAGUGCUCUGCGAGGAAGACCCAGAUACGUUGUGCCGAUGGCGCCUGUGACAUCAAUCAGUUUCCAUGCACCCAUCCAGUUAUCGAACCAGAAAUACGUAGUUGAUCCAUCUCGAACCUCUAUUUUCAUAAACUCAUAAGCCAAAUCCCUCAGCUUAAGUAACUUCCUCCAAAUCUAGGAUCCCUUAUUAUCAUCUCUCACAUCCCAAAAGAGCUUUGUCGAAGCAGAUAGUGUUUGAUCCAGCAAACCCAUAAGAAAUUUUGUUGAGUAAAGAGCCGCCAUAUAAGCCUCAAAGCAUAAACUUUAGAAGUAUCCCUCAGCCUCCUCACUCCAAGCCCUCCCUCUUCCUUGGGAUAACACACAUCUUCCCAACUCACCUUAGCCUUGUGGGGUUUGCGUUGGCGAUCCUGACCAAAGGAAGGCGCUGCACAUGCUUUCUUUUGUAUCCAGACACUUAGCUGGAAGGAUAAACGCAGAGCUCCAAAAGUUCACCAUGCUUACUAUAACCGAUUGAAUUAACUGGAGCCGACCGGCAAAGAACAAGCCCUUGUUAGAUCAGCAAAGCAUCUUCCUUCUGAUCUUGUCUAUCAAUAGCUCAUAGUCGUUAGCUGUUAAAGAUUUGGUGGUUAAAGGCAUACCUAAGUAUCGGAUAGGUAGGUUUCCUACUCCAAUUCCCAAAGCUUCCGCUUCAGUAAUCAUGGGCAUCUAAUCACUUCCUGCUACAAAAAUUUGAGACUUAGCUGCGUUUAAGUGGAGGCCCGACAUAUCUGCAAAUUCCUUCAGAACCUCUAUAACCCCAUUUACUGAAUCUAUGGUACCAUUAGUAAAGACCAGGAUGUCGUCAGCAAAACUAAAAUGAGUGACCCUGACUCCCUGACACUGAGGAUGAUAGGCGAACUUUCCAUCUUCGGCUGCUUGAUUUAGCAGUUUUUAAAGCACAUUACUAAGAAUGAUAUACAUAUAAGGCGACAACGAGCAUCCCUGCCUUAUCCCUCGUGCGCUGGUGAAGAAGCCUUCAAGACUUCCGUUUACUGAGACCGAAAAGGAUGUUGUAGAGAUGCACAGUCUUAUCCAGUUGACGAACUGUGAUGGUAGUCCCAUCGCUUGGAGUACCGAGUUAAUAAAGGACCACUUGUCUAUGUCGAACGCCUUAGAGAUGUGAAAUUUAAUAGCACAUCUUGCUGAGCAGGAAGCCUUGUGAUAUUCAUUUACCAACUCAGAAGCCAAGAGCACAUUUUCCAGCAGCAGCCUCUCUUUUAUAAAAGCGCUCUGAUUUGCCUCAAUAGCUCCGGGAAAUAUGAGCUUGAGCCUGUUAGCUAACACCUUCGAGAUGACCUUGUACAGUAGAUUACAGCACGCUAUGGGCCUGAAAGUCCUUCAUCUUCUCAGAAUUUUCAGUCUUCGGGAUCAGCGUUAGACUUGUUGCAUUGAUUCCGGUUGGAAGAAAACCAAAGAGGAAAAAUGAUUGAAUCGCCGUAAUAAAAUCCCUGCCAAUCACAUGCCAAGCCGCAACAUAGAAUUCUUUUGUGUAACUGUCGGGUUCAGACACUUUGCCGUUAGGUAGUGAGAACAGGGCAUCAUUUAUCUCACGUCCUGAGACAGGAGCAACCAGCUGUGCACAGACUCCUCCUGGGCAUCUAUACAUCAAAAUACCACGAAGCUCAUCGCCUGUAACCUCAACUCGAGUUACAUCUUGGGAUUGCAGGAAUCGUUGAAAGUGAGAAACCGCUUCUCUCUUAAUGUCGACAGCCGCCGUGAGAACUUCUCCAGUCUCUGUAGUGAGGCUUCUAAUGGCGUAUCUAGCAGUCCGAGUUUGAACGUAACGAUGAUAGAAGACUGUAUUUUGAUCUCCAGCUUGCAACCAUCUUAUACACGACUUCUGUAGCCAGAAUUUCUCCUCUAUUUUUGUGAGCUUGUGCCAACGAUCAGAAGCCGCGGACUCUUGGGCACAGUUUUCAGGACUAGGAUUCCCAAGCACUCUAUUCUGGCAUUCGUAGAGCUCCUCGUAAGCUUGUUUGGUUCUGUUUGGCAAAUCGCCAAGCCUGGAACGGUUCAGAGCUCUCAAAUUGAACUUAAGCAGCUUUAUAUUAUGGAACAAAUAGAGUAUAUUGUUUACAAUGUUUCACCCCGGGAAAAGCAUGGGUUUUUGUUGGUAUAAACAGGGUGAUAAAAAUUUUAAGCCCAAAUCGAUCAUGCUCAUCAUAAAUUCAAAAUAGGUUUCGGUCCACAGCUACAAUUACAAAUGUUCGGCCUAAUGUAUAGACGAUUAUCUAAAGAAAACAUAAUUGUAUACAUAUAAAUAAAUUAGAACACAUAUAUAUAUAUANNNNNNNNNNNNNNNNNNNNNNNNNNNNNNNNNNNNNNNNNNNNNNNNNNNNNNNNNNNNNNNNNNNNNNNNNNNNNNNNNNNNNNNNNNNNNNNNNNNNCAAAAUCUAACCCUAACAAUACAUACAAUACUACAACAUAUGUUUGCCAAACUCUUAAACCAAAGUAUUUCAUGAUUCACUACUUCCACUCAUCUAUCUUCAAAACAAAUCAAUUUUAUCAUAUCUUAAUUUAUAUCAGUUAAAACUGUUUAUAAUUACUUGAUUUUUAUUUUUUACGCAUCAAAAUAUUUUUUUACAAGAUUUAUAAAUUAUUUUUAAAAUAAACUGGUACCAGACGACUUACACUUCAGUCGUCCAGACGACUUCCAACAUCUCAGACGACUCAGACGAUUUACUGGGGCUAUAUUCGUAAAAAUGGCUUCUGUUUUUUUGUUUGGUCACAAGGGGCUGAGCUGUAAUUUCACUAGGCUUUUAGGUUAGUUUUGCAUUUGAUUCAAGUUUGGGUAUAGGUUUGGAAUUAAAAUCAAGUUGUGGGUUAGUUUUGGCAAAAACCCCUAAUAUAUAAUACAUACAAUUGGACUUGACUCUUUGUGACUUCAAUCUUAAUGUAUGUUCUAGUAUAUAUGUCAACUCCUAAAAUCUAGAAAAGAAAAAGCUGAGUAAUGUUACCAUAAUUCUGUUUGUUUUGAGUUUUUUUUUGUGUGAGUUAUAACUUAUAACAUGUUGACUAAAUUUCGGCAAUCUCUCUUUUCAGCGAAAAUUUCAUUAAUGCAUUUCAAUCAUCUUGUUAUUAUUUUAAUCAAAAAAAUUGUAUAAUGACAUCUUUUUUUUAUAUCCAAAAAUUUUGAUUUAGGAGAGUUAUUGAUUUGCACAACAUGUGAACCAAAGACUGAUGAUGAAAAUUCUGUCGAACCACCAUGUUUGUGCUAUAGGAGCAGGAGUAGUUGUGGUUAAUGACUUAUCUAGAAGUCGAUCUCGGAAUGUAUUUCUCUUUCUCUUUCUCAUGUUGUUCUUUCUUCUUUUUGAUUUUGCCGAAAAACCAAUCGCCGUUUCAAUGGUUGUUUUCACUCUUUGCUUCUCGCUGGAACAAACGACGGAGACGGAACCAGUUGGAAAAAAGGCGAACACGUGGUGGUAGGUAUCAUUUCCUUCUCACCUCUUUCUUCUUCGUGUCUUCUCUUCCUUUCUUUUUCCUUCUAUUCUAUUUCUCUCUUUUUUCUUAUCCUUCCAAAGAAAUCAUAACUUGUUUCAAAAUCAGUCAUCCUUGAAGCCAACUUUGACAUGAUGAUUUUGAAUACAGAGAGAACCUUAGAAGCCAAGAAAUACAAGACCGUUGCUUUUAUUAGUUUCAGAAGUAUCGACACUCUGCGUUUCAUUAGAUUGAGAACAAAUGGGCCUUUUACAGAUAAAUGGGCCAAUAACCUUUUUACGCCGCUUUAUUGCUACUUCUAUCAGCGUACUCUCUCUCAAUACCACUAUAAGUCGCAGUUUAAAUCUUCCAGUUUAGCUACCUACCAUACUGUAGAAUUCACAUUUAUUUUUAUUUUUUGAAUCUUGCGUUCCAUGUAUAUUUUUGACUCUGAUUAGACAGUUGAUAAAGAGCUAGGCUUUCGCAUUUUGUCGAAUAGAUUAUUUGAUGGGUCGAUUUUGUUUGAUAGAUACGCUAAUUUUAUGCAAAAUAUCACUUCCAAAAUCUGGUUAAUUACCAACUCUUAAGUGAGUUAUUGAUAAAUAGUAAAGUUGUCUAUUAAUGUCUCUGUUUCUCGUUAUGUUCAUGUAUAUUUCACAUCUUUAUUUAUUUUCCAAAGGAUUAAAAAGAUAGAGGCCAAGAUGGUUCGGACCCAUAAGAAUAAAGCUAUAGGUUUUCUCUUUUACAUAUAGACCAUCAGUUUUUUUUUGUUCAUUCAUUCUUCCAAGACGGAUAUAGCAUAAAUUAUAAAUUUAAUACUUGUGUAGUAAUUACAGUAGAUAAAUUUUUGAGCUUUUUAUGCCAAGCGGUAAACAGUUCGUCGUGUUGACAAAGCCCUAUUGACAUAUGAGGGCAUGGUAAUUUCCAAGUAUUGGGAGCAAUCUGGACAUUUUACUCUAGCCUAGCUCAACCACCGUUAGGAAAUCGCUUCGGGCCACGCCUAUUAGGCCUCCAAAAAUUUUGAAAAAGUUUAUAUACACAUAGGUGCCCAAAUUUGUAAGAAAAAAAUUUUAGACCUCCAAACUAUUGAAAUUUUUAUUAAAUCAUGUAAGGUCCCCAUCCCCAAAAUCCAAAAUCUGAGGCCUGCCCUGCUUCUAAUUUCGUUUUAAUAAGCAGAACAACUGACAGCUAAUUGAUUAUCUUUUACUUGAUGGCGCAGAGUAUCAUCUUGGUCAGCUCUAGGCAAAGAUUGCUAACCUCAGCCUCUAAAAGUAAUCCAGUCUCUUUGUAAAAUACUAGCCUAUCCAAUUAUUUCUAUCUAGCUGUUUGAGUAUUUUCUUACUAGGCCAGUCGUUAUAGUUUUUCCCUCGCUGUUUCUGAAUGGUUUACAUCUGAAAGAGACUCUGAUUGACUCCAUUGUUUUGUCACCUUAGCUUGUUUUUUUUUGCGGACUAAAAGUCUACUGUGGAAUUGUUGCUCUGUGACCAACUUGUACAUAUGUUAGAGUGAGGGCCACAUGCAAAUUCUGACUAAGGAACUUGAAGCAGUGGGCUUGCGGCUAAACAAAAAGCCUCCACAGGUAAAAGCUCCAUUGAGUAGGUCAAAUUAAAUAUGUAGCUACUUUUUUGUGGUUUAUUACGAUGUGUUCCACUGAGAAAUUUGGUUUCUUUGUCCCCGGAACUUGAUUUGCAUUUUUGCUUUGUUUUCUCUAUACAAUAGAUCUUCUUUAAAAAAUAAAAAGACUGGUGACAGGUGGUAUCUCUUUCAACACCACAGCACCUUUGACUCACAUUGAUGAGAAGCUCUGUUAUCAAAUCCUGUAUGAAUACAAAAUCCACAAUGGUGAGGUACGAUGUUCCAACUUUCAUCUUGUAUCCGUUCAGUCUCAGACAAGCUUCUCGAGGGUUUUGUUUGAGUGUUACAAGUAGAAUUCUGAAAUAUUUCAGACAGACGUCUAAUUGAAUUUGUUUCCUCGUUAAUUUUAUUAUGUGAUUCAGUUAGUGGCUAUAUCUAACGAACCAAAAAUGGCAGUUUUGUCUAUUGUUACACAAGGUUUCAGGGCAAAAGAUUUUGUAUAACUAUUUCAUUUGUAAAACUUGUUAUAUGAGUACACAAAUACAUGAAUUUGUCAAUAGUAAUGGUCCGAAGAUGGGAUCAGAUGUGACUCAAAGUCAGAGACUGACUUAUGCAAUAAUGAUUGCCUCUUUAUUUCAGGAAAACGGUAGUGGGCUUUUACUAAACUCCUCAACAGCCCAGAACAUUUCAAUCUCAAGGCCCACUAAAGGCCCAGAAUGUAGGAUGUAACAGAGUCCGGCGACUCGGCAGCAACCCUGGUUCUCUUUGAAAUUUUGAAUUAUAAUAAAGAAACCUGUUUAGAAUCUACGAAGAACCUCUUAGCAUAUAUUGUUAUCCUCUGUUAAUUGAUUCCAUAGGAUCGAAUCUCAGGGAAUGGGGAUCGCGUCAUCCAUCCAAUUUCCGCCGGCAAAACCGGAGCAAGAGAAACCGGAAGAUUUCAGUGAUUGGCCAUAUCUGUAACACCCGUAUUUUCCAAAAUAAAAUAAACAAAUAAAAUUCUGAAAUCUCCAUUUAUUACUUCUCAAAAGUCAACUCCAAAGUCGUAAAUCCAAUAAAUAGCCAUAAAUCCAAAUAACAUAAUAAAUCUCGAGAAUAUCGAUAAAAGCAUAAAAUCCGCAAGUUUGAAAAAGAAAGAAAUAAAACUCCCAAAGCACCAAUCCGAUAGCAAUCACUCAUGCUCGUCAGUCUCACCUGAAAGGGGGAAAGAAGGAGGGGUGAGUAACAGGGGAGUUACUCCGUGAGGUAUGGGAUGCUAAACCACAAACCACUGACUCAGUACAUAGCACUACGACUAUGUAGGCCUAGUUCUAGCAUAAAACAAACACAGUGUCUAAUACACCACAUAAAAACAUCAAAUGCGCUGAUAGUGCAUAACUAGAUCACACACCCCGCAUUCUCCUUAUACGGAUAUAAAUAUAUAACUCUAUGCGCCGCUAGUACAAGAGUCCAUCCUUGUACCCCGCAAUCACCUAUGCGCCGCUAGUACAAACGUCUUUGUACCCCGCAAUCCCUCAUACAAUGCGCCGCUAGCAUAGACGUCCAUAUGCCCCGCAAUCUCCAUACAAUGCGCCGCUAACACAAACGUCUCUGUGUCCCGCAAUCUCCACACAAUGCGCCGUUAGCACAACAUCUUUGUGCCCCGCAAUCUCAUAACAGACUUAUGUAUAUACAUAUAUAAAUAACAGUUCUUAAUUCAUUCAAUUCAGUCAACCGUUGAAUCCUCUAUUAUCCUAUUUCCGGUUUAACAAUCAAUAGUAAUAAUAAACAAACAAGACUCUCAAACAGACUCAAUUCACAGAGACGGAUCAUGUUUCGAAACUAAACUUUCCAUAAUAGUAGUACUAAACUAGCUCGGGAUUUAAUGGGAUAGCCCUCACCUUAGCCACAGGCUGAAAUGAACAACGGAAGAUGCGGUCAGCUGAGGUCAACUGCAACACGAGAAUCAACGACUUAAGCUCAGCUUCUCUGGAAAUAAGUUUCCUAAAAUGGAAACUUUCCUAAAAUGAAACCUCUCCUAAAAUAGAAACUUUCCUAAAAUAGCAACUUUCCUAAAAUGGCAACUUUCCUAAAAUAGAAACUUUCCUAAUAUAACUUAUUUCCUAAAUUAGAAACUUUCCUAAAAUAUUCCUAUAACUAGAAAUAAGGAGGCAACAAACUUACUAGAAAACCCGCCGGAAGCUCGUCUAGAAAUCUCACCGGAAGCUCGUCCAGAAAUCUCGCCGGAAGCUCACCCGGAAAUCCCACCGGAAAAUUCACUAGUGACUGGUCGUCGAAUAAUUCAACAACAACUCGUCACACGCAAAGAAAUACUUUGACUUGAUGAGAAUAAAGAGAAAGGAUGGAGUUUCUUAUAUAGGAGAAGGGAAGGGAGGUAGGUUUUCUAAACAUCCAAUGUGGGACAAAGUAAAAAGAGAGAAUUAGACUUUAAUUUUUAAUAAAGGCCAAACUGGCCCACCAGAAAAAUCUGGGUCGUUACAAUAUCCGAUGACAGCUAAUGCAGAGUUGUUGAUAAAGAACAUCAAUGGCUUGUUCCCACCGAGAGCGGGAGAAUCAUCAACUGAUGAAGCCGUAGAAGCUAGGUAUUUCGAGUUCUUGAGAGGAGGCUGUUGCAAAGAUGUGGUUAAGGCUCUGGAAGAUUGUGAAGGACCUCGUAGCACUAAGUGUAAGCAAAUCGCUGGGAUGCUGUUCAAUUGUAUGUAUUCUCACCCUGAUUACUAUCAACCGGUUAUUGCUGUGUUUGAAGCUUCUGUCGAACAGUUAGACAAGGACCUUAAGGUCUUUCGUGCAAAGAAACAAAGAGAGGAGAGCUUUGAGAAAGCUAAUCUCUUUAAGGGCUUUAAGAGAUUCUAGGGGAUGUUUUUUUCUUCUUCUUAAUAUUGGAUUUCAAUACUUGUUUUGUUUGUUAAUAUUGCUUCAGAAACAUAACAGCUUAACCAGAGAUCAAUUAAGCUCAAACCAAAACAUUAAUCAACUUUGUCAUUCUUAUCAGCCUCCAUACAUGGCCAUAUGAUAUUGUUUACCCUUUUUAAUGUAUAUUUGACCUUAUCUACUAACACAUCAACUCCAAGAAAACCAUCUAUAAGAAGAAAAAACUAUGGACUUUCAUUUGUAACUGUCUAUAUGAGAACGUAGCUGGCGCUUUUGUAUUGAAGGGCCUUUUAGUAGUGUGUCAUAUGUACAUGUGAGGACCGGAUGGCUGCGAAACCAAUUUCUCUUAACUUGGUGAUGGUCUUAAGAGAUGUGGGUUCACCAUCACUUGUCUAAUAGUUUCCUUGGAAUUGCUUGCAUUCGUCUCCUGUUUUUAGGAUUCCACUAGAGCACCCAUCUGGUGACCCAAAAAUUGAAAAAGAUCCACAAAUUUGAAUGUACAGAGAAUGAUGUAUGGAUAUAAUUAACUUGUGAGAGCUAAUGGAGAAUUGUUGAUAAAGAACAUGCAUGGCCUAUUCGCGGGAGAAUCAUCAACUGAUGAAGAAGCCGCAGAAGCUAGGUAUUUCGAGUUCAUGAGAAGAGGCGGCUGCAAAGAUGUUGUUAAAGCUCUGGAGCAUUUUGAAGGACCUCGUAGCACCAAGUGUAAGCAAAUCAUGGGGAUGCUGUUCAAUUGCAUGUAUUCUCACCCUGAUUACUAUCAGCCGGUUAUCGCUGAGUUUGAAGUGUUUUACAAACUGUAAGACAAGGACCUCGAGGUCUUUCGUGCGAAUAAAACAAAGAGAUGAGAGCUUUGAGAAAGCUCAGCUUUUUAAGGGCUUUAAGAGAUUCUAGGGGAUAUUUUUUUAAAUAAUGGAUUUCAAUAGUAGCAUAAUAGUUUUCUUUGUUAAUUUUGUUGAUGCCCAUGAAUGUUCUUUAGCUAUUUCCUCACUUGAAUAUGAUAUGUUGCUUCUGAAACAUAAAAGGUUUAGACCUUUAUUAAUAAUUUACAUCUUUGUUCUUUCACUUUGUGCUUAAGAUUUAUACUAGAAUUUGUUUUACCACUACAGUUUGAUGUGACUAACCCAAAAUUAUUUCAUAUCACAUUUUGUGAAACAUUAGUCAACUUUGUCAAUCUUAUCAGCCUCCAUAAAUGACCAUAUUGUUAUGAAAAUAACUGAAAUUUUAUUAUAUCGCGAGAAUUUGAAUAAGGGCAAAAUUUAUACCCGUAGAAUUUUUAACACUGAUAGAAAGAGUUUAUUAUAGAGAGAAGAGAAGGUUGAGGGAUGAUCUUCUAAACGAUCGAAAUCGAUCGUUUAUAUAGAGAAAAAAUCUACUGUGCAAAUAGUGCAGCGGGCCCCAUAUCUUUUUAUAUUUCAAACAUUACUGCUCCUCCUUUUGACUUUUGUAACACUCCCCCUUGGGGGCCGGUGUCACUAUCCGCUCUCGCUUAACGUCUUUGUUGCCUCGUUAAAAACCUUUCCAGGAAAACCCAAUGGGAAAAACCAUAGUAAGGUAAAAAGAGUACAACCACGUAAGAUCCCCCUCGAAUGAACAGUCAUAGAUCCUUCUGAUGGCGCAUCCCAAUGUUAUGGAUGUGUUUCCUGAAUACCGAGGUAGGGAGUGAUUUUGUGAAGAGGUCGGCUGCAUUGUCGCAUGAUCGAACAUAUCUUACUUCAAUCUCUUUAUUCUUCUCGAGCUCUUGGGUGUAUGAGAAGAACUUCGGAGGUAUAUGUUUGGUUCUAUCGCUUUUGAUAUAUCCUUCCUUCGUUUGAGCAACACAUGCCGCGUUAUCUUCAUAUAGAAUAGUUGGCUCCGUAUUUUCGUCAAUCCCNNNNNNNNNNNNNNNNNNNNNNNNNNNNNNNNNNNNNNNNNNNNNNNNNNNNNNNNNNNNNNNNNNNNNNNNNNNNNNNNNNNNNNNNNNNNNNNNNNNNNNNNNNNNNNNNNNNNNNNNNNNNNNNNNNNNNNNNNNNNNNNNNNNNNNNNNNNNNNNNNNNNNNNNNNNNNNNNNNNNNNNNNNNNNNNNNNNNNNNNNNNNNNNNNNNNNNNNNNNNNNNNNNNNNNNNNNNNNNNNNNNNNNNNNNNNNNNNNNNNNNNNNNNNNNNNNNNNNNNNNNNNNNNNNNNNNNNNNNNNNNNNNNNNNNNNNNNNNNNNNNNNNNNNNNNNNNNNNNNNNNNNNNNNNNNNNNNNNNNNNNNNNNNNNNNNNNNNNNNNNNNNNNNNNNNNNNNNNNNNNNNNNNNNNNNNNNNNNNNNNNNNNNNNNNNNNNNNNNNNNNNNNNNNNNNNNNNNNNNNNNNNNNNNNNNNNNNNNNNNNNNNNNNNNNNNNNNNNNNNNNNNNNNNNNNNNNNNNNNNNNNNNNNNNNNNNNNNNNNNNNNNNNNNNNNNNNNNNNNNNNNNNNNNNNNNNNNNNNNNNNNNNNNNNNNNNNNNNNNNNNNNNNNNNNNNNNNNNNNNNNNNNNNNCUUCCGAUCUUGUACUGAUGGUUCUUGAUGCCUCAAAGGUGAGUUACGGUGUGGCUGCCCUUGUGAAUUGUUAUUUUGUUGUCAUGCUGCACUCAUUUAGUAACCUUAUAAUUUACUCUUCAAAACAAUGUUAGAGUGAAGGCCACAGGCAAAUUCUGACUAAGGAACUUGAAGCAGUGGGUUUGCGGCUAAACAAAAAGCCUCCACAGGUAAAGCUCCAUUGAGAAACUUGGCAAAUUAAAUAUGUAGCUAUAUUUUUUUUGUGGUUUAUUGAGAAACUUGGUUUCUUUGUCCCCAGAACUAUAUUUGCUUUGUUUUCUCUGUACAAUAGAUCUACUUUAAAAAGAAAAAGACUGGUGGAAUCUCUUUCAACACUACAGCACCCUUGACUCUGCUAUCAGAUCCUGCAUGAAUACAAAAUCCACAAUGCUGAGGUACGAGGUUCCAACUUUCAUCUUCUUUGAAUACAGGCUGGUGGCUUUUCAUGUCUUGUUUUGUUUGAGUGUUACAAGCAAAAUUCUGAAAUGCUUCAGACAUCUGUCGGUUUAUUUGAAGCCUUUCUAUAUGUUAAGUAGAAAUGAAUAUUUCAGACUUUCACAUUUGUCAAUUUUUUUAAAGCCUUCUAAUGGUAGUUUUUUUUUUGCCUUCGCUGAUAAACGUCUAAAUGAAUUUAGUGGUGCGUAUUGCAGGUCCUAUUUCGUGAGAAUGCCACAGUGGAUGACUUCAUCGAUGUCAUUGAAGGCAACCGCAAAUAUAUUAAGUGUGUUUACGUCUACAACAAAAUAGAUGUUGGAAUUGAUGAUGUGGAUAGACUAGCACGCCAGCCAAAUUCCAUUGUUAUUAGCUGCAAUCUUAAGGCAAGUUAGUCUUUUGGUCUGCAAGGAUGGCAAAUGCUAAAACUUCACUUUGGUCCUGUUUUGUUUUCCUUUUGCAUUGUGAUCCCUCACUGGUCUAACGGUGAAUGACUGUUGCUUGAAACAGCUGAACUUAGACAGACUACUUGCAAGGAUGUGGGACGAAAUGGGCCUUGUGAGAGUUUACUCGAAGCCUCAAGGCCAGCAACCUGAUUUCGAUGAGCCUUUUGUCCUCUCAUCUGUAAGUGUGUUUCUUUUUUCCCCUCAUUGCAUGAUAACCUUUCAAACUUGUCCAUAUCUGAUUUAUAUAUCUUUGUUGCUCGUCUGAUUCAACAGGAUCGAGGUGGCUGCACGGUUGAAGACUUCUGUAACCACGUCCACAGAACUCUGGUGAAGGAUAUGAAGUAUGCCCUUGUGUGGGGCACGAGCGCUAGGCACAAUCCUCAAAAUUGUGGUCUUUCUCAGCAUCUUGAAGACGAAGAUGUUGUUCAGGUUGUCAAGAAAAAGGUACAUAAAACGGAAAUAUUCCUAUCAACAUAGACUAAUGACUCAAGUUUAUAUAAUAUAAAUCUCUUAACCAUGAUGAUAUAAAUCUCCUAACCAUGAUGAUGAGACUAUCUAAACUAAACGUAUACUGUUGAUUCUGGAAUCUGUAGGAGAGAGACGAAGGAGGAAGAGGCAGGUUCAAGUCACACUCUAAUGCCCCUGCUAGAAUUGCAGACAGAGAGAAGAAAGCUCCUCUUAAGCAAUAAACUCAGCUGAUGAGUGAUCCCAAUACACACAUCUUCACCAUUGUUGGUCAUGGAUGGUUUUAGCUGAGUAGGAUGUACUAUGCUGUAUCUGAAUCAUUGUUGCCUUCUCUCGCAAUAUAAGUUUUCGAACCAUUUUACUUUUUGAAGAAUUACAAAUUUACAACAAGUUCCUUUGUACCCUUUUUCACAAAUUAUGUUUUUGAUUUUUGAAAAGUCUGCCUAGAGAAAUGUAAUGAAAUACUCUCUGUUUUUGAAGAACCAUACUUUUCUAGAAAAAGACGCAUGAUUUCAGAUGAAGUCUUACACUAACUGAUGUACAUGAUCUUUGUUUGUAUGAUAUUCUGGGUUAUUUUUGUUUGUAUCAGAAAACAGAACUAUAAAUAGAUUUUGUGUAUCAAAAAAAAAAAGAUUUUGUGUAUAUUUAGGAAGGAUUGCAACAACAAAAAGUGUGUCACAAAACAACCACUGGGGUUUGAUGUCAGAACAGUGAGAAAAAUCUCAGAGCGGAACAAAAAAAACAAAACACACUUUUCGUUGUUCUGACAUCAAACCUCAAAGGUUGUUUUGUGACAGAAACAUGCAGAAAAUGUUUAGUGAAUCAAAAAAUUUAAACUACUUGAGUCACAAUCUUACACUAGGAAAGAAAUUUAAAUGUUAUUUUUUGUCAAAACAAUUUGGUAUAGGAAAAAGAAACAAGAGAAUGCAACCAAAUAGCCUAUUGCUACUAGUAUAUAUACCACAACAGAGUGAUGAACUCCAAAGAGAACUCUAUGCUUCUUCUUCUGUUCUGUCAACCCUCAAUUCAAAGCCACAAUCUUCCCCUCAGAACCUGUCAACAAAACAAAUCUUUAAAACAUCAGACGCCCAAAGACCUUGUAAGAUUUUUAGAGAAAGAAGAACACUGAGAAUAGAGGUGUUAGUUAUUUACAUUCUUUGUGCAACUCUUCUGCCAACAGUAGAAUCAACUCCGCUUGUUCCGCCAGCUCUAUCAUCCUAUCCCUUUCUUCAACAGCUGCAUUGAGCAGCUCUAAUUUUUCGUCCACCUCCACGAACUUAAACGCUGCGGUUCCUGCAGCGUGAUCAACCUUCUCCUGCGAAACCGUGAGUCCUUGACUGUUCGCCUGCCGAGGUUUCACAUUCACCUCUUUUGGCCUCGCUACAACUGGCGUUCUCAUCGCCAUGAAGCUGUGAUUAUUCAUCUUGUAGAAGUUCUGCGUCUGUCGUGUGUAUUGUCGCAUUGUUGAAGAACCAAACACACAGAAAAGGCAAACAGAAAUCAACACAGAUGGAAAGGAAGCUCUUGUUCAAAGCAAGGCUUUCAAGACUUACUCCUGAUUUUAACUGGCUAACCUUUUCAAGUUUGCCCUGAGAAGCAAGCCUCCUCAAUCUUGAACCCAGGAUCCUUUUAAAGUUCGGUGGCACUUCAUGUCCUUUUUGCUAUACACACAUAACAGACCAUUAUCAGGAGCUUGAUCGUUACAUCAGUACAGCUUAGCUGCUAUGACAAUAACAACGAAUAACCUAAUGGAGCUAUGAUAAUCUUUUCUAAGAUAAUCAUAAUGGAAUGCAAUAACUAAGACCAAACUAUAACAACAAAGAACAGUUAACUAGUUAUAUAAUUCCUUUCUUAAGAUGAGAGUGAAGGAUUGGUUUUAGCUACCUUUACAAAUCAAAAGAUUUAAACUACUUAGUCAACUAUAGUCAGUGACAAAUGCAGGAUAAAGGGAAAGGUAAAAUAUGACUAACCACGAUGAAGUUGUAAAUUGCAGUGACAUCAGAUCCAUUAGCAUCCGUCAACGAUGAAAGAGCUUCGAAUAUCAUCCCAUCAUACCUUAAUAAAAAAAUAUUGGCUCAUCGGAAGCGUCACAAUGCAAGUAGACUAGCAAUAUACAGCACUUGAGAAUCAACAGAGGAUUAAGUGGGGUGGCUCGGAAAAAACAACAAACCUGGGAGCAUUCUUUGCAUCAACCAUAAAGUUACAACUGUCAUCAAUGCUCAAAUCAGAUCCACUACGAGGAAGGGGAGGAACUGGAGAAUGGUUGGAACUAGGAGAUGGAGUACUGGCAGCUGCAACCGCCGCCAGCUGAAAGGCAGCAGCUUUGAUCUUUGGUGUCCGUACCUUAUCCUUUGAGCCUUGAAUAUCAGGGGCAACACUUAAAUUACGCCAUUUAUCCUACAAAACAAUGAAACAUCGAAUAUUUAAGAUUCUUGGCUAUAAGUUACCAAAUAAUGGAGACACAUACAACACUAGUAACAUUCAAAUCAGAAAAAUUCCCUCUCAAAAUUCAACCACAACAAGGUCUGAUGAUUUGUUCCCCUCUCUGUUUAUCAGAUAUCAAACAAUUUCUAUGACAUAAGAGUCAACCUUCGCCAUAGGCAACCAAGAAACAGAGCAGACAAUAAACUAUAAUUAUGACUUAAAACCAUGGCUAGAUUUAAGACUAACGCAUUGCAGCAUUACUUGCACUAGAUAGUGUCAGAGACUGCCAUUAUAGUGUCAAUCUCAAGUAAGUUCAAGACCUUCUCUAAGGACAGCAGAAAGAUCAAUUGCCAGGCAGCCAGCAUAGACAACCAAAAUAUAUAAUCAGACACACUUAACGAAUCUCAGACGCUACAGACGAAACAGAGCAGCCAAUAAACUCAAAUUAAGAAAACUCUUAAAAGUUUUAAUCUUUUCAACAGAUAUCAACAAAGCCACUAAAUUUAAAUUCUCAGACCAAACAUCAGAGAACUAACACUUACAAAUUUUCUAUUACCGAUGUCUCAAGAACUCGAUGAAAUUAACUUUUUUCUAUGUAAGUGAUUGAGGAGAAGAAGAAAAGUGAAGACCUUUAAGUCAAUAUUGGAGCGAUUAGAGAGCUGACCAGCAAACUCAGGAUCUCGGAGAAUAUUCUUCCACUUCCCGGGACCAUGCUUCCUAACACCUGCGAGCAACGCCUCUUCCUCCUCCUCCGUCCACUUAAGCUUCUGGUUUCCCAUCGAAUCAGCGACUCAUCCGCCGACCUUUCUCCUCAAAAGCUCCCUUCCUUUGUGUUCCCAGAAUAUUUUCCAAAAAUCCAAACAAAAUCGCGACUUUUACAAAAACGGGGGUCUUAUGGUAAGCUUUCCAAUUUAAGAAGCAUAUCGUAUAAAGAUCUGAAAACCACAGGUCAAAAAAGGAAAUAAUCAAAAAUGUAAAAGAUUUUGGGUUUAAUUGAUCAUAAAUAAAACAUCAGGGGUCAAAUUCGAAUUAAACACAAAGUGUUAAAAAACCCUACAAAAAUUCAUAAACCCUGUAGCUACACUACAGAUCAUAAACCCUUAACACAAUGGCGACGACCGAUCACACCUCCUCCGACGAAAGCUCCCGCCUUUACCAUCCUUACCAGCACUUCAACGUCCCGAUCAACGCUCAGCACCUCUACAAGCUCCCCACCUCCCCCGAGUACCUCUUCACCGAAGAGUCCCUCAAAAAGCGCCGAUCUUGGGGGGAGAAUCUCACCUUCUACACGGGCACGGGCUACCUCGGCGGAUCCCUAGCCGGAGCCGCUUCCGGGUUCUUCUCCGGCGUCAGGAGCUUCGAGUACGGAGACACGGCGAAGCUGAAGGUGAACAGGAUCCUGAACUCGUCUGGCCACGCGGGACGCUCGUUGGGGUGUAGGAUUGGUGUUGUGGGUUUGAUCUACGCCGGGAUUGAGAGUGGAGUCGUGGCGUAUACGGAUAGGGAUGACGCGUGGACGAAGGUGGUGGCGGGGUUUGGAACUGGGGCGGUGUUUAGGGCGGCGCGUGGGGUGAGAGCUGCGGCUGUGGCGGGUGUGCUUGGAGGGAUGGCGUCUGGUGCGUUUGUGGCGGGGAAGAGGGUUUUGAAGCGUUAUGCUUACAUAUGAGUGAUGUUGGUCAUUGUGGGGAUGAUAAAAAUCAUAGCUUUUUGUUUCUAGCGUAGUAGCUCUCUUAUAGCUGGGAAAAGUUCUUUUAUAUAUUAUACAAUGACAAGGUUGGUUUUUAUAGCUGGGACUUCGUUAUGGUCUUGAAACGUGAGAGUAUCACACAUCUUAUUAUCUGAAUCCUAGUUGAAUUCAUUUUUUUACCUUUCUUACUUUGUCUUCUCUGUAGUUUCUUGAGGUAGUGACUUCCAUAACAUGUUUCAUGAUAUAAUGUUGGAUCUGUUGUGAACUUUUGCUUUGUCUCACAAGACUCAAGUAUGUCUCUAAGCUAGUGUUGUCUCGAAUUGACAAAUUGCCUUGUCAGCUAACAUUACUCAUAUAGCUCCAUCAAUUUUUAUUUCUUUGUGCGCAACUGUUUACACCUUUGCAACUAUCUUCUCAAAUAAUUUCCAAUUUAAAGCAAUUUUUAGUAUGCAGUUGCUCAAUAAGAUUUUUAUGUGCCACAGAAUAAAUGUUCUUUGCACAAAGGUGACUUGGUUUUGCAAGGACUAGACAGCUCUUCUGUAAUGAAAGUGAUUUUUUUUUUCAUGAGACCAAAGAAUAAAGUGUUUCAUAUACAAUAAAUAGGAACUUCGACACUAUGAGAGAUCAACAAUGAACUUUUUGGUGGAGCACAAUCAGAGAUAGCCAACGUCGCUUCACUUUGAUCUAAAGUCGAAGUUCCAAUUGUUGGUGUCAGUAUGCAUCCUCUGUCUACAUUGCAGAAUAAAAUGAUUGAAAUAAACACUCAUGAAUCAAAUAUUGGAGAUCAGUUACUUCAGGUUCUAAGAAACCAACCUGAGAGGAAGAAGAUAUUGGGGAACGAGGAACUGAAUUGUGAGCACGUGACACAGAAGAUGUCCUACCAGAGCUAUGUACUUCAUGAUCCCCCGUUGCAAACUCUCUUAGCUUGCUCAGUGCAGGCAACAGAACGGUAGCAAGAUCAGGUCUGUCCUUUUUCCGCAACUCGCAGCACUGCAAAGCCAGUUGAGCUAGCACCAGCGUCUCUUCUUCAGGCCAGUCUGAUAUUCUGGGAUCCAGAACUUCUCUGAGUCUAUUUUUCUCGAUCCCUUGCUCUACUCUAUGGCUUAAUCCCAUUGCUGGCAUCGCUGUGAGGAUUUGCAGAAGCACCACACCGAAUGAGUACAAGUCUGACUUCACUCCAAGCAUUCCCGUUUGCUGGUACUCAGGGUCAAUGUAACAGAACGUACCUGUUUCAACAAUUUGUUAAGGAUAUGCAAAGAUUAAAGUAGGGCUGGGAUUUUUAGCUGAACAUAACCCGCGAACCGAACCAAAAUUUCGGUUAUUUGGUGAUAAUGUCAGUUCGAUUCAGCAGGUUUAUAAAAAAAAUCGGUUUUGGCAAGUGGUUAGUUUAAUUUUCAAAAAAAAAAUUGUUAACCAAAUUUUGAGUCGAACUAAUCGAAAUUACCCAAAAUUUUGAACCGAACUAACUGAAUUAACUAAAAUUUUGAAUCGAAUUACCGAACUAACCAAAAUUACCCGUAUUUAACCGACUUUACCCAAAUCUUUAACCAAAAUAUAAUCAAAACUUUGGUUAGUUUUUUGGUAAAAAAUUUAAAAACCGAACUACCCGGAUACCGAACUAAACUUUUUUACGGUUCAAUUUGGCAAGAUUUUAGUAGAACAUAACUACUAGAAAAACGAACUACCCAAACCCAAACCGAAUUACCCGAACUACCCGAACCAACAGGCCUAGUUUAAAGGUAGAAUGAAAAUACUAACCGGCUGCAGCAGUCAUGUGGUAAUGGGUGAAGCUAUCAGCAACAGCAGGAGGCACCAACCGAGCCAAACCAACGUCACUGAUUUUGCUAAUCAUAUGCCCGUCUAGAAGAAUGUUUGCCGGCUUCAAAUCUCGAUGCACCAGCGGCUCAGGUUUAGCCUGGUGAAGGAAUAAAAGUCCCGUGGCAAUCUCAGCAGCGAUCCUGAACCGUGCUCUCCAAGACAACGGUGGAGUAUUGUCUUUACAGAAUAGCCGGUCUUCUAACGUUCCGUUCUCCAUAUACUCAUACACAAGGCAACCAUACUCGGGACAAGCACCGAGGAGGAUCACCAUGUUAGGGUGUCUCAUGCAGCUUAAAACCUCAACCUCUUGUUGGAACUGCUUAAGGCCUUGUGAGACGUCUGACUUCAAGAUUUUGAUGGCCACGGAAGUGUUUUCAAGAACGGCUUUGAACACGGGUCCGUACCCUCCUUCCCCGAUCUUUAGAGCGUCUGAGAAGCCGUCGGUCGCGUCUUCGACGUCUUUGAUGCUGUACCGUCUGUAGGAUACGGUGUUGGACAUGUUCUGUUCGUUGAACUUGGCUUGCAUCUCCACGAGUCUUCUCUUCUGCUUCUCUAUUUCAGCAAGACGAUGUGCCGCUUCGUUUGCGUGGAUGGCACUCUGUGUUUUCUGCUUAUCCAUCUCAGAUAAUUCCCUAAGCAUCUCUCUUGCUACCUUUGUUUCCUCCAGCUUUUCGGAUUCGUGGGCAGCUUGAUGAUGAGGGGCCUACAAGCAUUUCAUACCGUGUAUGGUAUAUUAGUCAUAGUCAUAUACAGUAAAAAUGUAGGGAAUGUGACAUUUUAUUAAUUUAUAAAAUUAUUAAUUUACAAAAGGUUUUUUUUUAUAGAUUUUCUAUUUUAAAGUAUAUUUUUAUAUAAAAUAAGAAAUAUUUAGUUCUACAAAAUUAUUAUCUUAUUAUUUUAUCGAUUUUUGUAUUUUGAACCGAUACAACUAAAAAAUUUAUUAAUUUAUAGUGUAUAUUAAUUUAUCGAGUAUCAAUCUAUAGAUUUUUACUGUAUCUAUGGAAUGUUGUCGGUUGUCUACAUGGAAGUAAGUAUCUUACAGUGUCUCUCCCCAUGGUUGCAUUAAAAUGUUGCAGUUCGAGUCUCAAUCUUCUCACCUCUAGUUCAAGAUUUUGAUUCUGAGCAUAUUGAAGAACAUUAGAACACAAACAUGUCAGCACUUUACAUUCUGAAAACACCAAGUCUACUUUUCUGAAACGUUCUUUUACCUCUUGUUCAGUGAUGUUACCCCCAGAUAGGCCUUCUUCGUCUCCAUCGGUUAUAUCAUACUAGAAAUACUAACCGGCUGCAGCAGUCAUGUGGUAAUGGGUGAAGCUAUCAGCAACAGCAGGAGGCACCAACCGAGCCAAACCAACGUCACUGAUCUUGCUAAUCAUAUGCCCGUCUAGAAGAAUGUUUGCCGGCUUCAAAUCUCGAUGCACCAGCGGCUCAGGUUUAGCCUGGUGAAGGAAUAAAAGUCCCGUGGCAAUCUCAGCAGCGAUCCUGAACCGUGCUCUCCAAGACAACGGUGGAGUAUUGUCUUUACAGAAUAGCCGGUCUUCUAACGUUCCGUUCUCCAUAUACUCAUACACAAGGCAACCAUACUCGGGACAAGCACCGAGGAGGAUCACCAUGUUAGGGUGUCUCAUGCAGCUUAAAACCUCAACCUCUUGUUGGAACUGCUUAAGGCCUUGUGAGACGUCUGACUUCAAGAUUUUGAUGGCCACGGAAGUGUUUUCAAGAACGGCUUUGAACACGGGUCCGUACCCUCCUUCCCCGAUCUUUAGAGCGUCUGAGAAGCCGUCGGUCGCGUCUUCGACGUCUUUGAUGCUGUACCGUCUGUAGGAUACGGUGUUGGACAUGUUCUGUUCGUUGAACUUGGCUUGCAUCUCCACAAGUCUUCUCUUCUGCUUCUCGAUUUCCGCAAGACGAUGUGCCGCUUCGUUUGCGUGGAUGGCACUCUGUGUUUUCUGCUUAUCCAUCUCAGAUAAUUCCCUAAGCAUCUCUCUUGCUACCUUUGUUUCCUCCAGCUUUUCGGAUUCGGGGGCAACUUGAUGAUGAGGGGCCUACAAGCAUUUCAUACCGUGUAUGGUAUAUUAGUCAUAGUCAUAUACAGUAAAAAUGUAGGGAAUGUGACAUUUUAUUAAUUUAUAAAAUUAUUAAUUUACAAAAGGUUUUUUUUUAGAUUUUUCUAUUUUAAAAUAUAUUUUUAUACAAAAUAAGAAAAUUAUUAAUUCUACAAAAUUAUUAUCUUAUUAUUUUAUCGAUUUGUUUCAUAUUUUGAACCGGCUCAACCAAGAACAUGAAGAAUAUAUUAAUUUAUAGUGUAUAUUAAUUUAUCGAGUAUUAAUCUAUAGAUUUUUACUGUAUCUGUAGAAUGUUGUCGGUUGUCUACAUGGAAGUAAGUAUCUUACAGUGUCUCUCCCCAUGGUUGCAUUAAAAUGUUGCAGUUCGAGUCUCAAUCUUCUCACCUCUAGUUCAAGAUUUUGAUUCUGAGCAUAUUGAAGAACAUUAGAACACAAACAUCUCAGCACUUUACAUUCUGAAAAUACCAAGUCUACUUUUCUGAAACGUUCUUUUACCUCUUGUUCAGUGAUGUUACCCCCAGAUAGGCCUUCUUCGUCUCCAUCGGUUAUAUCAUACUACAUAUUUUGAAAGAAAAUGUUAAGAAAACGUCAGGCAACUUUGGAGGCAGUAACGUGGUUGAGAAUACUACUAACCAUGGAUGUGGAAGAGUGGGAGCUUCCUCCAUAGGUGGAUCGUCCUAGGAUGCUGUAGAAACUCGCAUUCGAUUCAACACUGUGACGGUUGGAAGACAAUUCAUUGCUUAACUCUCCUGGAGAACUCAUAUUAAGACAAGGCUUGUAAUGACGUGUAGGUGGUAAUGCAGAAGAUGACCUACAAGUAUAGCAAAAAGCCAAUGAUUCAUUCACCAGACAGAACAGGAAGAAAAAUUUAAAGUUAAUUACCUUCCAGAUUCAGUGGAAAAAAAAAAAAAAAAAAAAAAAAAAAAAAAAAUUAAAUCUUUUUGAGAAAAUAUUAGCGAAGACUUGACCUUUAAGAGGAAAGGACACGUGGCAUCUCUCUUGCCAAUUAUUGAACUGAUGAAAAAAAAAAUGAAAAGUUUAAUUAAAUCUAUUUGAUUGGAGCAACGUGUUAAUAUCAAAGUCGUUGACGUUGUCCCAUAAACAAUUUAAUUAAAUGUUGUUUAUCUUUUUAGUUUAGGUAAACCCCAUCAGAUCCAGGAGAACUCAUGUUUCGUUUUGGAAAGAUAAAGAUAAAGGUUUCGCCUUUUUAGGUCUUUUGUGUGAUUCAUGUAACGUCCUUGCUCUUCAUUUUCACCUGAUCCUCUGUUUUUGUUUUUGGAUAAAGUCUUGAGCUUUGUGUCCUCUCUUUGUGAUAUCUUUAAUCAAAAAGGUUGAAACUUUGAGGGUUUCUAAUUAGGUUUUGGCUGAGAAAUUGAGUGUCUGCUCCUUCCUGAUUAGGUGAGAUCAAAACCCAUCGGAUAGAUCCGUCAGAUCUGUUAACCAAGAGGUACUUCUUCAUCUUCUUGAUUUUGAUACUCUUUGGCUAAGUUAGUGUUCAAGAACGGCGGCGUUUUGGUCUCUGUGGAUAGCUGAAUUGGAUAUUGGUAGUAUCACUGAAGAUCAUUAGAACAUAACUUAGAGAUGAAGAAGAAGAUUGAUUUGCUCAGUUAGGGUGUGGAAGCAGCAUAGGUACGAACUCAUGGAAGAGAUUUCACCAGCAGUUGCACUAACUUUGAGUCUAGCCAACACUAUGUGUGACUCUGGAAUCUCAUCAGCUUUAGAUAUCACCGAGCUAGAGAACGUUACUGACGCAGUUAACAUGCUGUGUGAUCAGAACGGUGAGGUUGAGUAUACAAUGGAAGAAGAUGUUUCAGCUUCAGAGGUAGUCAUUAGCUUGCCUGAAGAAACUCAUCAUCAUAACGUAGCAAGAGGAGGAAGCAGAAGCGUCUACGAGCUAGACUGCAUACCUCUCUGGGGCACAGUUUCAAUCCGCGGCGAAAGAUCAGAGAUGGAGGAUGCUGUUAGAGCGUUACCACGUUUUCUCAAAAUACCAAUUAAAAUGCUUAUGGGAGGAGAUCAAGAAGGGAUGAGUCCAACUCUCACACACCUCACAAGCCACUUCUUCGGUGUAUACGAUGGCCACGGAGGCCUCCAGGUUGCUGACUACUGUCAUGAUAGAAUCCAUUUUGCUUUGGCUGAAGAGAUCGAAUGGAUUAAAGAGGAGCUCUACGAGAGGCUGCAGGUGCAGUGGGAGAAAGUGUUUUUUGACUGUUUCUUGAAGGUUGAUGAUGAGGUUAAAGGGAAGAUCAACAGACCUGUCGUUGGUUCUCCUGAUGAGAUGGUUCUUGAGGCUGUUUCUCCUGAAACCGUUGGAUCAACUGCUGUGGUUGCUUUGGUUUGCUCUUCGCAUAUCAUAGUCUCGAACUGUGGUGACUCGAGAGCGGUUUUGCUACGUGGCAAAGAAGCUAUGCCUUUAUCAGUUGAUCACAAAGUAAAGAAUCCAUUUCCUUUAACAUGAUCUUGAGAAUGUUUCUUACUUUUGUUACUAUCUUUGUUGCAGCCAGAUAGAGAGGACGAGUAUGCAAGAAUAGAGAGAGCUGGAGGAAAAGUUAUACAAUGGCAAGGGGCUCGUGUCUCCGGCGUUCUCGCCAUGUCCAGGUCCAUUGGUGAUCAGUAUCUGGAGCCAUACGUGAUACCAGAGCCCGAAGUAACGUUUAUGCCACGGGCAAGAGAAGACGAGUGUUUGAUAUUAGCCAGCGAUGGGCUUUGGGACGUGAUGAGUAACCAAGACGCUUGCGAGUUUGCGAGGAGACGGAUCUUGUGGUGGCACAAGAGGAAUGGAGCGUUGCCUUUAGCUGAGAGAGGUGUAGGGGAAGACCAGGCGUGCCAAGCCGCUGCUGAUUAUCUCUCGAAGCUCGCUCUUCAGAAGGGAAGCAGGGAUAAUAUCUCUGUCAUUGUGGUUGACCUGAAAGCUCAAAGGAAGUUGAAGAUCAGGUCUUGAAACAGUGUACACUCGAGCUCCUUACACUAUUAUAAAUUUCUUACUAUUUUUUUUUUAGUUUCCACAAGUUUAAGUAAAAAAUAAGAAGUUGAUUGAUGAUGAUGCAUAGCGAAAAGUCCAUUCCUUUUACUCAUGGACUUGAAUGUGUAUGUUAUGUAUAAGAAACAGAAGACAGAAAUGUGUUUUUUUUUUUAUAUGUUGUGUGAUAUUGGAGAUGUGGCCUAAGGAAAAUGUAAUUGAUGUUUGUCACAUCAGCCUUAAUACUUUUCUGUAAUUCAUCUUCUUCUAUGUAUAUAAAAUAUUUAUAGUAUUGUAUUUUUAUUUUGUUGUACAGAAAGUAUCAAACUGCUUAAACUAGGAUGCUAUAUAAACUGAUUUAUAAAACAAACAGUGGGGCUUAUAGUGAGAGAUGGUGGUACUUGUAUCGAUUAACUGGUGAGAUAGUGUGGUGUAUUGUCUCAAACAAGGUGUUGAGCUAAAGUAAGGAUCUUGAGCUGUUUCUGUGCUGCAUGAACAGGAACAAACCGUCGGCUGGUGACAACCACCAACAUAAUUCUUCUAGUGUUCUUAAUGCCGACAAUAACGACCGCGUUGUUAUUCAGUUUGAAGAUUAGUGUUCUCAUUACAAUGAUAAAAAUAUUUACUUGUGAUGGUUAGAAAGUUCAUAAGUGGGCGUGCCGGAGUGGUUAUCGGGCAUGACUAGAAAUCAUGUGGGCUUUGCCCGCGCAGGUUCGAAUCCUGCCGCUCACGUUUUGUAAUUUUUAGUUUCAUCUCUGCUUUAAUUUUUCAAUUAAUCACCUAUUUAGUAAAUUAUUUCUGGUCUCGGAUCAUUCCAUAUAUUUCUUUCUAGCAUGUGCAAGAUGUAUAUGUGAUUAAUUAUCAUAAGCAUGUUUGUGGAUGAGAGGAACACAAACUCUUACGAAGGAAUCAUUGACUUCUCCUUUCGUUUGUUUUUGUUUGGGUCAAUACAUAAGCACUACAGCUUAAAUGCCAAGUUUACGAGCAUUACACGUUACACAGUUUACUUAAUUUCAUAAAUUGGUGGGUAAACUAAAACACACGCACAUGGAGAUAUUCUCUUAAUAAUUCAACAUUUCAUAUUUUAUUUUAUCUGUCAUGACUUAAAUUUAUAUCUAACUAUGCACAACUAAUUAUUUUUUAACACAAUGCUAAGCUAAUUAUUAAAAGAAAAUUGUUAUAGAUUUUUAUAAAAGCUUAUCUUUGCUAAACGCUGGUUGGAACCUAAUAAUACGGUUUAAUUUUUAAUAGAAAUAUUUAUAAUUUGUCUGAAAUGGUAGAGGUGUAAACUCACAAUAUAAAAAUGAUUUAAGUUUAAAAUAAUAAUAUAUUUUGUAGAAUUCCAUUUGAGUAUACGUUGACUUCGAAAGUGUUCAUAGUGGGGCUUUCCCUAAACAUUCAUUCACCCUUUUGAUUGGUUUGUUUGUCCAAAGAGCGAGAGUGAUCAAAUGUCGUCGUGGUGCGGUCCUUCACGUCGUCAAGUCAAAUACGAUGUCUUCCUCAGCUUCCGAGGCGGAGACACACGUAAAAACAUCAUUAGCCAUUUGCACAAAGAACUUGUGAGACAAGGGAUACGUACAUUCAAAGACGACGAGACGCUGGAAACAGGAGACCGUUUCCCCGAAAGACUCCGUGAAGCCAUCAACACAUCGAGGUUCGCCAUUGUGGUUAUCUCGAAGAACUACGCUUCUUCGAGAUGGUGCUUGGAAGAGCUUCGAAUGAUAAUGAAGCUUCAACGGGAGAAAAAGAUUGCUGUGAUUCCUGUUUUCUAUGAAGUGGAUAUCUCUGACGUUAGAAAUCAUCGAAGUGGUUUUGGUUUAGUACAACAUCACAAAGAUCCCAAGAUUCCAUUCUGGAAAGAUGCACUUCGGGGAAUCGCAAACACACAAGCCACCGAGUCAAGAAAAUGGUAAUUCUUUUUACUGUGCUAGGGAAUGGGUUAAACCCACUCCGGUUGAUGAUUUUUUCUUAUUAAAAAAAACGAUUUAGCUAUAGUUCCCAUGCAUGCAUCUAAUUGGGAGUUGCCUCUGGAAUCCGAAAAGCCACGAUUUAUCUUAAAAAAUCAAUUUCUCUCUAAACUUCACUGACUGCAACGUCAGAUCUGGACAUGUGUGGAGCUAAUCUUGUAUUAUUGAGUCUUUUUCUAAUCUUUUCUUGAGGGCUCUUUAGUACCUAUUUGCUUCUUAGGAAAAUGUGAUACAAGUUAAUUGUAUCUUUUGAACAUUACAAAGUAAUGAAAUUAACGUACUUAAUUGUUUUUUUUUUACUAAUUUUGUUAGCAAGGACGAUGCCACGUUGGUUGAGGGAGUUGUUGAACUUGUUUCAGACAAGUUGUUGUCUAUGUUGCCAAUGGACCUCGGGGAUAUUGUUGGUAUGGAAGCUGACAUGGACCAAAUCGAACAUCUCUUGGACAUGUCCUUUACGACCAAUGAGGUUCGCAUGGUAGGAAUCUGGGGUAUGGCAGGCAUUGGCAAAACUGCCAUAGCCAAGAAUCUUUAUCAAAAACAUAAACACCAUUUCAAGACUCAUCAUUGUUUCAUGGAAAAGGUUUCUUCUCUGAAAGCAAAGAGUCCCUUAGAUCUACAGAAACGGCUUCUUUCAGAUAUUCUUCGGAAAAAAGAUCUCAAGGCACUGAACCUUGGCCAGGGAGCUCCUUGUAUCAAGUCAAGGCUCGUAAACCUAAAAUCUCUCAUUGUUAUUGAUGAUGUGGAUGAUGUGAAACAGCUGGAUGCCUUGGCAAAAGAGGCUAGUUGGUUUGGACCAGGGAGCCGAAUCAUCAUAACGACACGAGACAAGAGCUUGCUCAAGUUGUCCUCCUGUGCCGUGUACAAAGUUGAGUAUCUGAAGGAUGAUAAGGCUCUCCAGAUCUUUCAGCGGUUUGCUUUCCAAGGAGCAGAACCUCCUAUUGCCUACAAUGAUCUUUCUAUAAGUAUCUCUCAGCUUGCUCAAGGUCUUCCUUCUGCCCUUGAGGAUUUCGGCACUUAUCUCCGUGGCAAGUCCGCAGUGGAGUGGCGAGAUGCUUUGAAAUCAUUUCAGGAAGCUCUUCCCGAGAAAACCUUAGUGGACUUGAAAAGUAGCUAUCAUGGUUUAGAUGAACUUGGUAAGACAGCUUUUCUUCAUGUCGCAUGCCUUUUCAAUGGAGAACCUGUCCGGCGAGUCAGGAAACUUCUUGGUCAAGGUAAAGCCGGAAUGAGGGUUUUAAAGGAAAAGUCUCUCAUCAAGGUGUCUUCUGAUAGGCGUAUAGCUAUGCACCGUUUGCUGGAGCAAAUGGGGAAACAUAUUGUGCGUCAAGAGUCAAACAACAACCCUUCUCAGCAACGUAUCUUGUGGCACCAUGACGACAUCCUUCGAGUACUUGACACCAAUACAGUAAGUUACACGCAAUGUUCUUAAUUUUUUGGUUGGCUAGGCUCUGCCACCAUUCCUCUUCUGCUGAUAUAACUGAAGCUACUAUAACAUAAAAGAUCUUAUUUAGUCUUUGAAUACUCUUCUUAAAUUUGUUGAAGAUCUACCAAAAACAAAAAGUAAAAAAAAAUUCUUAACUUUUAUUAAUCAAAUAAAAAUUGAAUACAAACUUAAUCCUAAUCGACUAUAUCUAAAAACUCAUAAAAACCUAAAAUAAUAAAGACAAUUAUCUAAAUAAAUAAUAAAUAUUUAAAAACAUCUCAAAUAUUUAUCUGCAUUAUCUUCUUAACAAUAACAAUAAAUGACACUAUCGAUAUCAUAUGUCAGAGUAAGCACUUAAUUGAAGGAGUGGUGCUAGAUGUUUGUAAAUUGCGCGCUGGAGUUCACAUCAACUGGGAUGAUUUCAAGCCGAUGUAUAAUCUCAGGUUUCUUAAGAUAUAUUUCUCUAACCAAUCAGGAGGUGUACAGCCAUGGAAGGAAUAUAUGACGCUAGAGAACAAUUUCAGUGUACAUAAGCUUAGGUUUCUACAUUGGGAUGCAUAUCCUUUUACAACCUUGCCUACCAGUAUCAGUCCAGAUUGUCUUGUUGAACUAAAGCUGUGUUACAGCAAGCUCAAGACCCUUUGGCGUGGAACACCGGUAUGUAUAUAUGCUCUACUUUUCUUAUCCCUUCAUAUUUUUAUUUUUUAUUUUUUUUAUUUGCCUUCUUGUUAUUAUAACAUUUCCCUGUGUUUGUGUCACAUACUUUUCAGAAACUUGUGAAACUGAUGAAACUAGAUUUGACCGGAUCUAAGGAUCUAACAAAACUUCCAAAUCUCAAGGAAGCAAAGUCUCUAGAGGAGUUGAUACUGAAAGGUUGCAGCUCCUUGGAACGGAUUCCACACUCCAUAUGCAAACUAUCUAGACUCCAGAAAAUUGAUGUGUCCAACUGUGACAGGCUGGAAAAGCUGAACAUCAGUAUAUCGGAUUCUAAAGAUAUUGGUUUUGAAGACACAAGCAUGUGCCUAAGAUCAGUCCACAUGUUUUUCUUUGGCACAGAACCGUUUUUGGGCAAUACUCAGGGAUGCUCUCUUACAGACCCAUCAAUCAGAGGCAACUUACAAAUCUACUUGAAGCUUCUUGAAGGAUCUGCAGAUCAUCUAUCUUUUGUUUCUGAGGACCACGUCUGUCGUGAAGUGAACCUCAAGUCACCUCCCUAUGGUUUUAAAUCACUGGACAUCAUGCGGUUUAAGUGGGUUGAGAAGGGUAGUGAGUCCAAAUGUAAUAGCUUCUCAGGGUUUCCAUGGUUACAGGAGUUAACUCUCAUCAACCUAAACAUCAAGAAGAUUCCAGAUGACAUUGACCAGAUGCACGUCCUAGAGAAGUUGGACCUCAGUGGGAAUCUCUUUGAGAAGUUACCUACGACAAUGAGUCAUCUCACCAAGUUGAAACAUCUGACGCUUUCCAACUGCCGCAGCCUUGAAGAACUGCCAGAACUAUCUCAGCUGGAGAGUCUAACACUUUCUGACUGUACCAACCUCCGAACUCUGGUGAAGAAACAUCAAGGAACAACAUACAAUAUGCUUGAGCUUUGGCUUGACAACUGCAAGAAAAUCGAGUCAUUACCAAAUGAGCUUAAGCAUUUCACCAAGCUGACAUGUUUAGAUCUCAGCAGACACGAUUUCAAGACAAUAUCGUCAAAGAUGGUGGGCGACUUAACCUCCUUGGCAACUCUCAGCCUCAAUUACUGCAACAACCUUGUAUCACUGUCAGGGCUUCCACUGAGUCUCAAGUGUUUGAAUGCACAUGGCUGCAAGUCUCUAAAGACUUAUUCCCUUCAGGCCGCGCAUUCUAUUGAUCGCAUAGAUCUUAGCCCUUGCCCCAAUGGGAAGGACUAUAGUACAUUCACUAGGUUUCCAGCUGGAAGACGCAGUAAAGAGGUAUACAAAAUCUUCUGCUAUCUUGUCUCUAUAUAGUGUAUGCAAUUAAGAGUUUAAUCUCCUUUUUCUUUAGGUACCAGUAUGUGCUUGUCCUUGCUUCCAGGAAACAACAACACGUCGUAAGGUUAAACAUGCGACUUGUAGUCACAUGUCAAUCUUCUUGAGGUGUUUAAAGUCAUGGUUGUGGGAUUUCUUCCUGUGUUUAUUGGCUGUGGUUGUCGGCAUUUUUCUUGCGGUGAUAACCGAUCAUGUCAUCGCAACUACAUUAUUAAUGACUAUUUUUAUGUAUCUGAGGUUGUAAGAAACUACAUUAUAGGAGAUGUGUAAGUGUUUCAGUAACAUUUUAUUUUCAGUUGCUGAAUCAAAAGAGCUAUUGAAUGAUUCAUUUCAUUGGUUUCUAUACUCUGACAACUUGGGAAGAGUAGCAACAAAUGUGUUAACCAAAGUGAUCCGAUAUAAGUUGUGCAAGGCUACAACUCUUUAGGCAAUCUCUCUGCUUGCUUGGAGGGGAAGAAAUUAACCAAUGAACAUGUAGAGCUUUCUCUUACACUGAACCGUGUUGUGUAUUGUUAUUAAUGUAAUGAAGAAGCCUAAUUUCAGGAAAAUGAAACCGUGACCGUUGAUUUUGGACCGAGGACCUUUAUUAGUUAUGGACUAGUUGGUUACCACCUCGACCACGCUCCACCACCGGCUUCACGCGGCUUGUCCUAAUCUACUAGUAUGUUUUUGUUGCUUACACACCUUUUCGUUGAAACGCACAUUAUUCUAUGUACUAAUCAUUAAAAGUCAAACGAACCUACUGCAUUCAAGUAUUCUUACAUGGAAAUGCAGUGACAAAUGCUUGUUUUCUCUAGUGUGUAAAGUAUGAAAUAAAAAUAAUUUAUGUAUUAAAAGGAAUUCGUCUUUUACGUCACGUAUUUCAUGUCUAAAUAAAUCCAGUUGUAUAAAUUCAAUAAACAGUCUUCUUAGCAAUGCUUGAUUAAUAUGAAUUUGCUUGUUUUAGAUCAGAUUUAAAAUGGAAAAGGACUAAGCAUCUGUUAUUUUUAUUUCAAAGGGACUUUCAUAUAUCUUUGCUUCAGUACAAAGGAAAUUAUGUUUGGUGUUCGAUUUCACGUUUCAACUCAAAACUACAUAAGUUUCAAAAAAAAAACUCAAAACUUCAUAUAUCAAUUAUUACAUCUUUUAGUCAAUUGGAAAAUGUAUGUACUAACAUUUUAGGUAAUAAAAUUUUAAAACGAAUCAUAAAAUAUAAUAAUUCACACUUUGUUUUAUAGUUCUAGUUACAACAAUAUUUUAUAUUGACAAAAAAAAACAAUAUUUGAAAAUGCUUAGCAAAUAACAACUGGACUCUCGUGACCAUUUUUUUGCACCGUUUAUUCCCACGUCGUGAUAUAUACGCGCUGGUGUGACGCGUGUAAGCUCUCUUUCCCGCGUUGAGCUGUCACUCUCUUUUGUCUGUCUCUGUCUCCGUCGCUGUUUCUUUGGCUUCCUCUCUCAUUCUCCACCACCACUAUCAUUAAAUCCUUUUUUUCUCCCCACUAAUCAACCGUUAAAGAGAAGCUUAAAGCUUAAACGUUCACUUUAAAAUCUCUUAUAAAGAAAGAAACACGCAUCUCCUAUAAACCUUACCCUUGUCCUUCCACUAAUCACUAUUUUCAUCUCUCUCCGACAUGACAGACGACAAAGUCUACCCCGCCUCCAAACCACCCGUCGCUGUCAACGGCGGAACAACCGCUAAUCCAACUUUCCCGGCGACUAAAGCUCAGCUAUACAGCGCAAACCGCCCCGCUUACCGUCCGCCAGCCCCCCGCCGCCGUACACACAGCCGCGGAUGCUGCUGCCGCUGCUGCUGCUGGACGAUUUUCGUAAUCAUCUUCUUGAUCCUCCUCGUCGCCGCCGCGUCCGCCGUCGUGUACCUGAUCUACCGUCCUCAGCGUCCGAGCUUCACCGUCUCUUCCCUCAAAGUCUCCUCUCUCAACCUCACCUCCGCCACACGCCUCGCCACCGCCAUAUCCCUCUCCGUCGUGGCCAAGAA
rnacentral:lncRNA from 1 species